GUCCUUUUUCUACCACUCCUUUCUCCACUCGAGUGUGUGGUCAAUAGCCGGAUAGCCUAGUUUCUCUCUAAAGCCGCUCGAGUCUAGUUCGCUAAACUGGCCUGAGAAGCACUCCGCCUUUGGGAUUGGAGGUUGAAGCCGAAGGCUGACCCGCUUGAAGUCUUGAGAUCGGAUGUGUCAUGUUAAAGCACGACGGAAGCACAAACUAAUUUUAAGACCAAUGUUCGGAUUGGCACCAAAAUACUUGAUUUACUUCGGACGUAAAGGUUCUAUGUAAUUUUUUUGGUUUUUCAAGCUUAUGAAGCUUUAACCUAUUUGUAUGCUUUUUUUCCAGGAGGCGAGACAUCCUCUUGACCGAGGUGACAUGCAUAAUACUUCAGCUCGGGAAAUCUUUUCCGACGUGUAGUUCCGCAACUUCCCUGUCGAGCUGCACCUUGGCAUGCCCGAACACUCCAAACACUGGGGGCUAGUUACUUGCCCCCAUGGUCAAGCUCCUAUGACUAAGUGAAAGUUAUAAAGCUAACACAUCUUAUUGCCUCGUUUCCGCUAACACAACCGCCUCCGGGCACCGAGACAUCGGCUAAGGGUUGUCUUGUUAUUGCGGAAACACCUUGCGUAGCAUCUACAAAUGGUGGAAGCCGACGAUGGGCCACUUUCAAAAUAUAAACGGUCGCACAGGGGCCAAAAUAAACACAUCGGACCUAUCAAAGUGUCUAAUAAACCGUACUGGGGGAUCCUUGAGGCACCUCAGCACAUUUCCAUUGGGACUUCUGGAGAGCCCAACAUAUCCUCAACAUUUGUAUUUAAUAUACGAAUGUUGCCUUCCCAUAAAUCAUUAUAAAGCCACAAUAUGCAUCAAUUUGACUUGAGAUCUAGCCACGCUGGGUUGCCUGGCUCCUGUGCUUGCCCCCUACGAUACCCAUUGUUUGGCUAGGGGGUAAAGGGAGCACCUCUGUGAUUGAUACUACUGGGUUAUCCAGGUUAGUACCUCAGACUGGGUGAAGCCGAAACCUAGCGAUCUCAAGAAUAUAAUUGGUCGACAACGGCGUAAGUGAAAAUCUUGUGGUUUUAAUGCCAAAUACUUCGGGAAUUUCUCCCGAAUUGGUCUUCAAUAUUUUUCUCCCGCUUAGAUUGGAGGUGAAGUUACAUCAUCCUGCUUAGCAGGACAACCCAAAGAAAGGAACCGAGAGCGGGACUAUUUUCUUUGGAAGAUUUCUUACGUUAAAUAGUAGUAUAACAUAUCUCUUUGUGUACCUUUGUUUAUAAAACCACAUGGCCGGAUUGCCUUGUUUUUCGUAAAUCUUUGCCCUUAUAACGGCUUUAAAAAGUAGGAAAACACUCCUCUGCUACUGGUCGAGGAGGUUGAAGCCGAUGGUCGGUCAACAAAGUUUGUACAAUGCAAAUCCGAGCAUUAAUGAUGUAAAGUACUUUGAUACAUAGAAUCAUUACACAUACUGGACGAAGUUAAUUUACUUGAAGUCGUCUAUUAAAAAGUCGAGGGCACAGUCUUGUUGAGACAGCCAAGUAGCCAGAAUUGAAUUUUGUGUCAAACGAAUAUUGAUCCUUAAUCCGGCCACCCGUGUCCAGAUUAAGGCUCAGGGGCUACUGCAUUGACGAUUCAAUGCAGAAAAUUCAAAGUGCAAAAUAGUUUCCAAGGAGAUUACGAUCCUCCGUUGCACACCGCACCCAACCUGAGUCUCGGGGGCUACUGCACACCGCAUUUCUAUUCCUACGUAUGCUGCCGAGCUAGGAGUUGAUCCUCAGACCAAUUUCGCGAAUAGACCCGAGUCUCAGGGGCUACUGGGAUAAGCGGUUUCAUGUUUUCCUUCAGGUGCAUCUUGGAUUUUAGGCUGACACAUGCCUUGAGGGCUACUGGCUAUAUACCUCGGCAGAGAAUAAAUUGCACCAAUCAAAAAAGUCCACAAAAAUAAGCCCACGGCCGAGGUGGUGCACCACCUCGGAAGCAGUUCGGAAUAAAGCUCGGAUGCACGUGGCUAGCUCCAUACAGGGCAUUUUCAGCAUUAAUCUCGGCUGAACUCCUCCAAAUUUUUCAAGAACGAGGUAAUCUAUGACAUCUCGGAUGCGGAUCAGCGUUGGAGCUCGGCUGCAAAAAGACAUCUCGGAUGUGGAUCAAUGUUGGAGCUCGGCUACAAAAAUACAUCUCGGAUAAGGAUAGGCAUUGGAGCUCGACUGCAAGAGACACCUCAGAUGCAGUUCGGCGUUGAGGCUCGGACGCAAGAGGACACCGCCGCAUGGGAAACACUUCAAACCCGAGGUGUGGCGUAAAAACAACAAGGCAUUGAUAGAGGCCGAGAACUUAAUGGGGCUCCUCAGAUACCCGACGUGUAAACUCUUCGGAUUCACCUCGGCAAACCUCAAGAUCAAAGAUGGGAAGAUUUGUUGAACCAGUUUUCAAGACCGACGACCGAAGAUGAAGAAUAGUUCAAAAGAAUCGGGGAGCAUCCCCAACUUGAAGACCUGUUCAGGGGGCUACUAACGGUGUACUGGACUAGGGGGUACUCACCACGUCGUCUCCCGACCAGUGGGUCGGGCCGAGGACCCCCAUGGCGGUUCACUAAUGGGCCAGUUCGGGCAGCCCAUGACAUAUACGAGGAAGAUUCCACAAGACUUGGUGAUCAAGACAAGGACUCCUAUCCACCGACGUAGCCGACUAGGACUCUUGUUAUCCUAGGCCUCCGAUACAUUAUAUAAGCCGAGGCCAGGCUAGUCGAUAGAUCAUGAUGACAUUCAUCAUCAUACCCCUAGGGUUUAGACCACAACUUACGAUCUCGAGGUAGAUCAACUAUGUACUCGAUACAUCAUCAUCAAUAUUAACAAGAGCAGGACAUCGGGUUUUACCUCCAUCAAGAGGGCCCGAACCUGGGUAAACAUCGACUGCCUUCUUCCUAUUACCAUUGAUCCAAGAUCCAUAGCUCGAGACCCCCUACCCCGAGGUCUGCCGGAUUUCCCUCCAACGAUGUCCCUUUAUGUCACUGUACUUCAUCUCCUCUCCUCUUCGAGGAAAAUCACGGAGAGGGUCUACAUCAACCUUGUUACCCUCCCAAUGAUGUGUGGGUAGUUUACCACAGACCUACAGGUCCAUAGUUAGUAGCUAGAUGGCUUCUUCUCUCUCUUUGAUCUUCAAUACGAUGUUCUCCUUGAUGUUCUUGGAGUUCUAUUCGAUGUAAUCACUUUUUGCAGUGUCUUUGUUGGGAUCCGAUGAAUUGUGAGUUUAUGAUCAGAUUAUCCAUGAAUAUUAUUUGAGUUUUCUCUGAACUCUUUUAUGCAUGAUUACAAUAGCUUUGUAUUUCUCUCCUAUCUAUUGAUUUGGUUUGGCCAACUAGAUUGAUUUUUCUUGCAAUGGCAGAGGUGCUUUGUGAUGGGUUCGAUCUUGCGGUGCUCAAUCCCAGUGACAGAAAGGGACAUGACAUGUAUUUGUAUCAUUGCCAUUAAGGAUAAAAAGAUGGUGUUUAUUCAUGUGUGAGUUUACUUUGUCUACAUCAUGCCAUCUUGCUUAAGGCGUUACUCCGUUCUUUAUAAACUUAAUAUUCUAGACGCAUGCUGGAUAGUGGUCGAUGUGUGGAGUAAUAGUAGUAGAUGUAGAAUCAUUUUGGUCUAUUUGUCUCGGACGUGAUGCCUAUAUACAUGAUCAUUGUCUUGGAUAUCGUCAUGAUUAUUCGCUUUUCUAUCAAUUGCCCGGCCAUAAUUUUGUUUACCCACCGUAUGCUAUUUUCAAGAGAGAAGCCUCUAGUGAAAACUAUGGCCCCCGGCUCUACUUCUAUCAUAUAUAUUAAAAUCCUAAAAAUACUUUGCUGCAAUUUUACUUUAUUUAAUUUAUUUUGUAUUUUUUUUCUAUCUAUCUAUCCAUCACUACAAAAUUUAAUCUUGCAAUUAACCGCCGAGGUAUUGACAACCCCUUGUUCGUGUUGGGUGCAAGUAUUUGUUAUUUUGUGUGUAGGUGUUGCUAACGAGGUGUUGCCUGGUUCUCUUACUGGAUUGAUAACCUUGGUUCAUAACCGAGGGAAAUACUUAUCUCUACUGUAAUGCAUCAUCCCCUCCUCUUCGGGGAAAUCCCAACACAGCUCACAAUAGCAUGCCUCAACCCAUACCGUACCGAACUACUCACACAUGGAGAUCAGAUCACACGAAGAACACAUAAGGGAGAUUGAUUGAUUGAUAAUAUGUCCUACAUUGGAUGCCGUGUACGAUGCACAAUUACAAGUGUGAACUAGAGGAAGAUGAACUAUGGUGGUGACUAUGGCUAUCGAGAUGGAAAUGGCGGCAGCUAGGGUUGAUGAAGAUGGAUGAAGAUGACUUUGUUCUGGCUUUGCUCGCAGAUGUUAUGUUCACAUUUCAACCUGGUCCCCUUUAUAAAUGUUGUUCAGGUGGAUGAGAGUUUCCAUGCCAUACGAACACUCAUGCGAGCGGUCGUGGUCGUAUGGAACGUCGUCUUUUGUAUUGUUUCUUCUGGUCCGCCUCCUCCUGAUUUUUUCCUAUCUCCUUCACUCCUUUCUAUGUUCACACAUGAUUUCUUCACUUUCUAUCCCAUUUACUACGGAAACAUAUCAAAGAGAGGAUUUGUGGAAUCCUUUGCAUUCACUAGUCAUUAGUAGAAAUAACAAAGCCAAUAUAUCAGUUUUAAUGAAAUAUCUUGGUUUAAGCAAAGGGUAAAUGAUUGUUAAAAUAUCACUCGUCACCAGGUAAUUCAUACUUAGUCUGUCAGAUUCAACUUUUACUAUACCAUACCGUUAAAACUAAAUUUAUGCUCCCGUCAAUAGGAGAUCUGCGCCAAGAAUAAAGCAAACCGAAGUGUUGUGAAGCUCCACCAAACUAUUCGCUCUAGAUGAUACAUUGCAACUUCUGAUCACAAUAAGGUAACCACUCCACCUUCCUACAUGCAAUUGUUUUCAUAAGUAUAUGGCUUGUGGCAGUAAUGUUCAUCAUGUCCUAUUUGAGGUAAUAGUGUAAUGAGGACAAACAGAAACCAACAAUUGUUUAAUAUUUUGAAGCAACCCACAUCGGGAAGAUGGAUAGGGUGAUGAGUGAGGUUGCAACAACGACACUCGUAAGCAUACUGCAAUUUUUGUAUUUCACAUGUAAUGUGCCACCCAAAAUAUUACGUUUCUAACACCGUACUAACAACGCUUCAAUCAUAUUGUAGAAGAAAAUGAAGGAAAAGCAAGACGAAACUCUAGCAUAAGGUGAAGAGCCAACAAUAGAUGUACACAUUGUUGUAGAGGUUCUCAAGGACAUUGCCAAGCACAACACAUUCCUUGUAGGCAUGGGAGAGUCAUCUACAUCGCGGCAGAAGACAACCUCUCAUGAUCGCAUGAGAGAGCUUGCAACUCAGGAGCUAGCUAUGAGAUCAGCAGCUGAUAGGUAUCAAGAAGAGCUAAAUGCAAGAAUAGUAGAUCAACAACGUGAAAUCAAAGAGACAAAAACAAAGAAGCAAGAUGAAAUUGCAGAUCUUGAGAAGGAGCAAGAGGAGAAUAUUGAUUCUAUGGAAAAGAAUCUAAAAGACUUGGGGAACCUUAAGUUUUGUCUUAAGUCACCUGCACAACGGCUCUAAUAACAACAUGUUGCACCCCCUUUCGGGGCCUCUAAUAAUAGCAUGUCGCAACCCUGACGGUGAUCUUCUUUGUCGUGAAACUUUGGUUGUUUCUUAUUAUUUUGUAUGGUACUCCGUAUGUUUCCUUUUAUGGCGUGUGUGAUCCUUCCUCAAAUGGCUGAUCAUUAUUAUAGUCGUGUUAAGCAUGUCUGCUUUUGUGUUAGUGUAAGUUAUUUCAUUCUCAUUUUUGAAAUUUUACGAUUUUUAAAUCUAAAUCCGAUUGGGGGUUGCAGCAUUGAACAAAGUAUGAUGGUAAAUAGUGACGAAAAUGCAUGCCGUCACCAGCUUCCGGACCCACAUGUAAGCCACCACGUCAACAUCCAAUGGGCCCACAUUUCAGGAUCUAUGACCGGUCAAAUCUAAAUUUUACCGAAGGCUAUCGUCAGUGAUAAAACCAUGGUCGGGCCCAACUGUAAGUUGUCAUAUCAUCAUCUUCUGGGCUCGUAUGUCAGAAACAUUGACUGGUCGAAUGUCAGAGUAAUGAGCCACGGGUAGCCUAACCCGAGUCCCUGAACCUUUCAAGACAUCGGGGCUAGCUGCGCCCCUCAAGACAUCAAGAUGAAGCGCCGCCUUCUGAUGGCCGGUUGGCCGAACGGCCGGCUGCCAGAAGACGGCCAACCUCCGGAAGGCGGCAUCAAGACGGGCCGACUCCUAGUAGGCGGCCUCCAGAGAGGCCGGCUCCUAGCAGUCGGCCCACGGCGCCCUCAAAGUCUGCGCCCCCAAUAAGAAGACAAGACAGUGUAAGGCUACAGCGUAGCCCAUCACCCCCGUAUCCGGGCGGGGCGUGGCCAUAGUGCUCCGUACAGGCGGAGAUCUCCGCCCGGCGCGGCACUGUUGCCACUCCGCCCCUGACAUCACAGCUGGCAGGCGGAGCCCUGUUCCCACGACGGCCUGUCGGUGCGGCCUGUAGGCGGCGGGCCCUACCAGGAAGCGAGAGCCCGGAAGACGACAGAGGACUGGCCAGUCGGACCUAAGGGAGGUCGGCUUCCAGCAGGCGGCCCUUUCCUCCCUCGGGGCCCGUGCACCAUUAACUAGAUGAGACACGGUCUGGCUACAGAGAUCUCCCACCAGGCGGCGGGACUGUAGCCAUGCUCUCCUGACCAAGCACGCGUCAUUAGCAUCACGACUACAGUAAUCAGCAGCCGGCAAGACCCGCGAGCGGCGGGAGCGGCCUGUCGGCUUUGUACCAGACCAGUCGGCGGGGCCCACCAGGCGGCGGGCCCCAGCAGCCGGCCGAGAAGCCGGCGACCAGAGACACUGACAGUCGGGACCUACACUCGGCCAGAUUAUCAAUGUACCCCUGGGGGCGUAGGCCUAUAUAAACCCCCCAGGACGCCCUUGCAAAGGGUUCCCAACCUGUUAGAACUAGACUCAUACCUAGAGGAAGGAGAGAGCGAGCCUGCCUUCUUCUACCUCUAGCAUACAGCUCGAGGAGCACCAUUGUAUCCACUAGUGCCUUAGUGAUCAUGCGGAGACCCCGUAGAGCAGAACUAGGGGUGUUAUCUCCUAGGAGAGCCCCGAACCUGGGUAAAGUGCGCCGGCGUUCGUGUCUACACCUCAUCCCGCUUACAGGCACCGGUGACGUUCUACUCGCUCCCACCAUGAUAAGCCAUCCAUUGGCAUAUGUCGCAUCCAACCCCCGACAUUUGGCGCCCACCGUGGGGCGAGGUGCACCGUCUCCCGGAGACCUGUUCUGGACGGGAACCUUGUUCCUCCCUGGCGAGCGUAGCCAGCCCGGCAUGCCAGACGGUGUCUGCGCCGAUGCGCUGCACGGCGCGGAGGUCGCCUCAGCGAGCUGCCUCGCCGAUCUUGUCGGCGAGAUUCGCCUCUCCGACGAGCUCGCGCCUGAUGCGGGCACAGAAAGCCCGAGAGCCGCCUCGUCAGCCUCCUCGAUCAGCUCCACGUCGCCAGCGAGCCUGCUGUAGACUUGGGGUCCGUUGGCUCCACCGACCUUGGUCGACUCCGACACGGCGUCGCUUGAUGCGUUCCCCACCAACGUGGUGGUCUACAACGAACCGCUCCCUCGCACGGACAGCGGUGGCAGCACCAUCACGGAGGUGCUCGUCAUCAGCCACGGCGAGCACUCUGGCAGAGGUGGCCAGGAUCCGUUGCAGGCGGCGCUGCAAGACCUGACUGCGCCCAUCCCGGAAGACGCCGACGCUGAGACGCUGGAGGCACGCCGUGUCCAGCUUUUCGAAAGCGCCAACUGGCUGGCCAGCAUGAGACGCCUUUCGGAGGCCUACCAGCGUGAGAUGGACCGUGCCGUCAGCGGCACGCCGGCUCCUGGUGGGCCUAGCCGCAUUGGCCUGAUUUGGCAGCGUGGCGCGACCAUCGCCAGCAUGUUCGGGACAGAUCGUCCCGUCUACGCCACGCCCGCAGAGAACAUACGAGCCGCCCAGGCGGCAGCUGACGACCUAGACAAGCUCGAGGGCGACGAGCGUCGCCACAUGAUGGAGCGCGUCCAGCAGCUCCUUGACGCGGCUGCUGAGCAGCAAGAGGCCGGGUGCCGCACUGAAGCGCCCAACCGGCGAAACGACGACCCGCCUCCUCGCCGAGACCAAGGCGCGACAUCCCGGACGCCGAUUGGUGGCGUCCGCGGUAGAAGAGACAAGGAGCCGGCUGCCAGCCGCAGCCGGACUCGCAUCACCAUCGAGCGUGACCAAGACGGCCGCCCAAGAGCAGCGGAACGGCGGGACAACUGCCCGCCUCCUCCUCCCCCUCACAGGGAGAGGCGCGCUUCCCCGCCGCCUGUUGAUCACCCGACACUCGGCGACCGCCUUGGCCACCGAGAAGGAGUCAGAGAGAACGAUGCCCGCCACUGAAUCGACCGCCUCAAUCGAUCCCUGGUGUUAGAAAAAGAAGACGAGUUGGGUCCGCCUUGUUUCGGCGCCCGCAUCCGAGAUGAGCCUUUCCCCAAAGGGUUAACUCUCCCGAGAGAUACGCCCAAGUACACCGGCUCCGUGAAGCCGAAAGACUGGCUGGUCGACUACUCCACGGCCGUCAGCAUCGCGAACGGCAACAAGCGUGUUGCCGUGAAGUACGUUCCGCUCAUGCUCCAGGGCACAGCCCGGACAUGGCUAAACAGCCUGAAGCCCCGCAGCAUCAACAGCUGGGUUGAUUUCACUGAAGCCUUCAUCCGCAACUUCACCAGCACGUACAAGCGGCCGCCCAAGCCUCGCCAACUCUCCUUACGCGUCCAAGGCCCCAACGAGUCGACUCGCGACUACCUCACGCGCUGGGCCGAGCUGCGCAACUCUUGCGAGGGCGUGCACGAGGUGCAGGCCAUCGAGUACUUCACUUCCGGGUGCCGAGAAGGCACCCUCCUCAGGCACAAGCUUCUUUGCGACGAGCCGACGACCCUCGACGAACUGUUGAUCAUAGCAGACAAGUACGCCACAGCCGACUCCUCCAUGAAGGCGGAGAUCCAAGUUGACACAUCUGGCAAGGUGGCUCCCCAAGCUCCUCGGACCCCGGCUGGUGACACCAAGACGGCAACAGAAUGACCAUAAGCGCAAGGCCAUGCAGCCGGCUUCCAUGAGCCGGCAGGUGAUGGCAGUCGAAGAUCAGCAGCCGGAAGGGCAGCCACUACCCAAGCAUCAGAAGGGCGGCAAGCCUAACUGGUUGCCCACCUUCUCGUAUGAGCAGACUCUUGGUGCACCCUGCAAGUUCCACAACGGCGCGAAGCCGUCCAACCACACCACUCGGAAGUGCCACUGGCUCACCAGGAUCGCCAAGGGUGAUGGACUCCUGCCUCCCCCGCCUGCCGGCCCGCCGCCUCCUCCUCCCCAGCCGCCGGCGGUUCGGUCAGUCGGUGCAAUACAAGAUGAAUACCCUGAAGAGCAUGGAGCUUAUGUCGUGUCCACCAGCGUGGCCGACGAAAGGCACAGCAGACGAUAGCGACAACAAGAAGUAAAUGCAGUAGCAUCAAAGACCCCUGAGUUCAUGCAUUGGUCUGAGAAACCCAUCAGCUGGAGCAGAGCCGACCACCCGGAAGUGAUGCCCAAUCCCGGUUCUUAUGCUCUAGUGUUGGAUGCCACCUUUGCAAUGGAGAGGCAGGCUGCUCGCUUCUCCCGAGUUCUGAUAGAUGGCAGCAGCAGCAUCAACAUCCUGUACAAAGAUACUAUGGAGAAGUUGGGAAUCAAGCGGAGACAUCUUCAGCCCAGCCGGACUGUAUUCCAUGGCAUAGUUCCUGGCCUUUCAUGCUCACCAAUCGACAAGACUCAAAUUGACGUCCUCUUCAGAGAUAAAGAACACUUUCGCCGAGAGCCAGUCUGGUUCGAGGUGGUGGACCUUGAGAGCCCUUACCAUGCACUGCUUGGCCGGCCUGCCCUGGCCAAGUUCAUGGCGGUCCCCCACUAUGCUUACCUCAAUAUGAAGAUGCCGAGCUCCAAGGGAAUCCUUACCAUAGCAGGGGACUACAAGAAGUCGUCCGCCUACGCGGCAGACAGCAGCCGGCUAGUCGAGUCCCUCAUGAUCGCGGCUGAGAAGCGGCUCCUUGACCGGGUUGUGGCGAUGGUAGGCAAGCAGCCGGAAAUGUCACCCAAUCCCAAGGAGUCGAAAGCCAAGGGAUCGUUCAAACCGGCAAAAGAAACAAAGAAGAUACCCUUGGACCCGGAGCACCCGGAGAGGCACGCUGUCAUAGGUGCGAACCUUGACAGCAAAUAGGAAAGCAAGCUCGUCGAUUUCCUCCGUGAGUAUCGGGACAUCUUUGCAUGGUCUCCCAAGGACAUGCCGGGUGUUCCGACGGAUUUUGCCGAGCACAAGCUACGUGUCCGGCCCGAUGCCAAGCCAGUUAGGCAGCCCUUGCGCCGCCUGUCAGAAGAGAAGAGUUGUCGGAGAAGAGAUAGCCCGGCUUCUAGCAGCCGGCUUCAUCAUGGAGGUGUUCUUCCCAGAAUGGUUAGCCAAUCCAGUCCUUGUGCUGAAGAAGAAUAAGCAGUGGCGCAUGUGUAUCGACUAUACCAGCCUCAACAAAGCUUUCCCCAAAGAUCCAUUUGCUUUGCCAAGGAUCAACCACGUAAUUGACUCCACAGCCGGAUGCGAGCUGUUGAGCUUUUUGGAUGCAUACUCAGGGUAUCAUCAGAUCAAGCUAAACCCGGCCGACAGGCUGAAGACCGCCUUCAUCACGCCAUUCGUAGCCUUCUGCUACCUGACCAUGAUGUUUGGCUUGAGAAAUGCCGGCGCCACGUUUCAGCGUUGCAUGCAGAAGUGUCUCCUCAAGCAACUCGGCAGAAACGCCCACGUCUAUGUGGACGAUGUUGUGGUGAAGAUGGAGAAGCGCGGAACUAUGUAAUGCUUCCUGCGGCCGGACAAGUAAUGUGUUGGCACUUAAGCCUUCUCCUGCCAGAAGUCGCAGCUCGCAGAGCGACUGUCUGGUGGGCAGGAGUUAAGGCAGAAAGGGUGUCCGCAUGAAAACUAAUGAACCAAAAGCAUGUACAUAGUUCAAGUCAGCUCCCCGCCUCAUCGACCGGUUGCUGAGCAGCCGGCCGGCCGGCUUCUACUUAAAUUGCCAAAAGCUCUAAGCGGCUAAGUCCUUACCCUCCCAAAGCAGCCAAAUACUUGACCCAGCCACAGUCCGCAGAGCGGCUGUUUGGCUGGCAAGACGGCAGCACAGGGAGGGUGGCAAAGGAAAAAGCCAAGGAGCUGAAAGCAAGGAAAGAUAGAACUCGGAAAACGUAUUUACACAUCAAAAGGCCCUUGGCCAACAUUCAACUGAAGUUUGAAAUACAGCCCGCGGGUGGAAUUGUGCGAACAAAGUUUGUCGAGACUGAUAAGCAGGUAAAAACAAAAGGUAAAUUGGCAGCCUAGGGAGCAGCAGACGGGUUCGGCGGAACGGUGGAGUCGGUGGUGCCGGUUGGUGGAGCGGCCGGCUGGUCGGUCUCCGCUUGGUCGCCUUCAGCAGCAGCCGGCUCGCUCGGGCGUGGCUCGUUGCUGGAGGCACGGUCGAGCUGAGGCUGGUCGUCCGCUCCAACCUCUGGCGCUUCCUCUUCACUUUCCUCAUCCUCCUCGCCUUCUCCCUCGUUGCUGGAGUCGAUCACUUCGGCCGAGUCCUCGCCAUCCUCUGGGUUCAGCCCGAACCACUUUGGCGGCGCCUCGGCACCGUUCUCAGGCAGCUCCGGGACAAAGAUGCUAGUAUUGGUGUACUCGGUGAUUGCCGUCGCCCGUUUGACAAGUUCACCCUCUACCGCCACCAGCUCCUCCUGGGCCUCUUGUCGAAACAUGGUCAACUGGGCUAGAUUUAGCCCAGGGUACCACGUCUUGACGAACUCCAAGGCUCGGCGUGCUCCAGCCAGGGCCGAGGAGCCCUUCUAGGCCUCAAGACGGCCAGCCGCCACCUCCAGCCAGUCGGCAGUCCGGCUGGGAGUGCGCGGAGCCGGCAUGUCCGGCCACAGGGCGGAGAUGGCCUGGGCCCCGACGCGCUGAAGACGGCGCAACAUCCGAUGAGCCGGACGAAGACGGGCCUGGAUGCUGAGAAGUUGUUCGCUGAGGGUCCGGGGGGCGUUGGCAGCAAUCUGCGCACCUUCUGCCCUCCGCUCUUCGCGCUCAUCCUCAAUGGCCUGAUUGGCGGCGUCAAAGUGACCAGGGAAAAAGUCUUCCCAAACAGAAAGGAAAAGAGCCAAAGUUAGAAGCAAGAAGCCGGCUCGAUCAACAGCCGACGGCUCAAGGAAAGAAAAAAGGCUCACCGUCAACCAUGUCUUCAAUUUUGCCGAAGCCGGCAGUCAGCAAAGCCUCCUUAUCAGUCCAGGCGGACCGUUCGAUCUCAAACUCAACAAGGAGAGCGGUCUCCUUUUCCUCCACCUCCUUCUGGGCAUUCUUGAGAAGCUCCGCCUGCUCCGCCAGCUGCGUGGUCAGCCGGUCACGCUCCUCGGCCAGCUUGCUGCAGUCCGCUUCCCUGGCACGCAGCACGGUGUUGGCUUCGCCCAGCUACUGCUGCAGGGCAGCGUUGGCCUCUGCAAGAAGGGAGAAAGAAAAAGGCGUCAGCAGCCAACAGAGAAGAAGUACAGUCGCCGGGGAGAUCUGGCCCGACUGAUCAGCAGUCGGCCCGAAUCUCGGGGACUACAGCCCGCGGGCGCGCCAGCGCGCCCCCGCGGAGAAAGAAGUUAUCAAAAUCAACAAAGAAGAAGAACAGUUGCCGGGAAGAUCUGGCCCGACUGCUCAGCAGUCAGCCCGAAUCUCGGGGACUACAGCCCGCGGGUGCGCCAGCGCGCCCCUGCAGAGAAAGAAAACAAAGACUUACUCCGGCUUUCCGACAAGUCAGCGGUCCGUUGAUUCAGCUCCUGGACUUUGGAGUUGAAGGCGGCCGCAUGGAGGUUAUGAUAAUCCUGCAGUGAAGAUAUCAGACAAUGUUAGCACUCGGAGCUUGCCAAUUAAAGUUCCGAGCCGCCUGCUCAGCAGCCGGCCCGAAACUCGGGGACUACACCCAGUGGGUGCGCUGACGCGCCCCCACAGAGAAGUACAAGAAUCAGAAAUAAAGAAGAAACAUACCCGGAUGGCUGCUCGCGAGUCCAAGAACGCUUGGUUGCACCGUUUCAGGGCGUCGGCCUCGGCUCGGAGUUUGCCUUGGACGUCCAGGAUCACCUGAUUCAAAGGGCCCGUCCCGCCUCCCCGCACCCAAUCAGCGGGCGUGGCGCUGGUCGCCUCGGCGUCCGGGAUCGAAGAGCUCGCGGCACCGGCUUCCAGCGGGCGUGGCGCCGAAGCCGCCUUUGCAAGCCGGCGGCGCGAUGGUGUGCGGACCUGGAGAAUCGGGCCCGUCACCAUCUCAUCUCUGGUUGACGGCACCGGCGGGUCCACCGGCUGCUUGUCGCACGCCUCCCCAGAUGGUGGCGGCGGAGGCACGGCCACGUCCGGCAUGACGACAUCGCCGCCGUCCCUCUCCAUGAUCGGGUCCUUGUCGCCGGCUCCCCCAGUCGGCGCCACGAACUCUGGUGGUGGCGGCGCGGAGUUUAAGGGGAUGACGAAUAACGCCGACUGACGGCGCGCGGCUUCUUCAGCCUGCCGCCCUCGGCCUCCGCCAGCUUCUUCAAUGCGGCGGCCUCCGCCUUCUCUAGGCAGGCGGCUUCCUGCUCCCAACGCACCUCCCGCGCGUUUCGCUCCCGCGCCUCCCGGAGGUCGGCGGCUGGAUUGAUUCGCCGGGUGGUGGUGGAGGUCUCCGCCGACCCAAUGACGGAGGCGGCGGCCGACUUCUGAAAAGAGAGUGGGGCCCUAAGUCAAGAAAGUAAAGCAAAGGAAGUUCAAGGAGAAUCGACAAGGAAGAAAAAGCACAAGAAAAGAUACUUACGCCGACACCAUGGGAGGCGCCUUCGGGAGCUUCUGAAAUUUGGCUGCCUUCGCGGCGGCCUCCUUCCGCCUGGUCACGGUGGUCGGAUUCUUGGCCUUCUUCAGCGCGCUACUGAACAAGGCGGCGCCCUGUUUACACUUCCGCGUGCCGCCUCGAGCAGUCGGUUCGGCGGAGGGGCCCGCGUCCACCCUGCCGGCGCCUCGUGCAGGGCGCGGCUCGUCUUCCUCAUCGUCAUCGUCAGGCCAAGUCUCGAUGCCGCCUUCUUCGGAGCCGCCAGCUCCAUAGACGCUGCCUAUGGCGUCGUCCUCCAAGGCGGCCGCCCACAGGUCGGGGUCAUCCACGUCGCUCACAGCUCGGUCCGGUUCAUAGGGGCCACCCGCCCCCACGAUGGCGGCUGUCGCUUCAGACAUGUAGAUCUGUUUCAAAUGGGCAAGAGGCCGACUGUUCAAGACCGCAAGAUGGAAUCAAGACGAAGUAUUGAAGAAGGGAAAGGUUGAAGAACUUACGGCUGGUGGAGGGUCUGCGCGGGAGUACGGCUGCUUGCCGAACCGUCAGGGCACCUCCAGCUUGAGGUCGGAGAUCUCGUUCACCAGGUUCGCCACCUCAGCAGCCGGCAUCUCCUUGGUACUCAGCCGACAUGGGUCGCGGUGCCCGCUCAUCCGGCUGAUCAAGUGAGGCCGGCCUUGGAGCGGGAGAACCCGGCGCGCGACGAAGGCGACCAGCAAGUCAGACGCCUUGAGGCCUUCGGCUUCGGUCAGCACCCGGAGUCGGUUGAUGGCGGCAGUCUGCUGACACCGGCUUCGGCUUGUAGCCCUAGUUGGCCCGAGACUUAGCCGGAGGGACGGCUUCAUAGGCCGGCAGGUUGAUGAAGUCGACUGCCGGGUCGACGUCUCCACGUAGAAGUAAGAUUGCUGCCACAUCUUGACCGACUGUGGCAGCUUGAUGGAGGGGAAGGCGUUCCUUGGAGACGGACAGUGCACCGCGACGAAGGCACCACACUGGGUUGCCACCUCCCGGACGGAGGUGCCCAGCUUGGUAUAGAAGAACGCCCCCCACAGCUCGAUGGUGGGGAGGAUGCCGAGGUAGCCUUCGCACAUCGUGAUGAAGGCGGAUAGCAAUAUCACGGUGUUGGGCAUGAUGUGAUGAGGUUGGAUAUGGUAGAACUCGAGGAACGAGCGGAGAAAGCCGCUCGCCGGCAGGCCGAAGCCGCGGAUGAAGUGCGAGCGGAAGACGACCCGCUCGCCCUCCGCCGGCGCCGGCGAGAUCUCCCCCGCAGGAGGCACGCGCGCCUUCACGUAGCCUGCGCCGAGAAGGCGCCGCGUGUCGCAGAGAAAGGCGAUAUGGUCUUCAUUGACGUUCGACCCGUCCCAGUCUCCUCCCUGCUCGCGCGCCAUGGAAAGCUCGACGAGGUGAAUGGCGUGGCAGGGGAGCUGAGGAUUGAUGCAGGGCCAAGAGGGCUCGGGACGGAGGAGCUCGACGAAGACGAGCAGCGGCAGCACUCCGGCGUAGCUCGGGGGCACUGCGGCGAGAGGAGGAAGAAGGAGACGAGAAUGGGGCAGGAGGGCGCGCGUGCUCCGCCGCUUCCCCUCCUCCCCCUACUUAUAGCCGACGGGCUAUGAAGCCGAGGGGGUGGGCGUGGGAUCGUGGGAUUAACUGUGUCCACGACCCCACGUCCCCGCGUUUACCGCGCGAGUUACUGCGCGCAGUAACUCCGCGAAGAAGCUCAACCGCCCGCCCCGGCCGCAGCGGAUCCACUCGUGUGCCGAGGCCCGGUAGUGGCGGGCCCAGCCUGCUGUCACGUCCCAUCGCACGCGUGGGCUAGCAGGCUGGCCCGGCUAGCCGACGCCACAUGGCAUGCCCACGACGGGCGGCGGGCCUGGAAGCUUAGCUAACACGCCACCCAGUUCCCGCCAUUGCGUUCGAAGUUUCAGACGAAUCCGGCUGGACGUGGCCGACUCCCACCUGGCGGCUAGCCAGGAGUCGGAUGAAGCUUCCGCCCAGAGCACCCGGAGAAGGAAACUGUUGAGGCUCCUCGGCUUCUCAGCCGCGGUGCCUCACCAGCUUCGGGGACUACUGUCGGAGUAAUGGGCCACGGGUAGCCUAACCCGAGUCCCUGAACCUUUCAAGACACCGGGGCUGGCUGCGCCCCUCAACAAGCCGCCUUCUGAUGGCCGGUUGGCCGAACGGCCGGCUGCCAGAAGACGGCCAACCUCCGGAAGGCGGCAUCAAGACGGGCUGACUCCUAGUAGGCGGCCUCCAGAGAGGCCGGCUCCUAGCAGUCGGCCCACGGCGCCCUCAAAGUCUGCGCCCCCAUUAAUAAGACAAGAUAGUGUAAGGCUACAGCGUAGCCCAUCACCUUGUCACGGCCGGUUUUUCAAUAAAAUAUUUAUUGAGAGACCAAUCCCUUUUACGGACCAGCGAGGAAGAAUUCCUUCUCACUGGUAGACAAUAUCUUGGUCACAGAAGAAAAAUACCAGGAGUACUAAAUAUAAUACAAGGUUGAGCAGAGACUGCACAACAAUUUAUUACAUGCACGCCGCUAAAACAAGACGGCGGAUAGGGUGGCAAACUACUAACUUACGAUAAUAACGGUGGUGGAAAUAUCACCGCGAAGCGAGUGAUAUGAUUCCAGAAGACUACAGCUCUUCGAGCGUCGGAGUGAGGCUCGAGGAGACUUAUUGCGGGUGGCGGAAGCGUAUACAAUACAAGUGACCAAUGUCCGGGAUCGCGCAGGACUGACUGGGACUCCUCUAGGCAUCGGACGCGCUAUCAAACUCUUCAUCCAAGAGAUCGCCUUCGUCAACAUCUGGCCAAAUCAACAAGCCAGGUGAGUACUAUGAAAGUACUCGCAAGACAGUUCGGACAUAAGAUAUAACAAAUGUAAACAUGAAGCAUAUGAACAAGUUAACCGGUGCGAUUAGACAUAGCGGUAAUAAAUACUGGGUGCCAAGCGAGGGUCUGAAUCACGCCUCGAGCGGAAACUGCAGAAUAGUAAUACUGGUGCCAAACGAGUGUCUGAAAGACUCCUCGAGCGGAAAAUGCGGAAUAUUAAUGCGGGUGCCAAACGAGUGUCUGAAAGACUCCUCGAGCGGAAAAUGCGGAAUAUUAAUGCGGGUGCCAAACGAGUGUCUGAAAGACUCCUCGAGCGGAAGAUGCGGAAUAAUAAUGCCACAGUCGGGCGUCGGGGCGACACCACAUAAAGGGCUUAUAACAGAAAAUAAAGACAGUGCAUGCCGCAGUCGGACGUCUGAGCGACAUCACAUAAAGGGCUUAUAUUUAAAGUGAGAAGCGAGUACACGCCACAGUCGGACGUUUGCGCGACGUCUCAUAAAGGGCUUAUAUCACAACUCAUUAAUACAAUAGUCGGGAACAUAAAUUAUCACAAGCAUGAGACAAAUAUAAAGUUAGUCCAUCCACAGGAAUAACAAUAAAUCUGAAUUUACCACUUGAGCUUGUUCACCGGGGACAAGUUUUUCACACAGAUAGAUAUGGAUAUAAUACUUACACUGCUCGAUCAUGGAUACGAUGAUUUGGAAAGAAUUGACUCUGCAGAGUUUGUACUUAACCACAGCCAACGGAUUUCAGUAGUCACGGGGACUAGUUCCGUCUACAGUGUUUUGGAAGAAACACGUCUAACCAGUACACACCCAAUUCAACCAUCCGAAGCCAGGGAUCACCCUCGGAAACAUUCAAGAAAAACCUUGAGACAGGGAGGCUACAACCUCGCGUAGCAUGGGAUCAAAUUUCUAUACGCGCGCUUUAAGGGGGUGCCCCCCUCUCGGUCCCAACCGGAAACACCCAUGCCCCCUGACCGAAUGACUGGCUUUAAUCCUGGGCCAAGGUACCAUCAUCCCGGCCUCUCUGUUUGGUGUGUACACGGAAAGAGGUUACCAACUUACUACACCGCAUCCUGGCAAUGAGACAUGUGGUAGCACGGAAAGGGGAAAGAACGGUAACGCGGCUCCAACCACGUUAACGUCGGAGAAAGUCGGAUGACGCAAGGCUGGCAUGCUACAACAGUACCACCUUGCUGCCCUUCAUGUCACCACAUGAUUAGGCCAUCUCUCAUCAGAGAUCAUCGCAACUUUGGAACAUGCGGGAAAAGAUCGAUAACGUGGCUCCAACCACGUUAACGUCGAAGAAAGUCGGAUGACGCAAGGCUAGUAUGCUACAACAGUACCACCUUGCUGCCCUUCAUGUCACCACAUGAUUAGGCCACCUCUCAUCAGAGGUCAUCGCAACUUUGGAACAACCGGGUCGUUGCCUUACAAGCAACGAGGUAUUUACCGACACUCAUUUGCCACGCACAAACUCUCACGUGAGCAUGUAAAACACCUGUCAUAUCAAAUGUUCAAAACAUACUUGCCUGGUUCGGAGAAGUCGGAGUCUAGCUCGGCGAAGUUCGCGGCUCCGUCACCUCUCCCGGAACCUACGGCAAUCACGAAACGGGUACUAACGUGAAAACCAACACAUGCACAGAAACUUUUCCAAAUAUUUUUCAAAUAAAUCCCAUAAAAAACUAGACAAAAUUUGAAGAUUGUCAGAAAAAGAAUCACUCAAAAAUACCUUUUUAUUAAAAAGUUAUAAAGGUUUCUAUCCAGGGACUUAUCUGUAAUGAAACAGAAAAGUUCCAGGGUUUUAACUAAGAAAACAGAAAACGCUUCGGUUGGGAAUGCGCAAGCACAGAGGAGAAAACGUAUUCUGCCCGAAGGCGCCAACAGAAAACGGUUCGCGAAUAAAAGAACAGAGGCUGACACGCGGGGUCCACAUGUCAGGUUUGAAAAGCUCGCCGGCGCCCGAAGACUGCGGUGGACGCCGGCGUCGAACCACGGCGAGUUAGGAGGGACGGAGGGUACCAAGAGCUUCAGCGUCCUCUUCCGCAUCGGUGGGUGGUGGACUCGUCCAACGGGGAGCACCACGUCGACGGCGACACUUUCUCCGGCGGACGGCGGCUCGGGUGAGGAUGGGGAACUCCGGUGGAGGGCUGCAAGCUUCAAAUUGUAGUGCGGGUCAGAAAGAGGGAUGCAUGGUGAAGCUACUGGCACGAGAAUGGAGGCGGAGGAGCACACACGGGGGCGAAUCGGGCUGGAUCCCGUGGCGGGUCACGGCGGCCGGAGUCGAGGAAGGAGACCUCCUCGGGGCUCUUCCAGUGGCUAGGCGUGCUCUAGGGGGAGUGCAGUGCUGGUGGGUGCUCGAGUUGAAGCUCGGGGCCUCUAUUUAUAGGCAGAUCGACGGGGUGGCCGUGAAUGGAGAAUCUCCGGCGAGCGAUUACGGCGGAGCAGUGGAUUGGCAGGGGGUUUGAGCGGCCAGGCAACAUCAGUGGAGGUUACUGGAUUCGUUUUGCAGCUAAACGGGGUCGGUCUUGGCGUAAUGGCGUCGGUCCACGGUGAGGUGACCGCACGGGCUCAACGGCUGCAGAGAGCGCGCUCCGCGCCCUGCGGUUCACGACGAGAGCGGCAGCGCGUUCGGGGUAGUGGAAGGCCACGUGGCGAGCUCCGGUGGGUUGGGCGGCGCUGGGUGGCGUCGUCGGCGCCGUGUCUCCCGCUGGCGUCCGCAAAGCCGCCGCCGGCGUCGGUCACGGGGCGGCGCACCUUCUGCUGCUCGUCGCCGACGCCCGCAAGGCGCCAGGCGUUCGUGCGGUGCAGGAACAAGGGGGCGGGGACGAGGAGCAAGGCGACGCGGUGGCACUGGCGAGAUCGACGUCCUCCUCUGAAGAAAACGACAGCAGCCACUGACUGAAUCUCUGAACUUUCUGAACUUUGACAAAGACAGUGCACUGCAGGUGUUCGACAGAAGGUUUUGGCUAUGAGAUAAAUUUUUCUGGAGCUGUAACUUGGUGAGAUGACCACUCAAAGCACCCAGAGGCUGCCUGAUUUUACUUGGAAUUUUUGGAAAAGGUUUGGAAUGAAUUUCACCAAAUUUGACAAAUCUGGUCCAAACUUGCAGCAAGUGUAGUUUGAAAAUUUUGAACUGAAGACCAGUGGAUCUUCAUGGUUCUAGGUUGAGGGUACAAAGGACCAGGGAGGAGAGUUGGUUUGGGGGCAAAAAUCGAAACAGAAAAUGGAGUUCCUUUGUAAAUCUCCAAGUGGUAGAAUAGAAGGCAGAAAUUUAUUUGAAUAGAGUUUGAAAUGGAAGUAAUCACAUGGGGAGGUUCAACUUGCUGGAUUUGAUGCAAAUCAUGAUCCAAAGGUGAGGAAGUGGUUAGGAGAGAGGAUUUGCAUUAAUGCCAUGGCAAGAAAGAAUUGUUGAAAGUGGCAAAGGACUUUUCAAAAGCCAUAGUGCAAAUUCAAAAAGAUUUUCAAAAGUUAUUUUCCCAAAUGAAAAACAUUUUGUCUUGAGUCAAAGUGAAAAGCAAGAACUUCCAAGACCAAAGGUAGAUCUUGGAUGAAUCCAAACAAAACUUUUGCCAUAAAAAAAAUAUAUGAGAGGGAGAGUUCUCUUGAAGAAAAAAAAAAUUAAAUCACUCCCCUCAAGUCAAAUAAAAUCUUUUGAAAAAUUCCAAAUAAAAACUUGGGUGUUACACGUAUCCGGGUCGGGCGUGGCCACAGUGCUCCGUACAGGCGGAGAUCUCCGCCCGGCGCGGCACUGUUGCCACUCCGCCCCUGACGUCACAGCUGGCAGGCGGAGCCCUGUUCCCACGACGGCCUGUCGGUACGGCCUGCAGGCAGCGGGCCCUACCAGGCAGCGAGAGCCCGGAAGAUGGCGGAGGCCUGGCCAGUCGGACCUGAGGGAGGCCGGCUUCCAGCAGGCGGCCCUUUCCUCCCUCGGGGCCCGUGCACCAUUAGCCAGAUGAGACACGGUGUGGCUACAGAGAUCUCCCACCAGGCGGCGGGACUGUAGCCACGCUCUCCUGACCAAGCACGCGUCAUUAGCAUCACAGCUAUAGUAAUCAGCAGCCGGCAAGACCCGCGAGCGGCGGGAGCGGCCUGUCGGCUCCGUACCAGACCAGUCGGCGGGGCCCACCAGGCGGCGGGCCCCAGCAGCCGGCCGAGAAGCCGGCGACCAGAGACACUGACAGCCGGGACCUACACCCGGCCAUAUUACCAAUGUACCCCUGGGGGGUAGGCCUAUAUAAACCCCCCAGGGCGCCCAUGCAAAAGGUUCCCAACCUGUUAGAACUAGACUCAUACCUAGAGGAAGGAGAGAGCGAGCCUGCCUUCUUCUACCUCUAGCAUACAGCUCGAGGAGCACCAUUGUAUCCACUAGUGCCUUAGUGAUCAUGCGGAGACCCCGCAGAGCAGGACUAGGGGUGUUAUCUCCUAGGAGAGCCCCGAACCUGGGUAAAGUGCGCCGGCGUUCGUGUCUACGCCUCAUCCCGCUUCCAGGCACCGGCGACGUUCUACUCGCUCCCACCAUGAUAAGCCAUCUAUUGGCAUAUGUCGCACCCAACCCCCGACAUCGAACCUGGUGGAUCAGUUGUUAGUGACAGAUGUAUCGUCAUUAAAAACUAUGAUGAGGGACGGGCAGGUCAUAUACUAUGACCGUUCUAGUGACAUUUUUUGGCCAUCACGUAAGAUAGCUUUCGGCGACAAAUUCGGGUUCGUCACGGAAAAAAGAUCUCACGUGAGAGAAAAAGUGGUACCAUCAAGAUUUUUCUGUGAUGGUGCUUCAGUGAUGGUGGGGGUGACGGUCGGAAAACAUCACCAUGCCAUUUUUGGUGAUGAAAAUCGGUUUUAUGUGACACAAGUGAAACAUCGCAAAAUAGCACAUGUUUUGUAGUGUUUACUGAAUAUAUUUUGAAUGGAAGUAUUAAAUUUUAGCUUGUACCUGUGAGAUUAUGCUUACUUGUAACAGUUUGAAGAUGGGUCAUUAGAGUCACAUGUUGCAUCAGGGCAGUGUAAGAUUUCUGCCUGGCAUAAGAUCUUGUGAUCCUUGACCUUCUUGUAUGAGAUCUUGUGAUCCUUGCCCAUAGUGAAUGCUACUGACUGCUCAUCUGUGUUGUGUGUGGUUCUUAACUCAUUGCUAAUGCGAUUGUGAUUUUCUUUCCAAUGUAGACCCAAUUGCUGAUUGGGCAUUUGUGCAACUUCUAUAAACCACACAUGCAAUUCCAGGAAAGUUAGUCAUGUAAGUAUCUUGUAUUUUUUGGUGAGCAGUAGUUUUUCAUUCUAAUGCUAAUCACGAGGAAGUAGAUCACUUUCUAUUUAUUUAUGACACAUAUUGCAUUUGUGAAAUUUUUGGCAACCGCAUAUGCAAUUUCACAAUAUUAGUAACUACUACGUAAUGAUUUUUGCUACUUCUACCCCUGAAUUCGUUUGUUUAGAGUGUUGCUUACCUUGUUGACAUUAUGGUAUGGUCCAAGUUCAAGUUGUUUAUGCUUAUAUUGUAUUUUUGCAACUUCUCUAGCCUCCAUAUGCAAACUUCAAAUAAUUAGACACAUGAUAUGGCAGUAAAUUAGAGCACAAAUGGCAGCCAAAUGGCUACCAUGGCAUCAAAGUGGCUGCCAUGAUGUCGAAAAUGGCUGUCAUGGCAGCAAAAUUGGAUGUCAUUCAUAGUCUCAUUUUGGCUCUUCUACUAUUGCACACCUUUUUAAGAUUAUGGCUUGCUUCACCAUGUAGAUGUUGUUGUUGAUUUUGUGUUUCUGCAAGUUCUGCAUCCUGCACAUGCAACUUCAGAUAAUGAGUAGAAAUGGAUGCCAUGACACGAAUUUCUUCUAAAAUGCUAUAAAAUUUGCAGUCAUGACAUCAAAAGUUGUUGACAUGGUAGUAAAACUUUUACGAGAAAGCUAUUCUCCUGCUGACUCGCAGUUAGCGACAGAUACGUACGAUCGCUCCCGCCAGGUUUUUUUUCCUUCGAUCUUUCUUUACGAUCGCUCCCACGCCCGCUCGCUUUUUUUCCCUUCGAUCUUUCUUUCUGAUCCUGUCGCUCCUGCCCGCCUUUUUUUUCCUUCAGCGCUAAUUUUUUUCCUUUAGCGCUAAAAAAAAUAUAAAUGCUACGUGUAGGAUUCGAACCUAGCACCUGUUGUGUUUAUACACAUCAUCCUUACCAUUACAACAACUAGUAUUGGUUGUUUUGUAUCAAAAGAUAACGAGGUAUUUGUACCUUUUUACUACUAUAUGAGAAAAGAAAUGGAAAAAAAUUCUUGUUCUUUUUCUUUGGAUUUCUCCAAUAACUCACGUACAAUCAUCAUGAUAUCUAGUUUCAUGAGUCUCAAGUUGAUAACACCCUAUUAAUUUUUGUGCGGGGGUGGGGGUGAGGGGGGAGUUGAUGAAACAUCCACUCGGUAACUUUUUGUGUGAACAACAUGGUAACUCACACAUCAUGGACCUGAUAACUCGCAUAUCACAGAUCUGAUAACUUAUAUAACUUAGUCCUGAUAACUUUGGCGUAGGGGUGGGUGUUGAUGAAACAUCCCCCGAGAACUUUUGAUGUGAAUAGCAUGAUAACUCAUACAUCAGAGACCUGAUAACUUAUGCAACCCGGUCUUGAUAACUUUUGGCCAAUAGAGGUGAUGAAAUAUACUCCGAUAACUUUUAUGUGAAUAUAUGUAUGUCAUUUACAACCCCGGCGUAUUGAGGACGCUUGAAGGCCUCGCUCACCCGAAGUGAUUUAUAAAAAUUCUUCUUUCUAUCACGGUAACUCACACAUCGCUGACCUGAUAACUUAUGUGCAUAGGUCUUGGUAAAUUUGGCGACCGGGUGGAGGGAGGCACAUUGAUGAAAUACCCCUUGGUUAUUUUUUGUGCGAAUAGCUUGAUAACUCACACAUCGUAGGCCUGAUAAUUUUGGGAGAAAAAGAUGUUGGAAACAAAUCUUGAUGCUAGUAGUUUCCAUAAUGUAGUUUUGACCUUGUAGUUUUAUAGCCUAAGAAAUCAUGAUAAAGCUGAUAAUUGAACUCAAGACUUCAAUAUUGAGAUCUUAACACACUAGCCAACUCACCCACUACUUGGCUCCUGACAAGUUCAAAUAAAAUACCACUUUUUUACCAUCUGAGGUGAACAAAUUGUUAAAAUAUACCCCCGGUAGCUUUCUGUGUAAAUAAGAUGAUAACUUACGUACAAUUAACCUGAUAACUUACAUAUAAACACAUUGAUAACUUUUCACCUUGGGCGAAAAGUUCUAGAAAUAUGCCCUGAUAACCUAGUGCAAAUAGCAUGGUAAUUUAUGCACCAGACAACCAAUAACUUACAUAUAACACAUUUGAUAAAUCUUUACCCAUGUGAAAAACGUUACUGAAACAUGUCCCGGUAACUUUUUGUUGUCGAAACAUACCCCAGUGUGAAGUUACCACUACCCCAUGCUAAAGUUAUCGUGCUUCUCAUCGUAUAGUCAUUAACCUUCUCAUAUUAUAGUUAUCAGGCUUAUCAUAGUAUAGUUAUCAUGUUGCUCAAGUCAUAGUUAUCACGCUGGUCAUGCCAAAGUUACCAAGCAAAAACAAUUAUUAUCGCUGAUAUGACAGAAAAAAAGAAAGGUUAAAAUAACCUUGUUUAUAUUCGAUAGACAACAACUAAGGGUGGCUUAGUUGGUUAUUGGGCUCAAACUCUAAUGAGUAGACCUGGGUUCAAGUCCCCUUUCCAGCACUUUUAUUUUCUUUUCAUAUUGUGUAGCCAAAAAACCAGAAAAACCACUAGCGAUUUACUAUUGGCGUAUACGGUUUUCGAGAGAAGAAGAAAAAUCGGUGGAAUCGAGCGUGCGGGUCGCGAGAGGAAGCUGGGUUACGGUCGUGCGGAUACAGUCGACUAGUCGUUAGCACCGUCCAAACUUUUAUUUAUUAAGUUCAAAUGUCAAGAAGGGUAGCUUAGUAAAAAACUAAACAAAACAGAUUCAAGUUAGCCCAACCAAGGUGUAAUCCAGCUACAAAUGAAAGAGUAUUCUUCUCUAGUAAAACUUGUGUGCAUUUUGUUUGUGUAUUUGAUUUUAUUCAUUCAUCUCUAGUAAAUCUUUUGUCCAUUUUGCUUGUGAUUUUGUUUUUGUCUCCGGGGAAGGUAGUAGGGGUGCCUCUAAUUCAUUCAUCUCUAGCAAAUCUUUUGUCCAUUUUGCUUGUGAUUUUGUUUUUAUCUUCGGGGAGGGUAGUAGGGGUGCCUCUAAUUCAUUCAUCCAUAGUAAAUCUUUUGUCCAUUUUGCUUGUGAUUGUGUUUUUAUCUUCAGGAAGGUAAAAAGGUUUCCUCUAUUUCAUUUCUCUCUUGAAUAACUUUUUUGUUUUGUUUUGUUUUUCAUCUUCAUGAAGGGUAUAGGGGUGCCUCUAAUUCAAUCAACCCUACUAGAACUUUUGUUAAUUUGGUCUUCUCUAGAAAGAUCCAUGCGCUGAUUUACAAUCAACCCUAGUACAACUCUUGUGAAUUUUGGGGGGCGAUUUAGAAUUAAGAAUCUGUAUUUACCUUGGGGAUAAUCUCCCGAUCUUGAUGUGCGGUGGUUGGUCGGGACCAGGUGAGUUGUUAGCGGGUUAACGGGUGUUUUUUUCAACCAUCUUCUUUUCGAUGGGCUUUAGCCUCUUGUUGAGAGAAGGAGGAAUGGUUUCGAAGGGAUCGACUCACAGGGGAUUUGGGUCACUCAAUUUUGUUUCAACUGAACUACUGUCUGUUCAUUUGAUUUGAAUUCAACGGUUCAGAAGAGUUCGACUCACACAAAAACAAAAUCCAGUCGGCUGACCAGUUGCCACUUCCAUAGCACAGUAAUAUACAUAGUCAGCAGGGAGAAGUCAUUAGACACUACAUUGCAUAUUCAGCAAGGUAUCUAGAAAGAGAUACAUACAAUACCGACCCCUUUAACUGGCCAUUCCCCAGACCAGUGUGGCAAAUUUGACAAAUUUGACCUAUAGUCGAAAUCAAAUCACAGAAUGAACUGUCCGUGAAACUAUUCACGCGGCUGACCCUUGGCGCCUAACUCUCAGGCGCUGCACUAGUGCAACGCCCAGGAGCUAGGCGCUGCACUAGUGCAACGCUCAGGAGCCAGGCGCUACACUGUGUAGUGUGACGCCUAGCUCUCAGGCGCUGCACGCUGACUUGGGCACAUAUGGGUGCGACGCUGGCCGUGUAGCGCCUAUCUGUGAGGCGUUGCACAGUAGGGUGUGGCGCCGGCGUGGCGGGCGCUACACAAAAGGGUCAGGGGAGUGAAAUAGUUUCGCAACCAGUUCAUUCUGUGAAAUGAUUUCGUCCCGAGGUCAAAAUUGUCAAAUUUGCCGACCAGCGUCCGUGUUCUUAGCUAGUGCUACACGUACAAUAUAUACCCUUUGGCCAUGUGUCACAGACACAGUCUGGGGGUCGCAGAGAGCAGACGAGGCGGGCAAAUUUGACAAUUUUGACCUGGAAACGAAAUAAAUUCACAGAAUGAACUGGGUGCGAAACUAUUUCACACCCCUAACCCUUUUGUGUAGCGCCCGCCACGCCGGCGCCACACCCUACGGUGCAGCGCCUAGCUCCGGGGCGUUGCACCUCUGUCCACCGUGGCAGCCCACGGGCCCGCACCCAGCAGUGCAACGCCUACGAGCUAGGCGCUGCACUGUGACUUAUAUGCAAACGCGCCAGCCCUCUCCUCCCCCACCCUCCCCAUUGGCAGUUACAGAAAAACAGGGCGGCGGCCAUCUGCACUCCCCCUCUCAAUCCCCUCUCCCAAAUCCUUCCGAUCCGACGAUUUGGUCCGUGCAUUUGUUCACCAAUCCAUCAUAGAAGGUACUCUCCUCCGAUCCCCUUCUUUCUAUCCAUAGAAAAUAUUAUAUUUUGAAGAUUUGGGGAACCCUUGUUUGAAUCUUGCAUGUAUUAGAUUUGGGCAACUUUUGUUUGAAUCUUGCAUAUAUUAGAUUUGGGGAACCCUUGUUAGAUUAGAAUGUGGUUUGGAUAGAUAGGUUGACAUGUUAUUUAUAUAGUUUGGAUACAUAGAUUGACAUGUUAUUUCUAUGGAGAAGUAGAUUGACAUGUUAUAGUUUGGAUACAUAGAUUGACAUGUUAUUUCUAUGGAGUAGUAGAUUGACAUGUUAUUUGUAUGGAGAAGUAGAUUGACAUGUUAUAGUUUGGAUACAUAGAUUGACAUGUUAUUUGUAUGAAGUAGGCCCAAGUAGGGGGAAGCACCAUAUGCUUUGGAUCUUGCAUGUAGUAGGCCUACUUUAGUUUUUUUGAAUUGAAAAGAUAAUCGUGUUGACAAGAAUGCUUUGUUGAAAUUGUUAGGAUGGUUUGGCUUCUCGAUGAUCAUUGGGACAAACAACACCGGUCGUACGCUAUGUCGGUGGAGCAGCGGGUAAUACUGAAAGUGGCCGGUGUUAUGAAUUUCGUAUGUUUUUUCAAACACAUAUGCCCCAUAUGUAAUGUUAUGAUUUGUUUGUUUGUAGGAGCUUGCACCUCUGAAGCUUCGGUCUCACGGGAUCAGCCUUGGAGGGAUGAGCUAUGAUGAGCGGUACACACCUUAUGUUAGGGAGGCAGGACUUCUCCCUUUCAUUGAGUUGGUCCGCCGGUCGACGCCACCCAACAAUGCUGCAGCACUCACCGCGCUUAUUGAUCAUUGGAGGCCGGAGACACACACUUUCCAUCUUCGGACCGGGGAGAUGACCGUGACGCUGCAGGAUAUCGCUAUGAUCACCGGUCUUCCUAUCGAUGGCAAUCCUUUAUGUAUGAACACCGAUUCUGAAGGGUGGCGAGCGCAGAUGCAUGACCUUAUCGGUAUGGUUCCUCCGGAGCCUCGGGAGCCAGAAAGAGAAGAUAAGAAGAAGGAAAGAGUCGCAGCGGGGCGCUACUCUGACUUUCCUUCCUUCAUGAACCGUUGUUUGGUGCCCAUGAGGCUCGACCACAUGAACCAUGCCCGGGUUUGUCGCGGCCAUGGCUAACAACAACCUAGGGAUUCGGUUGUAUGCUUCCUCCCAUGUACCAUACAACAUCUUAAAUGCGGCUUGCUUCGCCUUCCAUGCCUUGCCGUAUUUCACCUUGUAAUGAAAGAUGGCUUUCACAAGGUCAAUGACAUGUUGGACGCUCAUUGUUGGAAGUGUGGAUAUUGAGUUGGAGAGCCUAUAAGCGAUGAACUCGGACGUGAGUUGUUUGUGGUCUUCGGACACAAUCUUGCCAUCCACCCUUUUGCCUUGGCACAUGUGAGUUGGCACACAACUCACUACAUGCCAAGUAGGACCUCCUUUCCAUGGUCUUGCACGCACAAUCCACGGACAACCGCCAUGGCAUCUUGCCACUCCUUGUUGGACCUCCUUUCCACGACCUCUACCACCACCACGGCCUCUUGUAAGUCCAAGUUGGACCUCCUUUUCAUCUUCACAUGCACAUGCAACCGUGUAGCGCACAUUGACGUCCGAGUGCACCACCUUGUGUGGACGAUAAUGCGUAACCGAGUAGUUGUCGAGCCACAUCUUCAAAUCCAACAAGCUGUCGAACUUAGAACCUUUAGCAAUCCGGUUCUUGUCGUCUACCAAAUCACGGUGAGAGCUUGGCCUAACCCCAAGAGGUACACAUUGGCCACCAUCUACCACGGCUUCAUCCGCGAGACUAACAUCCUUGAACAAUGUAGUCCGAUGAUCCCGACCAAAUACCUUCUCGAAAGCUUCGGCCUCCUUCACCGUGAACCCCUCCGCAUCAACUUGUUCAUCGGGACCAUCGUCAUCCGAGUCCGAUGCAUAUGCACGGGAAAAAGGGAUGGAAUGGUCCAUUGUCUCUUGCAAAUGAUAUUUGUCGAGAUCACCCACAUUGUUGUUAUGGAGAUCAACUUCAUUGUCAUCGUCCGCAUACUCAUCAUUGUCCUCUUGCAAAGCUUCAUCUUGGUUGUUUGUAAACGGGCUCAAUGUUGGCCUCACUUCUUGGGUCAAAAGAGGUUCAACAAUUUCAUCUUGCUUCAAGGGUGGGGGGCUACUAGCAACCAAAGGGGAGGGGUUCCGGUUCAAGUCCAAAUGCAAACUUGAACCAACCUUCUUCGUUGCAAAUAACUCAAGAGCCUUGUCUAGUGAUUCGGCCACCGUCUCCUUGUAUGCAACCCAACGUUGCUCCGAGUUGACACACAUUGUCUUCCAACGGAUGUGCAUUCCAAAACCAACAUUAUGCCUUCCCUCCAACUCAAUGAUAUCACUAGGGUCCAUCCAAUUCAAAUCUUUCCUAACUUGUUGCAAGAGCUCCGCAUAGCUAGGACUACUAUCAAACACCAUGUCAAACUCAUACGGGUCCGGUUCUUUAUUGCCUUUCAAAAAGGCGUCUUUGUCCCCAUGAUGAACAAACACACAUGUUCUUCCCAUCCCUAUAAGCAAUGAACACAAGGUAACAUUGCUUCCAUGAGUACUAAUCCAUGGAUUAACACCGAAUACAAACCCUAAUAUAUAUAUGAAACAACAACCCUAACCCUAACCAUAACCCUAACCCUAACCAUAACCAUAACCCUAACCAUAACCCUAGCCCUAAACCUAACCCUAGCACCAACAUAAGAACACCCAUAAGAAUAACCCUAGCAUACUAACAAAGCCUAAUCAUAGAUAUUGGCAAACAAACAUCUCACAUCUCCAUGCAAAUCUCUAGAUCCAAACAAAACUAGGGUUUCCCCAAACUACCAACAAAUGAGCAAUGGGAGAACUUUACUUCGAUCAAAAAAAGGGGAUCGGAGAUUAUUACCUUGAGGGAGGGUUUGACUUCGAAAUCCACGGACAAAUUCUUCAAAUUUNNNNNNNNNNNNNNNNNNNNNNNNNNNNNNNNNNNNNNNNNNNNNNNNNNNNNNNNNNNNNNNNNNNNNNNNNNNNNNNNNNNNNNNNNNNNNNNNNNNNNNNNNNNNNNNNNNNNNNNNNGGAUAAGUCACAGUGCAGCGCCUAGCGGCUAGGCGCUGCACAUUACAGGUGCAGCGCCUAGCUCGUAGGUGUUGCACUGCUGGGUGCGGGCCCGUGGGCUGCCACGGUGGACAGAGGUGCAACGCCCCGGAGCUAGGCGCUGCACCGUAGGGUGUGGCGCCGGCGUGGCGGGCGCUACACAAAAGGGUCAGGGGUGUGAAAUAGUUUCGCACCCAGUUCAUUCUGUGAAUUUAUUUCGUUUCCAGGUCAAAAUUGUCAAAUUUGCCGACGAGGCGCGCUGCGCGCACUGCAGCGCCGUGCUGCACGAACGUCGGUCGGGCCCGGCGGUGCCCGUGCACGCAGGUCCGUAGGGCGUGAACCGUGUGCGAGCAUCACGUGUAGGGUGGGCUGUGGUUGGGGGUUGCCAAGAGCCGAGCAGAGCAGAGCAGAGCCGAGCCGACCGUUGGUAAUCUACCAGCACGCACCACACGCGCAUAACAUAAUCCUCUUCCUCCCUCCAUGAUUUUGUUUUUGGUUGCAUCCAUCGUCGGGUCCGUUGGCACCAUACACACGCGCCUCGGACAGAGCGGUCGAGCCGAGACAUGGCGUGUGCGUGCGUGUGCCGGUCGAUCGCCUCCGCCUCCGCCUCGUGCGCACCUACCGGCAUGUCGUGGGUUCUGCGGUACCUGCGCUGUGUCGUGUCCGGCCGGCCCGGCCGGAGACGGGGAGGAGGGAGGAGACUUUCAGUGCAAUCCACUCAAACGCGCACACCAGAGCAGAGUGAUUAGUUGGCUGGCGCGAGCGAUCAUGUACCAUACCGCCAUGAUCAAUUGAUCAUGAUGGUUGCUUGCAAGCGAUUAUUAAGCUAGCCGGGCCGUUAAUUACGACUGCUAGUACUCCUUUCUCCUCCAGUGGCGCACUUGGAUAUCAUUCAUUCAUGGCUGUUGCUCUCAGGCUCAUCAGAGUGAUUUCUUCUUACGCAUCCAAAUUGGUUAUUUCCGAAAGGGGCGCGCUGGCUGGCUAGCUAGCUGUAGCGCACACUCCAUACGAGGGAAACAACGCUGCUGGACAGAGAUCGAACGGGACGGAGCAGUAGAUCAUCAGCACCGCCAGAGAAAAAGAAGAAGAUUUGCAUCCCGCACCGACGCAACAAUUAAUCGCGCGCUGUUAACGGAAAGGAGGAGGAAAACGUAGCGCACCGUCGCAAUCAUCUCCCCGACUGGCAGCGCCACCCAAUCAAUUGGCAUUACCCAAAGUAAUUAAUUAGAAAUUACUCCUCCUACUUAGUACUAGUUCCUGCCAGUAGUAACUCUUUCAAAAUUGCCAAGACAAAAAUGUACUACUCACAUUGCAAAAAAAAAAGGUUUUAGAAAAGAAAAACAACCCAGGGGCAUUACGGUCAUUUAGCUCAGCAGCUACAGUAGUAGCGGGCAGCUGCAUCACGGGGGAGGGGAGGAGAGAGAGUGGUUCGUCGUGGGAGUAACAGACAGACAGCACACCGCAGGGAGAGAGAGGGAGAGGAGCUGAAAGGCGUCGUACGCGCUCCCACCAUCCCCCACCCCCCUCGCCCUGCAUUAUUUUCUCUCUCUCCCUCCCCCCUCCGCCUCCCCGCUUAUUCUCUCUCCCCCUUCCUACUCUCUGUCCCCCGUCUGCUCCAUUUCUGCUCUGCGCGCUCCCCUCCCCACCCCACCCACUCCCCCCAUUCCGUCGGCGCAGCAGGCGAGCGGAGCUCACUCCCAAGAGAAGAUGUCCGCCAUCCCCUCGAGGUAUGCAAAGGUUUCCCACGCCUCCGUCCGAAACCACUCCCGUUUCCGCGGGUUCUUGGCCCCUUCGCGCGCCAUUGCCGCCUCUCCCCCGUGCUUCUUGGUCCGGGCGAGUUCCGAGGUUUUUUUUUCCUUGCUUAGACGAAUCUGCUCCGUCGUUCCGGGAAGAGGAGAGGGGAGGGGUGGUUGCGGGAAACGGACGUCCUUUUUGCCACGAAAGGUGGUGGUUGCGGUGUGGUGCUCCUUGCCGCGGUUCUUGGGGACCACCAGCGUCGCUAACGCGGCGCCUCGCUGUUUCGUAGUGUCGGUGGAGCCAGAUUCCGGUGGAAUUUCCGCAGAUUCGUCUUUCCCGGGGCUUCGACCUGUGAGAUGCGGGCAGGGAUUGGGCUUUUUAGUCGCUAUGUGUUUACGGACUUUUUUUAUUCGGAGUUUUGGGUGAUUAUUACUGGAAUAUAUUUGUCUUGUGGUCGAGGAAUCAUUUCUCACCUACCACUUCUUGGCUGCUAUUUCUAGUCGUAAUUUCUGAAAUUUUAUAAAAGGGGUAUUUUGCUUUCUUGGUUGUUCAGAAAGAUGCCUAGAUCUGGCACUAGUUCAUCCAUCUUUUUCUCCUUUUGCGGGUGACUAGUUCAUCGAUCUGAAACGGGCAUUGCCCCCUGUGAGCUUUGCUUUGUUCGUAUGCUUAAGGCCUGGUUGGUUAGGAUCUAGUAGAUGUCAUGCAAAUCGAUACUUACUGGAGGAGUAGAAUGGUGUCAAAAAACAUUUUGUUUACUCUUCUGGUUGCUGCAUAUAACUACGUUGCUAAGUAUCACUGGUAGUCCUUUGCUCAAGCUUCAAGCUAUAUCUGAGAUCUGAUGUUGUCGUUGGCAACUUCACUGCACACUGGAAGUCAUAUUUCAACUGUGUUAGGGGGUGGGACACACUUUUCUUGCCGAUGAUGUUAUCAAUUAUCAUUACUCUCAAAAUUUAGUAGUUUCUUUUUUCUGCAUACAUUUGGGCGUGCUUAGUUAUUUCAGGGGAGACGUCUCCAUGAAUCCUGCAUGUUUCCAGAGUUUGUCUGUAGCUUCAUUUGGGGGGAAUGCUAUAUUAUCUUAUUCCAACUUGACUUGUCAUAUCGAUAUCAGGUUUUAUGUCUGAAACUUGUUAUAGGGUUAUAUCUGAAUCUUGAAGUAGAUCUACUACGGCUGAGUGCUUCACUUUACGUAUGUUUUGUUUAGCUACCUCUGCUAUAGAUGGCUUUGGUACUGAAAUCCUAUUGCUGGUCUGCUCAAAUUAUUUUGUGAGGCAUGAUGUUAAUAUCCUUUCCUACCAUUAGUGAACUUCUUUUCAGUAAGUUGUGUGUGUCUUAGAAUGGUGUUGCCAAUGAUUGUGAUAGAAAAAGAUUCCAGCCAUCGUUAUGACAGGCUCUCAUACCAGCCUAUUAUAGGGUCACCUAAUAGGAAAGCACGAAAUGUGCCAUCAUACACUUAUAUGCUGCACUUAUAAAUAUCUGGAAAUCUUAAGGCAUUUCGUAUGUGCCAGCGUACACGUAUAAUGUGCCCGCACAGUAGUGAAACAAAGGCAUUUUUGGUAAGUGCCAGGUAAAAUCUGUAGCAUCAGUGGCAUCUAUAAUUGCAAGACAUACAUAAAUGCCAGCUAAACCAUAUGCAUGUGUGUGCUAGCUGAAAAGCAAGCUGGCCAAUAAUUGGCGUGUGUCUGAAAAGUGAAAUUUUCGCUCUCCUAAAAUUAACCCAAGCCAUUCUUUCUCCCCCAAUCAAUUUCACAGCAUUCUUCACCUCGCCGUGGACCCUUAGUGUAUGCCCCUCACUGCUCCAUCGCCGCCACUCGUCCCUCACCUAGCCCUCAUAGCCUGCCGCACAAUGCCAUUGCUCCUGUCACUGGUGCCCUCUCCCUUUGAGCUAUACAUGAAGGAACUGCUUGAUUGCAUUGUCUUUUCAUGAUGUGCAAGUUUUUACUCCAGUGUCAGACAAAAAAAGUCUUGACAAAUUAGUAAAUAUGCUUAGCAUAAGCUGUUGGCCUGUUAAGUCGUCAGAAUAAACUUCAAAGUGGAAACACAAAUGUAUGACAUGCUAAAUUUUCUUUGAAGAGUUGGUUCUUAUUCUAGUAUGUUUUUGUUUUUUUGUCCCAUGCAUCAAUUUUCUAAUUAGCUCAUGUUUUACUAUAGUUAACCCACUCUGAUGUAAAAGUUAUUCAUUUAAAAUCCUGUAUAUGAUCAGUAUUAUUGUGGUUCUUACUAACAUCAAUUUUUUUCUUUAUCUGCAUGCUAUUUGUUCUAAAGUGAUUAUCUCUUGGUCACAUAUUGGCAAAAUGUACUUCACAUGCAUCAGCUAUUUAUAUAUUAUUAUGUCCUUUUUCAGGAGCUGAUUCAAGGUGUAGGUUGUACUAUGUGAGAAGGACAGCUGUGUACAUCAAGACUCAAAUUAGCUUCGCUUGAUUACACUACAGCUGGUUGAAUAAUAGUAUAUACUUGAUUUUGGUGGUUCAGAAACAUGGGUUCUAGAUUUCCAUCACAUCAGCUGAGCAGUGGCCUUUAUGUAUCUGGCCGACCUGAGCAACCUAAGGAGAAGGCCCCGACCUUUGGAUCCAAUGUGAUGCCAUACACUGGUGGUGACACCAAGAAAUCUGGGGAGCUUGGGAAGAUGUUUGAGCUCCAUGCUGAAAGAUCUAGAAAAUCUGGUCCUCUAGGCAGUGCGCCUUCGAGAAAUCCUUCAUUUGGCGGUGCUGCUUCCAACUCUGGACCUGUGUCUAAUGCUGGUGGUCGGUCAAACUACUCUGGUUCUCUUUCAUCUUCAGUUCCUGGCGCCGGAGGAUCAGCAAGAGCAAAAUCUAACUCCGGACCACUCAAUAAGCAUGGAGAACCAGUAAAGAGGUCAUCUGGUCCCCAGUCUGGAGGUGUGACCCCAAUGGCUCGCCAGAAUUCCGGCCCUCUCCCUCCAAUGCUUCCUACGACUGGGCUUAUCACAUCUGGCCCUGUUACUUCUGGACCACUGAAUUCGUCUGGUGCCCCAAGAAGGAAAGUAUCUGGAUCUCUUGAUCCUGCUGCAUCGAUGAAGGCACGGGCCACAUCACUUGCUCACAACCAGGCUGUUACUACACUCACCAGUGAAGGUGGUUUCUCAGUUAUGGGAAGCAUUUCAAAGUGGGUAUUCUGGCUAGUGAUCACACUCUUGCUGUUCGGGUUUGCAGUAGGUCUCUUCAUUCUUAUUGCUGUUCACAAUGCGAUUGUGCUGAUAGUUGUUGUUGCAAUGAUUGGUUCUGUUGCUGCACUUGUGUCUUGGAAUGUUUGGCGGGGCAGGAGAGGCGUGCUCAGGUUUGUCAAUAGCUGUCCUGAUACUGAUCUCAGAACUGCAAAGGAUGGAGAGUAUGUGAAGGUUACAGGGGUAUGUGAAAUGCUUCUGAUCUUGUUGGAUUUAUUGCCCUUAUCUUCACUCUCAUAAAUUGCUGUUUAGCGUCAAUAUUCAUCCUGUUCUACUGAGCAUAUGCUCAUCUGUUGCAAUGCGCCCUAAUGACACUAGCCUUUACAUAGUUGAGUACUAUCAGAGUCCAAGUCAGCACAUAAUAUACCAAUAUAUCACUAAAGUUCUGUAUUUCGUUUUACUAUUCAUGGUAUAAUUUGCAUGGUUGUUAUAAUUGAAUUCUUGUAGUCACUUAGUUCCACAUGUAGCCUAAACUCCUUGUCAGUUUUUGGAGAUUGCGUACAUCAAUCUACAAGUUGACAACAUAUUCUUUUUUGUUCUAAGAAAACUUGUUCCGUUAUCAGUUACCAUUCAGUAAUGAUCAGUAUGCCAAACAUCACAGGUUGUUACGUGUGGAAAUUUCCCCCUGGAGUCCUCAUUUCAAAGGAUUCCGAGAUGUGUGUACACUUCAACUAGGCUGUAUGAGUAUAGGGGCUGGGAUUCAAAAACUGCAAACCCCAAGCAUCGCCGGUUUACCUGGGGAUUACGGACAGCAGAGGUGAGUUUUGUUUCCUCACAAGUGCCUAAAUUGAUACAAUGAUUAUUCCCCAGUAUAAGGAUGUGUUGAAAAACUGUACUAAUGCAGUUAUAUUACUUUCUUCCGAACUGACCUUGACAUUUCGCCUGUAACUAUUGCAGCGACAUGCGGUCGAUUUCUACAUUUCAGAUUUUCAGUCUGGGCUUCGAGCAUUGGUGAGAACAGGAAGCGGUGCACGGGUGACACCAUAUGUCGAUGAAUCGGUAGUAAUUGACGUCAAUCCUGAGAACAAGGACAUGUCUCCUGAAUUUCUAAGAUGGCUACGAGAAAGGAAUCUCUCAAGUGAUGGUCGGAAAAUGCGCCUAAAAGAAGGGUAUUAUUUUCUUCAUGUUGCUUUCCACCUAGAAGGCUAGCAUUGCUGCAUAACUAGAUAUUUUUACCCCGAUUCCGAAGACGUUCACCAAAAGAUAAGUGAAUAAUUGUGUUCAACUCUAUCUUGUACCUGCAGAUACAUCAAGGAAGGCAGCACUGUGAGUGUGAUGGGGGUCGUUCAAAAGAAUGAGAGCGUCUUGAUGAUAGUACCUCCAUCAGAGCCCAUCUCAUCUGGUUGCCAGUGGGGGAGUUGUUUCUUCCCAGCAAACCUUGAAGGACUAGUCGUGAGAUGUGAAGAUACUUCAGACAUGGAUGUCAUACCAGUAUAGCAAGCUGAUGAUUGCCGUGGUGUGGAAUAGCUGCUGUUGAAGAGGGAACGUUGGCCUGUCGAAUCGGGUUGGGUUUGAUUGGUAGAGUAUUAGAACUGAGAAAAAAAUGUACAAAUGUUAGGUGUGAUUAAGGCUAGUAAAGAUGGGAGUAUGGCUGCUGGUUAAUCUGUGUUUGGCUGUAUAGUCCUUUUUCAAUGUGUUUUGUCCUCCUUCGCUCCUGUUUUUUCGGUUAUGAGCUCUCAAUACUUGUGUAAUAUGAUUGCUUUUGGGCUGUUUGAAGACAUGUUGAAUCGGGUUUAUGUGUUAUUUAGGAUGAACUUCUUGCACUGCUGUUAAAGCCUAAAUAUAUUGUUGCUGUUACAUUUAUGUAUCCAUGUUGUUGGUCCAUUUCAUUGAUGAUGUCUUUUGGGCUAUUUGAUGACUUGGUCGAAUUGGGUUUAUAUGUCAUUUAGGUUGAAUAUUUCUUGCACUGCUGUUAAAGAUGUACAUUGUUUUUGUAAUUAAAAAUGUCAAAUACAUUACACUGGCUGUGAUAAUCUGUAACUUGCUUAAUUAGGAUAUGGGUAUUUUGUUCAUUGUAGUUCUAAUUCAGUCAAAACAAAAAUAGGCAUCACCUUCUCUGAGUAGAAAGAUGUCUGAAUAUUGUUUAUGCCAUUGGGAGAGAAAUUUACUGGAUGCAUAGAUUUCUUUGCUUCUCUUGAGAUUGAGUUAGGGGUCUAAUUACCCAAAACAUAUGUAGAGAUGAAAAGGGUAAAGUAAAACUAGAGGAUCUAUUUGUCAUAAAACAGAGGAUUUUUUGGGCUCAGCUGCAAUAUUGUAUAGUGGAUAUGGUGUAGCUGAAACAACUAAAGGUGAUCAGAAGGGUCUUUUUUUUGUAAGAGAAGACGAGGCACCAACAGAAGGCUCCAGGGGCAUACAUGNNNNNNNNNNNNNNNNNNNNNNNNNNNNNNNNNNNNNNNNNNNNNNNNNNNNNNNNNNNNNNNNNNNNNNNNNNNNNNNNNNNNNNNNNNNNNNNNNNNNNNNNNNNNNNNNNNNNNNNNNNNNNNNNNNNNNNNNNNNNNNNNNNNNNNNNNNNNNNNNNNNNNNNNNNNNNNNNNNNNNNNNNNNNNNNNNNNNNNNNNNNNNNNNNNNNNNNNNNNNNNNNNNNNNNNNNNNNNNNNNNAGCGGCAAGCAGCCUCGCAAUAGACCUCAAGUGGGGUGCAUCUCAUUACGUGGCCCAAAUCGGUAGAGAGACAGAGCAUGGUGCUAUUUUUUCUUCCUCUCCGUCCUACUGUACGUGCCACACGCCGAACAUGAACGAUGAACAUCGUUGUGUUGAGUUUGUCCCCAGAGUUAGAUUGUGUUGUGUUCAGUUGUAUUCUCUAGCUUUUUUUUUGAGAAAUUAGUUGUAUUCUCUAGCUGUUGGCAGCAAUCUAGCCCCAACAUUUUGACCUCUACAUCUAAAAAAAAACAUUUUGACCUCUAAUGAAUAAGUCUGAGAUGGAAUGCUACUAGCUGGUUGGCUGGUAGUAAAGAGCUACUCCCUCUAUUCCUAAAUGUAGUGCGCAUAAAUUUUUCAAGAAGUCAAACAUUGUUUAGUUUGACCAAGUUUAGUGAGAAAAGUAUCAACAGAAAUAAUACCAAACAAAUAUAAUAUAAAUAUAUGCUUAAUGAUGUAUCUAAUGAUAUUUACUUAAUAUUGUAGAUGUAGAUAUUUGUCCUCUAUAAAUGUAGUCAAAGUAGGGGGAGUUUGACUUUUGAACUUCCUAUGCGCACUACAUUUAGGAAUAGAGGGAGUACGUAGUAGCUGCUGAAAACGGUGGUGUAUUGAUGAACCUACUGCUUGCUUUAAGGUUCAGGUCAGCGUGUGCAGCCGGCAAUUUCAAGUGACCCUUGGGGUUUUCAGCUGGCAAUUAUCACCAGUGUGUGCAGUAAUGUUAUACCAGAGGCACAAGUUGGGAGAGAGGAUUUAGUUUUUGAUGACACAACCGAGUCAGAAUCUACCUACGGGGGGAGCUGAACAAGCAGAGAAGGUGCAGUUCCGUCAGGAACCCGCAAAAUGGGCCAUUCGCCUUCAGAAUAUCAGCUGAGAAGCAGAUCACGACAGGAGUUCCGACGAUCAUUCUCAAGGCGGCCCCGAGCGUCGCACCACAAAACCAAUAUAAAAAAUACGCGCGUGUUGGUGGCAGAAGCAAUGCAUCUCAGUUUUCAUCGCAUGCUGUUCAGGUUGAUCAAGCGACCCGUUGUCCGACUCCGAUCUUGGCCAACUUCAUUGAUUGGUCAUCCAGCCAGAGCCGGGGACCUGGUCCCGGGUCUCGAUCCGCAAGUUGCCAUGUAGACACACGGGAUAAAUGGGGGGAAACUUGAGGAAUGGCUCUGAAUCGACCUACCAUCCAUCACGCAGGUAGGUUAUCCUUUGAUUUCUUUCUAGAGUUAGUUACCUGACGAAGAGGUGUAAGUAAGAACACCCUGCUGCUUUCUCUUCUCUUCAGGGCAACUGUCAGUCUGCCGCACUACGGGCUGGACGGGCAAUCUCUCUUUCAGGUGUACGUGUCACAGGCAUUGUUUUCAGCUGGCAAUUUUACCAGCGUAUGUAUCACAGUAUCAGUGCCCCAAGUUAGGAGAACCGUCUUCAACCCAGAAUCUGGGCUGGAGCAAGCAGAGCCCAUGUGGAAAUCGACACCCACAAGAAAGAUCAAAACAAGGCACUUAAUGCACCAGCUCACGCUCGUGCCCAAACCCAACCCAGAUAUAUAGAAGAAACGAAGCUGAGGAUCACAACAGGAGCUCCUCUCCUCUCCCCCAUGAUUUUCUCUACCUUCCAAGAACCCGUGAUCACCCCACAAUCAAUCAUUCCUCGAACGGUCCCGAACGGCAGCUGGUCCCGUUCCGUAUUCUCCCCACUAAUUCCCCCCUCCCGAAUUUUACUGUAUGGACCCCUUUGAUUUUCUUUUGACCUCGGGUUGGGUUUGUUUGCUACUAGCAGAAUACUACAGUACUGUAGAACUGAGAAAACUGUACAAAUGUUAGGUGUGAUCAUGGCUACUAAAGAUCGAUCGAGUACGGCUGGGUAACAAGCGUUUGGCUCUGUAGUCUUUUUCCAAUGUAUUACGUCCUCUUUUGCUCUUUUUUCGGUUAUGAGCUCUGAAAUCUGAAUACUUGUGUAAUAUGAUGCCAUUUGGGCUGUUUGAAGACUUUUGGAAUUGGGUUUGUAUGUUACUUUGGGGCAACGAAGAUAAUAUGAAGGCAGUCCGAGAGCUUUCUGGUAAUGGUGCAGGUUUUAACAGGCAUUGACUUGACCUGCAAUCCUGAUGCUAUACUUUCUUUUCUUCAAGACUGGUACAUUCAGACUUAUUCUAUGCUACAUUCAGCGUCUGUUGAUGAGGACUUUAUCCUUUGUGCCCAGGAUAAAUGGAUAAUAGGAAUGGCGGUGCUUUCCUGAAUGUACUUUGAGUUGUGAUACAUUGGUGUUUACCUGAAUGGCUGAAUCUCAGGUUUAACUUGCAGGUUUUAUUUUACUUUUCUGUAGUAUAGCGUACGAAAGGAAUGUUUUCUGUACCUGGCAAUUGUAUACUGAAGAAAUGAUAUUCUUUGUCAUGCCUCCGAUAGUCUAAAAGACGUUUCAUCUUUAAAGUAUAUAUAUGCAAUUUUCUAUGGACCAAAAUAUCCGUAGUGGGGGCAAAAACCAUGAUUACUUAAGAAAAAACAUGAACUCUUCUGUGAUGGCGUUUGUUAUCUGAUUCCAGAUAUCACAGUGACGGUUUAAUUUAGGAUAGAUUUCCUGCACUGCAGCUAAAGAUCUUGCAUGUUAUAUUUCUGUCUCCACAUUGUGUUUGCAUGUGAUAGGAAAUGUCAAUGCAUUACACUAGCUGUGACGCUUGCUUAAUUGGAAUAUGGGUUUGCAUCAGACAGAUAGGAGUAAUUGUUUUUGCCUUUUCUCCUGUGGGUGUGGUGUAUUGUCUUUGGGAGAGAGAUUUAUAGGAUGCAGAGAUUGCUGUACCUCAGUUGAGAUUGAUAGUUUGGGAUAUAAUUACUGAAAACCUUCUGAAGAGGGCAGCCAACAAGUGCCACAGAGAAAAGAAACAAGACAAAUAUAGUAAGCGACGCUCCAUUUAGGACUUCAUCAAUGUAAAGAUGAGCAACUGAAAGUACAAGGGUGUAUCUGUUAGAAACAGAGGAUGUCAGGGGCCAUGCUGUGAUAUUGUGAGAAGGCUCCACGGGCAUGACUGUAAUAGAGAAAGUAGCAGCCAGGGACCAGCGCGGAAAACUUCAAAAAAAUUGGACCAUUUCUCAAUUUGUGCAUGUCAUCCUUGCGCAAGGGCCAUGCUAAUCUUCUCUGUAUCGUUCCAAUUUUAUUAGAUGUCAGAUGUCCCAGAAGGGACAAGACUGGCUGCAGCGAGCGAGCUUAUAAACCGGUCGGAACUCUGCUGGACAGGCGAGGUGGGACUAAACGAAAUAGAACUGCUGCGUUGCUCUCCCCAGCCGCUGGGCUUGCACGUCGACCACCCGACAAUGCCCGAUCAUGCGGGCCUAAAAGUCCAGCGCGAGACCGUUGCUGAACUCACGUGGGCUGCAUCUCACUACGUAGCCCAGAUCAGUAGUGAGAGCCAGAGGGCAGUUAUCUUCAGCUCUCUCGUAGUUCCUCCUAGCAGUGAUCAAUAUUCCUAGUUCGAUUCCCUCCUAGCAGAGAGUAACAAUAUGUUCCUUGAUAUAAAUAUGAAUGUGUUGAGCACCAGAACUGUCAGAAUAAUGGGCUUGGUUCCUUAAGAUUUUCUGAAAUUCCUAGUGUAAAUAUCAAAAGCUUGUAUACUACCACGUCUUUUCGGCUUUUCCAUGUUGUAACACAAAGUGAAAUGGGCUCAACUGGUUAGCUAGCGUUAGUUUCCCACCUGGUGCCCAAGUAGAUGCAUUAUUCUCUGAUUUUUUUUAACAUACAUUAUGCACCGGUUCUCCAUUGUAAGCAAGUAGGCAUGUAGGCGUCCGCGAACGUCCGUAAGAUAAAAAUUAAGCCUAGCGUGAUUAUGAAAGUAACAUUGGAGCUUGAAUAAAUUUAACUGUGCACAUGGUAAAGUUACAACCUCAUUCAUACCUAAAUACUCUGUUGUAUAGUAAACAGGCUCUGCAGGCAGCCAAGCAUAAGUCAGUAGAGCACAAAUUCAACUACUGGAAAUUCAGGUGGGAUUGAGUACCUGUGGAAAGAUAUUGUUGACCAUGAUGUAUCCUCUUAUAGCGGAUCAAAUUUCCCCCCUUUAACCACCGAGUGGAUUUUCAUUUCCAAGGAUACAGUAAAAAAAACAUUGGGAUGACUAUGUGAGUUCUUUUUCAUUCUUGCAUACAGCAGGCCAUGUUGAUGACAGAUAGCUUGGCAUGGUUUGUGUGAUUAACAGGGAGAUGAGUCUUACAAUUUGUAACAUCAGCAGUAAGAUGGAUGGUGGUAUUUAAUAGCAUUGCUUUGUCAGAGUUUUAAGAAAAAAUAAAUUCAUAUCAAUGAAGUCAGCUGGUUGUAUCCACAAUUAUUGUUUGCUUGCCACUUGAGAAUUUCAGAAAUUGAUUGACUUAUGAGCAAGUCAUCCUUCUUGCAUCUUUUCUGGCACUUUGUGGACAUAAAGUUGAUGAAGAUAAUAUGCUCUGUUUUGGUCAACGAAGUUUGAUCGAAUUCAGGUGGAACGGUCAGUCAAUUGCAAGCGAAAGUAUUUCUGGAUUUGCACUUUUGUUUUGAUUCAUAAUAUACAUUUAUCGUGCAUGAACUGCAGUUUUUAGUCCCUUAAUAUACACUACUGAUGUUUUUCUAGCUUGCAUUCUACAUAGGACAUGUACUUAUUUCCUAUGCACUACUCCCCUAACUACAAGGCAUUGCUAUGUACUCCCUCCGUUCCGAAAUAUAAGUCUUUGGAGAGAUUCCACUAUGGACCAUAUACAAAGCAAAAUGAAUGAAUCUAUACUCUAAAAUGCAUCUAGAUACAUCCGUAUGUGGUUCAUAGUGAAAUCUCUACAAAGACUUAUAUUUAGGAAUGGAGGGAGUAUAUUGUUACUUUCCUUCCUAUUGAUCGCUGGUGUUCCUCUGAUAAUUGUCCAAAAAUUAAAAUCACAAAAUUAUCGAUUUCUAUCGGUUUUGCUAUUUAUUUUUAGCAUUGUUAUAGUAGCUUUAAAAUUGAGUGUGUCCUGACUGUUAUGGUGCCUUUACGAUCAUACAUGUUCUUAUUUGCAGCAAGAGUCAUGAAACAUGAGAAAUGAUCGCUAAGGCCACAGUGGAAAUGCUUUGCAUGUUGCCACUGAAAAGGUCGGCAUGGAUAUGACAAUAGUAGGGCACAGGUUCCUACCUCUUUAUGGAUGAAGAAGGUGAUGUGAGGCAUGAAGAUUACUCGAAACAGGCUUUCGCGCCGCUUUAUAUAUAAAGCCACAACCGAACAAGGUACACGGCCGAAUGAUACAAGGUGGAGAGGUGGCCCUCUUACAAAGCCGAUCCCAAGAUAACUGGCAAACGCAGAACUCUAAGCAACCGAAAAAGAGAAAAAGGAAGACAUGAACGCAACACCAAACUAUGCCCUAGCACACCUAAGCUCCACAACAACGCCCUCAUGAGGGAGAACGGCGCAUGGGGCAUGUGUUGGCCGGCUGGGGCUCUACUUUUACUGCAAGAAAGGUCCUGGAUAAUAAAAUUAAGUUAAAAUUUCAGCCCGAUCGGAGUUACGAAUCUCUUCCUAUUUAAGAAAUGAUGAGACAGAAAACAGAGAUCCAAUCUAGGGGAGAGCUCCUCUCCCUCCGAAGGGCCGAGGAAUAAGAAUAAGGAGGGGACCUUUCCCCCUCUUUGCUGGUAGCGCCGGAACACCGUCGGGGACAUCUUCGCCAUCUCCAUCACCAUCACCAACAGCUCUGUGUGUGUGUGUGUGUGUGUGUUCUCAUGGUGAUGUGUGAGCAGUGUUGGGGAACAUAGUAUUUCAAAAAAUUUCCUGCAAUCACGCAAGAUCUAUCUAGGAGAAGCAUAGCAACAAGCGGGGAGAGUGUGUCCACGUACCCUCGUAGACCGAAAGCGGAAGCGUUUAGUAACGCGGUUGAUGUAGUCGAACGUCUUCGCGAUCCAACCGAUCCAAGUACCGAACGUACGGCACCUCCGCGUUCAGCACACGUUCAGCUUGAUGACGUCUCUCGAUCUCUUGAUCUAGUUGAGGACGAGGGAGAGUUCCGUCAGCACGAUGGCGUGGCGACGGUGAUGAUAAAGUUACCGGCGCAGGGCUUCGCCUAAGCACUACGACGAUAUGACCGAGGUGUGUAACUGUGGAGGAGGGCACCGCACACGGCUAAGAGAAGACUUGGUGUGCCUUUGGGGAGCCCCCCUCCCACGUAUAUAAAGGAGGGGAGGAGGAGGAGGCCGGCCAAGGGGGGCGCGCGCCAUGGGGAGUCUAACUAGGAUUCCCAAUCCUAGUUGGAGUCCCCUUCCUUCCAAGAGAGGGAGAGAGAGGGAAGGAGGAAGAGGGGAGAAGGAAAGAGGGGGCGCCGCCCCCCUCCCUAGUCCAAUUCGGACUGGCCAUGGGGGGGGGGGCGACCUCUCUUGUGGCCCUCCUCUCCUNNNNNNNNNNNNNNNNNNNNNNNNNNNNNNNNNNNNNNNNNNNNNNNNNNNNNNNNNNNNNNNNNNNNNNNNNNNNNNNNNNNNNNNNNNNNNNNNNNNNNNNNNNNNNNNNNNNNNNNNNNNNNNNNNNNNNNNNNNNNNNNNNNNNNNNNNNNNNNNNNNNNNNNNNNNNNNNNNNNNNNNNNNNNNNNNNNNNNNNNNNNNNNNNNNNNNNNNNNNNNNNNNNNNNNNNNNNNNNNNNNNNNNNNNNNNNNNNNNNNNNNNNNNNNNNNNNNNNNNNNNGGGGGGGUCCGGUAACCGCCGGUACUCCGAAACAACCCGAACCAUUCCGAUGUCCGAAUGUAACCUUCCAAUAUAUGAAUCUUUACCUCUCGACUAUUUCUAGACUCCUCGUCAUGUCCGUGAUCUCAUCCGGUACUCCGAACAAACUUCGGUCAUCAAAUCACAUAACUUAUAAUACAAACCGUCAUCAAACGUUAAGCGUGCGGAACCUAUGGGUUCGAGAACUAUGUAGACAUGACCGAGACACAUCUCCGGUCAAUAACCAAUAGCGGAACCUGGAUGCUCAUAUUGGCUCCUACAUAUUCUACUAAGAUCUUUAUCAGUCAAACCGCAUAACAACAUACAUUGUUCCCUUUGGCAUCGGUAUGUUACUUGCCCGAGAUUCGAUCGUCGGUAUCAUCAUACCUAGUUCAAUCUCGUUACCGGCAAGUAUCUUUACUCGUUCCAUAAUGCAUCAUCCCGCCUAACUCAUUAGUCACAUUGCUUGCAAGGCUCAUAGUGAUGUGCAUUACCGAGAGGGCUCAGAGACACCUCUCCGAUACACGAAGUGACAAAUCCUAAUCUCGAUCUAUGCCAACUCAACAAACACCAUCGGAGACACCUGUAGAGCAUCUUUAUAAUCACCUAGUUACAUUGUGACGUUUGAUAGCACACAAAGUGUUCCUCCGGUAUUCGGGAGUUGCAUAAUCUCAUAGUCAGAGGAACAUGUAUAAGUCAUGAAGAAAGCAAUAGAAAUAAAACUAAACGAUCAUUAUGCUAAGCUAACGGAUGGGUCUUGUCCAUCACAUCAUUCUCUAAUUAUGUGAUCCCAUUCAUCAAAUGACAACACAUGUCCAUGGCUAGGAAACUUAACCAUCUUUGAUUAACGAGCUAUUCAAGUAGAGGCAUACUAGGGACACUCUGUUUGUCUAUGUAUUCACACAUGUGCUAUGUUUCCAGUUAAUACAAUUCUAGCAUGAAUAAUAAACAUUUAUCAUGAUAUAAGGAAAUAUAAAUAACAACUUUAUUAUUGCCUCUAGGGCAUAUUUCCUUCAAGAAGUUCAUCCUCGGCGCUGAGGGUAUGUACUAGUUGCUAUUUGUUCAAUAUCUCUCUCCCAGUUUCAAAUCUCUAUGUCUCCCUCCUUGACUUGAUCGCGGAUGGAAUUGAAGCGUCUCUUGAUGUGUUUGGCUCUCUUGUGAAAUCUGGAUUCAUUCGCUAAGGCAAUUGCUCCAGUAUUGUCACAAAAGAUUUUCAUUGGACCCGAUGCACUAGGUAUUACACCUAGAUCGGAUAUGAACUCUUUCAUCCAGACUCCUUCAUUUGCUACUUUUGAAGCAGCUAUGUACUCCGCUUCACACGUAGAUCCCGCCACGACGCUCUGCUUGGAACUGCACCAACUGACAGCUCCACCAUUCAAUAUAAAUACAUAUCCGGUUUGUGACUUAGAGUCAUCCAGAUCAGUGUCAAAGCUUGCAUCGACAUAACCAUUUACGACGAGCUCUUUGUCACCUCCAUAAAUGAGAAACAUAUCCUUAGUCCUUUUCAGGUAUUUCAGGAUGUUCUUGACCGCUGUCCAGUGAUCCACUCCUGGAUUACUUCGGUACCUCCCAGCUAAACUAAUAGCAAGGCACACAUCAGGUCUGGUACACAGCAUUGCAUACAUGAUAGAACCUAUGGCUGAGGCAUAGGGAAUGACUUUCAUUUUCUCUCUAUCUUUUGCAGUGGUUGUGGCACCCCGGCUCAGAGCAACCGGUUUACCAUGCAUUGCCAGCCCAAAGAUUAUGUCUUCUGGCAACACACAACAUCUUGGUAUAGAAAACAACCACUAUAUUGAUGCUAGCGGAUCAUAGUUCAUAUUACAACAGGUGGCGAGGCCAAGCGGCACACACGGUGCGGCUGAACAAUAUGUACAUUAUUUAGUGAACAUAAAGGGGCCUCGAUCAGAACAACUAUGUGGCAGCGGAACAACGUCGUAGCGGAACUCCAUAGCACAGGGACACCGAUGUGGACACGAUCUAGACUCGAACAUCACUCCUUUCCAACGAGACUUUCCUGAAAUAUGGCAUGACACGCCAGGUCAGUACAUUGAAUGUACUUGCAAGAUCACAACAAGCAUAAACAUAAUGACAAAUAAUAUCAUGAUAUUUAACCAAUUGUUUAAUAAUGCAACAAUAUAUCCAACAUGCUGUGAUCAUGCUCUUGUGAUAUAAGCCCCUCGGACUUGCUUACCAACGGUGAUCGCUCUCGGAUCACAAACGGACCAACCUCGUGGUCUUAGAUCGGGUUACCUCGUAACCAAACGGUGAUCUUUCCGGCGAUCACAACCAUGACCAACACUUGGUCUCCAACAUCAAGAUGGUCUACCCACCAUCAUCAACAGUGCAAAGUUCAUAACUUAGUGUGCAAAAUUUAUUAAAUGUUGACCCAUGGUGUGACCUACUUUCGAGCGUGUCCGUAACCAUGGACUCGGCUAUCGAUAGAUUUAAUACACUCUGCAGAGGUAGCGCACUGUACCCACACCAGGAACCCAUGGCCUCGCACUCCCAUUCAGGUGGACCAACGGCAUUCCGACGAAACCCCUCCAUUGCCAUGACAUUCUCUCGGCCACUCCGACUCACUCCCCACUGGGCUAGUCCUGGGUUGCCCCGUGUCUACCAAAGACACCAACAACCACCAUCGUGGCAAAACAUAAACGGUCCCAAACGGGGACAAGGUACCAUAAUAUCAACAGCGGGCACACAAGGUUAUGUCUGCUUACCAGGCCAGGGUACCGCAUGCCCAUAACCUUCCCUCGUUGGAGGCACCGACCAGAGGCAUGACAACGGACCGAAUAAAGGCCUUCCCAUAAAGGCAAAUGUGGUUGCACUGGGAAAAACUCGAUUCAGUGGCACCAUGACCCGGUCAAGGAUAUAUUCAAGUUGAGUUAUUAGCAGGUUCAACUUAACGGGAAAGUAACCGGUGUCAUAACAUGUCAUGCAAGUGCAACACAAAUAUAUGCAUCAUAUAACAUCGGAAAUAACUGGGUCAACUAAAUCCACACUAAGCAUAAACAUCACAAUUCAUAACACUUCUCUGGUUAUGAUUAAUCAUCACUUUAAACAGAAUCUUUACUUAGCAAAUUUAUCAUUUUUCUCCUCCAAGAAAAAUAACUCAAAAUAAUUACUCAUAUCCAUAACAAAUAUUACUUCUUCAUAACAAAUAUUUCUUCUAGUUAUUUAACCAACUUAGUUAGCUUCAAACUUUCUGUAAACUAAGCAUAUCAACUUAAACAAGCAACCAAUCAGAAUAUAAAUAAUAUACUAGUGAUUUAAAUGCAUGGAUUAAAUCAUUAAUUCAAGUUGAAAAUCACAAAUAUUGCAAUGGCACCAUGAAAAUGUUGCUGUGGGUUGCCUUAGUGCAGAUGAGGUUCACAAUCCUCCUGGUGAUCCUCAAGACAAGCUUCUCUUUCUGAAAAUAUUUAUAAACACAAAAAGAAAACAUCAAGAACCCUUCUGAAAUUCACCAUAAAAUCUAGAAAGCAGGGAAAAAUCUCAUUUUUGGUGAGCUGCUAGAUUUAUUCACAAAGAACACAAUGCAAAAAGAAUCAAUUCAUUUGGACUUAUGGUUAAAAAGUUUUGGCUGUUUGAAGCUCUCUGGACAUAAAUAAAUUUGAAUUUAAAUAAACAGAACUAAGUGGGGGGGGGGCGGUGACGUCGAAGGCGUAAACCUCGCGGGCGCCACCACUUGUACCGCUUCGCGCGCGUAUAGAGUGGCUGACUAGCGGGCCCCACUAGUCAGGUGAGAGGGAGGGGGAAAGGGAAACAGAGGACGGCGCGGCUUCGCCGGAGCACACGCCGGCGAGGAGAGCUUCUUGGCCAGAACGAGAGGGAGGGAUCGAAAGAGAAGAUGGAGGCGCACCUGCCCAUACCCGUAGGUUAGCUAGGGGUGGUCGAACGGCGUCGGAAUCAGCCUCUAGCGGAGACAGGAAGCAGAGGUCGCCGGAGAUGAAGACGACGACGACCAGAGUUGACACCAGGGGCUCCAACCGGGCGGAACGGCACCACCGAGGCACGACGGAGGCCUUGGAAGGGUGGCCCAGGCCUGGAAGGGGCUGGAGCCGCGGAGACGACCCGAGGGGAUCGCCGGCGAGCUCGAGCUCGGGGACAGCGGCCCGCGGCCUGCCCGGCCGGGCUACGGCUUUCUACAAGAUUGUGGAGUGUGUGGAAGGAGUGGAUGAUGCUCGAGGAGGCUGGGGAGGGCUCUAUUUAUAGCCAAGCGUCGAGAGGGGAUCGGGCUCCGCCGGAGGACACCUGGACACGGCGCCCGGCGACGAACGGCGUCAGUGAGCGAGGGGGAAGGCGACGCAACUCACGCGGGAACUGUGGGCGAGCGGAGACGAGCACAGGGGCGAGAGGGUGACGACGAGCACAGUGUGCAGCGCACUGUGGCGUUGGCCAGACCGCGCCCGUGCUCGCUGCGGCGAGCUCCGGCGUCGGCGAGCGCCAGGAGGGAGUGAAGAGGGUCGGGACGAUGAUUGUGGCGAGGUUUGGCAAGGCUUGGAGGGCGGGGAAGCGAGCACGCGAUCAACAGUAGCGCGGGCGCGACGCAGAGCGCGUCGGUCGUAUGCCAGCACGCCUGGACGAACGCGGUCACCACGUGAACUCUGACCUCAGGCCGACCUAAGCCCAAACCUCAUGUCUGGCAUGUAGUUCGUGGUAGUUUUAGAGGUUACCACACUUGGUUUUGAUCACAGGCGCAAUAGAAUGGAUUUCAACUGCCUGGUAAGUUUCUGGUCAGUAACUUUGAGAGAUUACUGCGGUCAAACUACUGAGAGUUGGGAGCUGGGCUUUGGAGGUUAGCAAUCAUCUACUAAGGUGAUGAUGCACAAGAAAAAUCAGCCACAAUGGAUCAAGUAAAAUGGUAGUUGCUGUAGAAACCACCAUUUCUGUCCAAAACAGAAAAUAUUUUCUGUAGCAAAAAUAUUCCAAAAAGUGAUGAAAUAUUUUUGCUCAGGAAGGUGCCCUAGGGUUCAAAGAAUAUUUGGAAAUUUUCUCAGAUUUUUGUGGGCAAGAAAAAUUGGGGUUGCUUUGGAGCACAUUGAGCUAGCUAGGGUUUUAGAGAGGGAAAUGAAUAUUUUUCAUUUAAGAAAAUAUUCAAACUAUUAUUUUGAGGUGAACCGGAGAGAAAAUGAUAGUUAGAAAGGGAAAUGAGACACUUGGGUGAAAUUCAAGGGGUACCCAAGUGUUUAAGUCCAUCUGAAAAGAUUCAAAACUUCAAAUUUCAAAACCAAACCAACUGAAAAUCAGGCAAAGAGAAGAGGGCAAAAACCAGACUGUCACAAACCUCCCCCGCUUAGGAUGAAUCUCUUCCUCGAGAUUCAGUUGCUUGGGAAAACCAUUCUGGAUAAUGAGCCCUAAGAAAUUCUUCUCGUUCCCAAGUCGAUUCUGCCUCUGUGUGAUGCUCCCACUGAACUUUGUAAAACAUCCUUGCUUUACUACGAGUGACCCUUUCCAUCUGAUCCAAAAUUCUGACCGGUCUCUCUUCAUAUGUUAAAUCCUUUGCCAACUCUAUUUCAGUCAUAGCAGUCUUUUUCUCAGGCGGCGAUAUGCAUCGCCUCAAUUGUGAAACAUGAAACACAUUGUGCACUUCCGACAAUUCGGGGGUUAGUUCCAAUUUAUAUGCAACAGUACCUACUCUGGACAUAACCGGAAAUGGACCAAUAAAUCUGGGUGCCAACUUUCCACGAGUUUGGAAUCUCUUGACUCCUUUCAUAGGAGUGACUCGGAGGUAUACGUGUUCUCCGGGUUCAAAACUGAUCUGUCGGUGCUUUGCAUCAUAAUAAUGUCGCGAUUUGGCCAAUUGCAAUCUGUCUCGGAUUUCCUUGACUUGCUUCUCAGCUUCCAUCAUGAGAUCCAUUCCGAAAAUACGGCUAUCUCCAGUUUGAGACCAAUUCAAAGGAGUGCGGCACUUACGGCCAUACAAAGCCUCAUAUGGUGACAUCUUUAGACUGGUCUGGAAGCUGUUGUUGUAUGAGAACUCGGCAUACGGCAGGUAGUCUUCCCAUUUAGAUCCUUGGGCCAAAGCACAGGCUUGAAGCAUAUCUUCGAGUAUUUGGUUUACCCGCUCAGUCUGUCCAUUAGUAUGACGAUGAUAAGCGGUACUAUAUUUUAGCGUUGUCCCCAAGGCUUGAUGGAGACGUGACCAGAAAGCGGAGGUAAAAAGUGACCCCCGGUCAGAAGUGAUUGUUCGGGGUACUCCAUGCAGAUUGACUAUUCUGGAUACAUACAGUUGUGCAAGUUGAUCCGCUCGAUAUGUGGUUCUGAUCGGGAUAAAGUGAGCUACCUUGGUUAAGGUGUCCACUAUAACCCAGAUUGCAUCAUUGCCUCGCUGAGUCUUAGGUAGCCCUGUGAUAAAAUCCAUGCAGACAUCAUCCCAUUCCCAUUGUGAAACUGGCAGUGGUUGGAGAAGUCCGGCUGGCUUCUGGUGCUCUGCCUUCACCUUGUUGCAUAUGUUGCAUCAGGCCACAAAAUAGGAAAUGUCUUUCUUCAUUCCAUCCCACCAGAAUAUUUGUCGAAGGUCUUCAUACAUUUUUGUACCUCCAGGGUGAAUCGAAUACGAACAUUCAUGUGCUUCCGAUAGGAUUUUCUUCUUUAAAUCCGCCUGACUGGGUACACAAAUCCUUCGACGGAAUCGGAGGGUACCAAAUUGAUCCUUUGAAAAAUCUGAAGUCUGUCCUGCUACCAUACUCUUGGCACGUUUCUGCAGGACGGUGUCAGCUGGCUGGGCCUUGCAGAUCUCUUCCUCAAGUGUAGGUGCAACUUCCAAAAUAUUAGCAAGACCAGUAUCAACUAUGAUCAGGUUGAGCUGAGCAAUCUCCUCUUGAAGUUCAGGAGGCAAGGAUUUCAUUAUGGCAUUCAGGCUGCCAGGCUUUCGACUGAGUGCAUCGGCAACCACGUUGGCCUUACCUUGGUGGUAAUUUAUUCCAAGAUCAUAAUCUUUGACUAACUCGAGCCAUCUUCGUUGACGGAUUAAAUCUGGCUGAGAAAAUAUAUACUUGAGGCUUUUGUGGUCGGUAAAAAUUUGACACCUCUUCCCGAUGAGGUAGUGUCUCCAAAUUUUUAGAGCAUGAACCACCGCGGCCAAUUCCAGAUCAUGAGUAGGGUAAUUUCCCUCGUGGGGUCGUAACUGUCGCGAUGCAUAUGCUACUACCUUGCCGUCUUGCAUAAGUACGCAUCCAAGUCCUUGUCUGGAGGCGUCGCAGUACACAUCAAAGUUGCGGUAGAUAUCUGGAAGAGUCAACACAAGUGCGGUCGUCAGCCGUAUCUUUAGCUCAUUAAAACUUUUCUCACAGUCCUCAGUCCAUUCAAAUUUCUUGUCCUUCUUGAGCAGCUCCGUCAUGGGUUUAGCAAUCUUGGAAAAUCCUUCAAUGAAACGACGGUAGUAUCCGGCUAAUCCAAGAAAACUCCGGAUCUGUGAUACGGUUGUGGGUGGCAACCAAUCUAGCACAUCCUUUACUUUGCUCGGGUCCACUGCUAUACCUUCGGCUGAUAGCACAUGUCCGAGAAACCCAACUUUCUUGAGCCAAAACUCGCAUUUACUGAAUUUGGCGUAUAGCUGAUGGUCGCGGAGUCGUUGUAGCACUGCUCGGAGGUGUUCUUUGUGAUCUUCACUUUUUGAGUAAAUAAGUAUGUCAUCGAUAAAAACUACCACGAAUUUAUCGAGGAAGUCCAUGAAUACUUUGUUCAUCAUAUGCAUGAAGAAGGCAGGGGCAUUGGUGAGACCAAAGGACAUAACUGUAUAUUCAUAAAGACCGUACCGAGUGGUGAAUGCGGUCUUAGGAAUAUCUUCCUUUUUAAUCUUGAGCUGAUGAUAUCCUGUCCUUAAAUCAAUCUUGGAGAAUACUUUGGCGCCACUGAGCUGAUCAAACAAGUCAUCAAUCCUUGGCAGUGGAUAUUUAUUUUUGAUGGUGACAUCAUUCAGCUGACGGUAAUCCACACACAUGCGGAGGCUGCCAUCCUUCUUAUCCACGAAGAUAGCAGGUGAUCCCCAUGGUGAGGAGCUGGGACGGAUAUAUCCUUUCUGGAGCAUUUCAUCAAGCUAUUUCUUUAGCUCCACUAAUUCCGAUGAAGGCAUCCGGUAAUACUUCUUGUAUAACAGUGCGGUUCCGGGCACAAGAUCUAUUGCAAACUCAAGCUCUCGAUCUGGUGGCAUGCCUGGCAGUUCUUCUGGAAAUACAUCAGGAAACUCACUGACCACAGGAAUUAAUUCCAACUCACCCGCCACAGCGGUGAAGACCAUUUCUUUCUUGGGUAUGCUUCUGCGAGCAUAGAAUUUGGUAGCCUGCCCCUUCUGACUGGUCAAAGUGACUUCUCGGGUCGCGCAAUUUAUGCAUACUUGAUAUUGGGUCAACCAAUUCAUACCCAAGAUAACAUCCAACUUUACAGACUCAAUGAUUAUCAAGGAAGUUGGAAAACAGACUCCGUUGAUAUUGAUUUCCAUAUCACGGCAGACCAGAUUGCUCCUGAUUAAGGAUCCCGGGGUUUGUACCAGCAUAUUCUAGCCCAAAAGCGAACAAGGAAAUUUGUUUUGGGCAACAAAACUCCGUGAAAUAAAAGAGUGGGAAGCCCCAGAGUCAAAUAAAAUUACGGCAAGUGUGUUAUUAACAGAAAACAUACCAAUGACGACUUCGGGAUUCUCUUGGGCUUCAUCUGCGGAGAGAUGAUGAACGUGCCCAGUGAUGUUUUGCUGGGUAGGGCAUGACUCCAUAAAGUUGACUUGUGGCCUGAAUAGGGCAUUUGCCUUGCCGUUCUUGGGACACUAUCUGGCAUAAUGUCUGGUUUGCCCACAACUGAAGCAAGAAUUGUUGCGCUGGCACUCCUCUCGCACCGAGUUGGUCACGACAUUCUUGACUUGUGUAGUGGUCUUGUUAACAUUCUGUUGCCAAUUGGGCUUGUAUUCCACCUGAGUAUGCUGCCAGGUACGAGCCUUUUGAAUUGGCUGCCCUUCCUUCCUUGGCUCAAACUUGCGCUUGUGAUCAUUAUUGGCAGGCCUAUUGUCUGAUACGAGCUUGUGCUCCCUUUCAGCAAUGAAAGCCUUGUUUACCAGAGUUUGGAAAUCUUGGAAAUCAAACAUACUGAGGGUACAUCGGAGUUGCGGGUUUAAUCCCCCAAGAAAUCGAUCAAUCUUGCUCUCUUCGGUGGCCACGUCAUAAAGAGAGUAACGGGCCAAAUGAUUGAACUUUUGCAAAUAUUCAUCCACAGACUGAUUUCCUUGAAGGAGCGCGAGAAAUUCACGCUGCUUAACCUUCAUAAUUCCAGUAGGAAUAUGAUAUUUCCGGAACUGAUCCUUGAAUUUUGCCCAGGUGAUUUCUUCAUCAGCAUGCCACAUGGUUUUUGUGUUUUCCCACCAUAUGGCAGCAGCGCCUUCAAGAUAAUGGGUUGCAAAUGGAACUUUAUCAUCUUCUGCAGUACGAGCAAUCUCUAGCUUCCUCUCAAUGGUUCGCAACCAAUCGUCUGCAUCCAAGGGAUCAAUAACCUGACUGAAACUGGGAGGCUUGGUUCUCUGAAAAUCUGACAGCUUGGAGUGAUGCCCGUUCUGAUUUCCAUUCUGUCCAACCACAACUUGCACACUUCUUAAUAUUUCAAUCACAUCAUUAUUCCUUCUUUCCUCAAACAUACGCAGAAUUUGCUCUGUGGAGGGUGGAUUUGGCGGUGGAGGCGGUGGUGGAACGUACGGCUCGGGGGAGUGUCCUGCCUGUCGUGCGGAACGACGAACAGGAAUAUCCACAUGAGCGUCGCUACUGCUGCCUCCCCGCGUCAUCCUAUUGUGGAUUUUUCCCAAGACAACGCAACCGAGAUGAGAAACAUCCAAAAAUAAAUUGGGGAAAAGCCAGCAACAAAUCCUGAGAGGAAACGAAAUAACGAAGAAAAUACGAUGAAUAAAAUAGAGUUCCAACAUAAUUAUACAUAGACUCAUACAUGAAAGAUAAACAUCAUGCCAGGUUCAACUACUCUCAUACAGGAAACAAAACAUCAUGACUCGUACGACUACACCCGUACAUCAUCCUGACAACUGUAGAUGCUCAGAAGCUCUACUACUCUGCUGGUGCUCUGGGGUCCUCUCCUGAAGCGGACUCGGAUCCUGAACUGACAUGGUUAACUGAAACCUCCGGGUUAAAGGUAACACGACGACGCUGCCUUGAGGGCUCUCCCUCUGAGGCAGGUGCAGGGUGAAGCAUCGGGGCUACAGGAGUAGUGAGAAGUGAAACCCACUCAGCAGGAGCACUGAGAGGAUUCACGGUCGAGGUGCCCGAGCUACUCGGAGGAGUAACCGGUGAAAGGGGUGAACUAGAACUGGGUGGAAUAUAAGGAGUAAAUCCCAUAGAAGAUGGAGCAGUGACAGAUCUAGUAGAAGAUAAAGCAGUACGGGCACGAGUCAGCUCUCGAGCCAGCUCGUGGAUCAUAAGAUAGCUAGCAGUGAUAUAACGGGAAAGGUGGCUAGCAACACUAUCAGACUCCGGAUCAAUGAUAGGGAAACGGACACGACCAUUGUCGUGUAGAGAAGGAUAGCAGUAGAAACCUGGGUGGUUCUGCAUCCGGACCUCGUUAUAACGAAGCUCGACAAGGACCUCGAAUGCAGCAAACUGGACAGCCUGAGAAGCGGUAGAAGCAAAAGCGCUCCGGGAGGUACGAGUGUAAGUGCUGGAAUCGGAACUGGUGCGCAGAGUAAGCACUGCAUGAUACUCAUACACUGAGUCUGCUAGACGCUCCCGGUACACACGAUAGAAUGGGUCGUCACCGAGGGGGUACAGCCGACGCCACACAUUACGAAGGAGAUGCGGCGACGUGAAUGGCAUCAGCUGCAACUGGCACGGAUACGGCACUGGAGCCAUCUACACUCACAACCAUUAGCAGGUUAGCAUAAAAAUAAAACGAGUGCAUACAAUGCAACAACCAGCUACAAAUGCUACCGGCACUCAACUUAAACUCGUAUCUAACGUCCAGUUAACACGUCAUAGUCUAGCGUGGCCUACAGUCAGCGCGGCUCUGAUACCAAGCGUUGUGGCACCCCGACUCAGAGCAACCGGUUUACCAUGCAUUGCGAGCCCAAAGAUCAUGUCUUCUGGCAACACACAACAUCUUGGUACAGAAAACAACCGCUUUAUUGAUGCUAGCGGAUCAUAGUUCAUAUUACAACAGGUGGCGAGGCCAAGCGGCACACACGGUGCGGCUGAACAAUAUGUACAUUAUUUAGUGAACAUAAAGGGGCCUCGAUCAGAACAACUACGUGGCAGCGGAACAACGUCGUAGCGGAACUCCAUAGCACAGGGACACCGAUGUGGACACGAUCUAGACUCGGACAGCACUCCUUUCCAAUGAGACUUUCCUGAAAUCUGGCAUGACACGCCAGGUUAGUACAUUGAAUGUACUUGCAAGCUCACAACAAGCAUAAACAUAAUGACAAAAAAAAUCAUGAUAUUUAACCAAUUGUUUAAUAAUGCAACAAUAUAUCCAACAUGCUGAGAUCAUGCUCUUGUGAUAUAAGCCCCUCGGACUUGCUUACCAAUGGUGAUCGCUCUCGGAUCACAAACGGACCAACCUCGUGGUCUUAGAUCGGGUUACCUCGUAACCAAACGGUGAUCUUUCCGGCGAUCACAACCAUGACCAACACUUGGUCUCCAACAUCAAUAUGGUCUACCCACCAUCAUCAACAGUGCAAAGUUCAUAACUUAGUGUGCAAAAUUUAUUAAACGUUGACCCAUGGUGUGACCUACUUUCGAGCGUGUCCGUAAUCGUGGACUCGGCUAUCGAUAGAUUUAAUACACUCUGCAGAGGUAGCGCACUGUACCCACACCACGGAACCCAUGGCCUCGCACUCCCAUUUGGGUGGACCAAUGGCAUUCCGACGAAACCCCUCCAUUACCAUGACACUCUCUCGGCCACUCCGACUCACUCCCCACUGGGCUAGUCCUGGGUUGCCCCGUGUCUACCAAAGACACCAACGGCCACCGUCGUGGCAAAACAUAAACGACCCCAAACGGGGACAAGGUACCAUAAUAUCAACAACGAGCACACAAGGUUAUGUCUCCUUACCGGGCCAGGGUACCGCACACCCAUAACCUUCCCUCGUUGGAGGCACCGACCAGAGGCAUGACAAUUGCUACCUCUUGAGCACUGCGUUGGUUUUCCCUUGAAGAGGAAAGGGUGAUGCAGUAAAGUAGCGCAAGUAUUUCCCUCAGUUUUUGAGAACCAAGGUAUCAAUCCAGUAGGAGGCCACGCACGAGUCCCUCGCACCUACACGAACAAAUAAAUCCUCGCAACCAACGCAAUAAAGGGGUUGUCAAUCCCUUCACGGUCACUUACGAGAAUGAGGUCUGAUAUAUAUGAUAGGAUAAUAUUUUUGGUAUUUUUAUGAUAAAGAUGCAAAGUAAAAUAAAAGGCAAUAAAAAUAGCUAAGUGUUGGAAGAUUAAUAUGAUAGAAAAUAGACCCGGGGGCCAUAGGUUUCGCUAGAGGCUUCUCUCGAGAGCAUAAGUAUUACGGUGGGUGAACAAAUUACUGUUGAGCAAUUGACAGAAUUGAGCAUAGUUAUGAGAAUAUCUAGGUAUGAUCAUGUAUAUAGGCAUCACGUCCGAGACAAGUAGACCGACUCCUGCCUGCAUCUACUACUAUUACUCCACACAUCGACCGCUAUCCAGCAUGCAUCUAGAGUAUUAAGUUCAUAAGAACAGAGUAACGCUUUAAGCAAGAUGACAUGAUGUAGAGGGAUAAACUCAUGCAAUAUGAUAUAAACCCCAUCUUGUUAUCCUCGAUGGCAACAAUACAAUACAUGCCUUGUUGCCCCUACUAUCACUGGGAAAGGACACCGCAAGAUUGAACCCAAAGCUAAGCACUUCUCCCAUUGCAAGAAAGAUCAAUCUAGUAGGCCAAACCAAACUGAUAAUUCAAAGAGACUUGCAAAGAUAACCAAUCAUACAUAAAAGAAUUCGUAGAAGAUUCAAAUAUUGUUCAUAGAUAAACUUGAUCAUAAACCCACAAUUCAUCGGUCUCAACAAACACACCGCAAAAGAAGAUUACAUCGAAUAGAUCUCCACAAGAGAGGGGGAGAACAUUGCAUUGAUAUCCAAAAAGAGAGAAGAAGCCAUCUAGCCAAUAACUAUGGACCCGAAGGUCUGAGGUGAACUACUCACACAUCAUCGGAGAGGCUAUGGUGUUGAUGUAGAAGCCCUCCGUGAUCUAUGCCCCCUCCGGCGGAGCUCCGGAAAAGGCCCCAAGAUGGGAUCUCACGGGUACAGAAGGCUGCGGCGGUGGAAUUAGGUUUUUGGCUCCGUCUCUGGUAGUUUGGGGGUACGUAGGUAUAUAUAGGAGGAAGAAGUACGUCGGUGGAGCAACAUGGGGCCCACGAGGGUGGAGGGCGCGCCCAGGGGGGUAGGCGCGCCCCCCUACCUCAUUCCCUCCUGGUUGAUGUCUUGACGUAGGGUCCAAGUCCUCUGGAUCACGUUCAUUCCGAAAAUCACGUUCCCGAAAGUUUCAUUCCGUUUGGACUCCGUUUGAUAUUCUUUUUCUGCGAAACUCUGAAAUAGGCAAAAAAACAACAAUUCUGGGCUGGGCCUCCGGUUAAUAGGUUAGUCCCAAAAAUAAUAUAAAAGUGUAUAAUAAAGCCCAAUAAUGUCCAAAACAGAAUAUAAUAUAGCAUGGAACAAUAAAAAAUUAUAGAUACGUUGGAGACGUAUCAAGCAUCCCCAAGCUUAAUUCCUGCUCGUCCUCGAGUAGGUAAAUGAUAAAAACAGAAUUUUUGAUGUGGAAUGCUACUUGGCACAAUUUCAAUGUAAUUCUCCUAAUUGUGGUAUGAAUAUUCAGAUCCGAAAGAUUCAAGAUAAAGGUUUAAUAUUGACAUAAAAGUAAUAAUACUUCAAGCAUACUAACUAAGCAAUUAUGUCCUCUCAAAAUAACAUGGCCAAAGAAAGUUCAUCCCUACAAAAUCAUAUAGUUUAGUCAUGCUCCAUUUCCGUCACACAAGAAUGCUCUCAUCAUGCACAACCCCGAUGCCAAGCCAAGCAAUUGUUUCAUACUUUAGUAAUCUCAAACUUUUUUCAACCUUCACGCAAUACAUGAGCGUGAGCCAUGGAUAUAGCACUAUGGGUGGAAUAGAAUAUAAUGAUGGGGGUUAUGUGGAGAAGACAAAAAAGGAGCAAGUCUCACAUCAACGAGGCUAAUCAAUGAGCUAUGGAGAUGCCCAUCGAUUGAUGUUAAUGUAAGGAGUAGGGAUUGCCAUGCAACGGAUGCACUAGAGCUAUAAAUGCAUGAAAGCUCAACAAAAGAAACUAACUGGGUGUGCAUCCAACUUGCUUGCUCACGAAGACCUAGGGCAUUUGAGGAAGCCCAUUGUUGGAAUAUACAAGUCAAGUUCUAUAAUGAAAAAUUCCCACUAGUAUAUGAAAGUGACAAAAUAAGAGACUUUCUAUCAUGAAGAUCAUGGUGCUACUUUGAAGCACAAGUGUGGAAAAAAGGAUAGUAACAUUGUCCCUUUUUAUUUUCUUUUUUUCGGGCCUUCCCUUUUUUGGCCUUUUUUUUGGGACAAUGCUCUAUGAAUGAUGAUCAUCACACUUCUAUUUAUUUACAACUCAAUGAUUACAACUCGAUACUAGAACAAAAUAUGACUAUAUGAAUGCCUCUGGCGGUAUACCGGGAUAACAAUGAAUCAAGAGUGACAUGUAUGAAAAAUUAUGAACGGUGGCUUUGCCACAAAUACGAUGUCAACUACAUGAUCAUGCAAAGCAAUAUGACAAUGAUGAGCGUGUCAUAAUAAACGGAACGGUGGAAAGUUGCAUGGCAAUAUAUCUCGGAAUGGCUAUGGAAAUGCCAUAAUAGGUAGGUAUGGUGUCUGUUUUGAGGAAGAUAUAAGGAGGUUUAUGUGUGAAAGAGCGUAUCAUAUCACGGGGUUUGGAUGCACCGGCGAAGUUUGCACCAACUCUCAAUGUGAGAAAGGGCAAUGCACGGUACCAAAGAGGCUAGCAAUGAUGGAAGGGUAAGAGUGCGUAUAAUCCAUGGACUCAACAUUAGUCAUAAAGAACUCACAUACUUAUUGCAAAAAUCUACAAGUCAUCAAAAACCAAGCACUACGCGCAUGCUCCUAGGGGGAUAGAUUGGUAGGAAAAGACCAUCGCUCGUCCCCGACCGCCACUCAUAAGGAGGACAAUCAAAGAACACCUCAUGUUUCAAAUUUGUUACAUAACGUUUACCAUACGUGCAUGCUACGGGACUUGCAAACUUCAACACAAGUAUUUCUCAAAUUCACAACUACUCAACUAGCACAACUUUAAUAUCACUACCUCCAUAUCUCAAAACAAUCAUCAAGCAUCAAACUUCUCUUAGUAUUCAGCACACUCAUAAGGAAGUUUUUUACUAGUCUUGAAUACCUAGCAUAUUAGGAUUAUUUAAGAAAAUUUCCAUGCUGUUUAAGACUCUCAAAAUAAUAUAAGUGAAGUAUGAGAGAAUAAUAGUUUCUAUAAAACAAAACCACCACCAUGCUCUAAAAGAUUUAAGUGAAGCAUUAGAGCAAAAACUAUAUAGCUCAAAAGAUAUAAGUGAAGCACAUAGAGUAUUCUAAUAAUUUCCGAAUCAUGUGUGUCUCUCUCAAAAGGUGUGUCCAGCAAAGAUGAUUGUGGUAAAAUAAAAAGCAAAGACUCAAAUAAUACAAGACGCUCCAAGCAAAACACAUAUCAUGUGGUGAACAAAAAUAUAGCUCCAAGUAAAGUUACCGAUGGAAGUAGACGAAAGAGGGGAUGCCUUCCGGGGCAUCCCCAAGCUUUGGCUUUUUGGUGUCCUUAGAUUAUCUUGGGGUGCCUUGGGCAUCCCCAAUCUUAGUCUCUUGCCACUCCUUGUUCCAUAAUCCAUCAAAUCUUUUACCCAAAACUUGAAAAUUUCACAACACAAAACUUAACAGAAAAUCUCGUGAGCUCCGUUAGCGAAAGAAAACAAAACACCACUUCAAGGUACUGCAAUGAACUCAUUCUUUAUUUAUAUUGGUGUUAAACCUACUGUAUUACAACUUCUCUAUGGUUUAUAAACUAUUUUAUUAGCCAUAGAUUCAUCAAAAUAAGCAAACAACACACGAAAGACAGAAUCUGUCAAAAACAGAACAGUCUGUAGUAAUCUGUAACUAACGCAAACUUAUGAAACUCCAAAAAUUCAGCCAAAAUAGGAAGACCUAGACAAUUUGUUUAUUGAUCAGAAGCAAUUGGAAUUAAUAUUUUAUCACGUUCUGGUGUUUUUUAACAAUUAUUUUCGUGAACAGAAAGUUUCUGCAAUUUUCAGCAAGAUCAAAUAACUAUCAUCCAAGAAGAUCCUAUAGGUUUAACUUGGCACAAACACUAAUUAAAACAUAAAAACACAUCUAACCAGAGGCUAGAUCAAAUAUUUAUUCCUAAACAGAAGCAAAAAGCAAAAAACUAAAAAUAAAAUUGGGUUGCCUCCCAACAAGCACUAUCGUUUAACGCCCCUAGCUAGGCAUAAAAGCAAGGAUAGAUCUAGGUAUUACCAUCUUUGGUAGGUAAUUAUUUAAUGAGGCAUCUAUCACCCUUAGGAGUUUCUUUCUUUUUAUUGAUCAUCAAACUUAUAGGCACAAAAACAAAAAAUUCAUUUGUAGCAAAUGGUCCUUAAUGAUAGCAAAAAGAUUGGGAUGAAUACUUAUAGAUUUGAGAUCCGCAGUUUCCUUACUAGAGGAUUCACCCUUAUUUUUAGGAACAUACAUAAGCUUGGCAAUUUUAGUUGGAGGACUUGGAGUAUUCUUUACGGAAGAAAAAGCGGUUCCCAAGUUGGUAAUGAUACCCUCAAGUUUAUCGAUUCUAGUGGAAUCUUGAUCUAUUCUUUCAUUAACUAUGGGUUCCUUAUCAUUAAUAUUUUUCAAAGUGACUCCUACUUUAGAUCCAUAUUGGGUAAUUUGGUUGUGGAUCUUUUUAUCCAAAUUUUCGAUUAACUCUACGGUAGCAACUUUAUUUUUAAUAAUUUCAAGUCUUUGCAUUAUAUGCUCCAAAGUUAACAUAGUUCCAUUAACCAAAAGAGGUGGUGAGCCAAACAAAUCUAUCAUAGCAUUAUAAGAAUCAAAAGUAUGGCUACCCAAGAAAUUCCCUCCGGUAAUGGUAUCAAGGAUAUAUCUGUACCAAGGAGUAUCGCCUACAUAAAAGUUGCAGAGAAGAACGGAAGUAGAUUGUUUCCUGGUAGAUCUAUUUUGAGCAUUGCAAAUUCUAUACCAAGCGUCUUUCAGAUUUUCUCCCUCCCUUUGCUUAAAAUUUAGAACUUCAUUCUCGGGAGACAACGGAGAAGAUAGAGGACUAGCCAUAAUGACCAAGCAAGUGAAAAAAGAGGCAAAUGAAAAAGAGAAAGCGAAUAAAACGGCAAGGGUGAAGUGGGGGAGAGGAAAGCGAGAGGCAAAUGGCAAAUAAUGUAAUGCGGGAGAUAAGGGUUUGUGAUGGGUACUUGGUAUGUUGAUUUUUGCGAAGACUCCCCGGCAACGGCGCCAGAAAUCCUUCUUGCUACCUCUUGAGCACUGCGUUGGUUUUCCCUUGAAGAGGAAAGGGUGAUGCAGUAAAGUAGCGUAAGUAUUUCCCUCAGUUUCUGAGAACCAAGAUAUCAAUCCAGUAGGAGGCCACGCACGAGUCCCUCGCACCUACACAAACAAAUAAAUCCUCGCAACCAACGCAAUAAAGGGGUUGUCAAUCCCUUCACGGUCACUUACAAGAGUGAGAUCUGAUAGAUAUGAUAGGAUAAUAUUUUUGGUAUUUUUAUGAUAAAGAUGCAAAGUAAAAUAAAAGCAAUAAAAAUAGCUAAGUGUUGGAAGAUUAAUAUGAUAGAAAAUAGACCCGGGGGCCAUAGGUUUCACUAGAGGCUUCUCUCGAGAGCAUAAGUAUUACGGUGAGUGAACAAAUUACUGUUGAGCAAUUGACAGGAUUGAGCAUAGUUAUGAGAAUAUCUAGGUAUGAUCAUGUAUAUAGGCAUCACGUCCGACACAAGUAGACCGACUCCUGCCUGCAUCUACUACUAUUACUCCACACAUCGACCGCUAUCCAGCAUGCAUCUAGAGUAUUAAGUUCAUAAGAACAGAGUAACGCUUUAAGCAAGAUGACAUGAUGUAGAGGGAUAACUCAUGCAAUAUGAUAUAAACCCCAUCUUGUUAUCCUCAAUGGCAACAAUACAAUACGUGCCUUGCUGCCCCUACUGUCACUGGGAAAGGACACCGCAAGAUUGAACCCAAAGCUAAGCACUUCUCCCAUUGCAAGAAAGAUCAAUCUAGUAGGCCAAACCAAACUGAUAAUUCGAAGAGACUUGCAAAGAUAACCAAUCAUACAUAAAAGAAUUCAGAGAAGAUUCAAAUAUUGUUCAUAGCUAAACUUGAUCAUAAACCCACAAUUCAUCGGUCUCAACAAACACACCGCAAAAGAAGAUUACAUCGAAUAGAUCUCCACAAGAGAGGGGGAGAACAUUGCAUUGAGAUCCAAAAAGAGAGAAGAAGCCAUCUAGCUAAUAACUAUGGACCCGAAGGUCUGAGGUAAACUACUCACACAUCAUCGGAGAGGCUAUGGUGUUGAUGUAGAAGCCCUUCGUGAUCGAUGCCCCCUCCGGCGGAGCUUCGAAAAAGGCCCCAAGAUGGGAUCUCACGGGUAUAGAAGGUUGCGGUGGUGGAAUUAGGUUUUUGGCUCCGUCUCUGGUAGUUUGGGGGUACGUAUAGGAGGAAGAAGUACGUUGGUGGAGCAACGUGGGGCCCACGAGGGUGGAGGGCGCGCCCAGGGGGUAGGCGCGCCCCUACCUCAUGCCCUCCUAGUUGAUGUCUUGACGUAGGGUCCAAGUCCUCUGGAUCACGUUUGUUCCGAAAAUCACGUUCCCGAAAGUUUCAUUCUGUUUGGACUCCGUUUGAUAUUCUUUUUCUGCGAAACUCUGAAAUAGGCAAAAAACAGCAAUUCUGGGCUGGGCCUCCGGUUAAUACGUUAGUCCCAAAAAUAAUAUAAAAGUGUAUAAUAAAGACCAAUAAUGUCCAAAACAGAAUAUAAUAUAGCAUGGAACAAUGAAAAAUUAUAGAUACGUUGGAGACGUAUCAAUAACGGACCGAAUAAAGGCCUUCCCAUAAAGGCAAAUGUGGUUGCACUAGAAAAAACUCGAUUCAGUGGCACCAUGACCCGGUCAAGGAUAUAUUCAAGUUGAGUUAUUAGCAGGUUCAACUUAACGGGAAAGUAACCGGUGUCAUAACAUGCCAUGCAAGUGCAACACAAAUAUAUGCAUCAUAUAACAUCGGAAAUAACUGGGUCAACUAAAUCCACACUAAGCAUAAACAUCACAAUUCAUAACACUUCUCUGGUUAUGAUUAAUCAUCACUUUAAACAAAAUCUUUACUUAGCAAAUUUAUCAUUUUUGUCCUCCAAGAAAAAUAACUCAAAAUAAUUACUCAUAUCCAUAACAAAUAUUACUUCUUCAUAACAAAUAUUUCUUCUAGUUAUUUAACCAACUUAGUUAGCUUCAAACUUUCUGUAAACUAAGCAUAUCAACUUAAACAAGCAACCAAUCAGAAUAUAAAUAAUAUACUAGUGAUUUAAAUGCAUGGAUUAAAUCAUUAAUUCAAGUUGAAAAUCACAAAUAUUGCAAUGGCACCAUGAAAAUGUUGGUGUGGCUUGCCUUAGUGCAGAUGAGGUUCACAAUCCUCCUGGUGAUCCUCAAGACAAGCUUCUCUUUUUUAAAAUAUUUAUAAACACAAAAAGAAAACAUCAAGAACCCUUCUGAAAUUCACAAGAAAAUCUAGACAGCAGGGAAAAAUCUCAUUUUUGGUGAGCUGCUAGAUUUAUUCACAAAGAACACAAUGCAAAAAGAAUCAAUUCAUUUGGACUUAUGGUUAAAAAGGUUUGGCUGUUUGAAGCUCUCUGGACAGAAUUAUAUUUGAAUUUAAAUAAACAGAACUGAGGGGGGGGGGGUGACGUCGAAGGCGUAAACCUCGCGGGCGCCACCACUCGUACCGCUUCACGCGCGUAUAGAGUGGCUGUCUAGCGGGCCCUGCUAGUCAGGUGAGAGGAAGGGGGAAAGGGAAACAGAGGACGGCGCGGCUUCGCCGGAGCACACGCCGGCGAGGAGAGCUUCUUGGCCAGAACGAUAGGGAGGGAUCGAAAGAGAAGAUGGAGGCGCACCUGCCCGUACCCGUAGGUUAGCUAGGGGUGGUCGGACGGUGUUGGAAUCAGCCUCUCUAGCGGAGACAGGAAGCAGAGGUCAGCGAAGAUGAAGACGACGAUGACCAGAGGCGACACCAGUGGCUCCAACCGGGCGGAACGGCACCACCGAGGCACGGCGGAGGCCCUGGAAGGGUGGUCCGGGCCUGGGAGGGGCUGGAGCCGCGGAGAAGACCCGAGGGGAUCGCCGGCGAGCUCGAGUUCGGGGACGGCGGCCCGCGGCCUGCCCGGUCGGGCUACGGCUUUCUACGAGAUUGUGGAGUGUGUGGGAGGAGUGGAUGAUGCUCGAGGAGGCUGGGGAGGGCUCUAUUUAUAGCCGAGCGUCGAGAGGGGAUCGGGCUUUGGAGCACAUUGAGCUAGCUAGGUUUUUAGAGAGGGAAAUGAAUAUUUUUCAUUUAAGAAAAAUAUUCAAACUAUUAUUUUGAGGUGAACCGGAGAGAAAAUGAUAGUUAGAAAGGGAAAUCAGACACUUGGGUGAAAUUCAAGGGGUACCCAAGUGUUUAAGUCCAUCUGAAAAGAUUCAAAAUUUCAAAUUUCAAAACCAAACCAACUGAAAAUCAGGCAAAGAGAAGAGGGCAAAAACCAGAUUGUCACAGUGGUCGGGCAUUGAGUCUGACUCAACUUCACACCUUGUGACACAGGCAAGAACCCUUUCUUUGACUGAUCCAUUUUGAACUUCUUCAAAACUUUAUCAAGGUAUGUGCUUUGUGAAAGUCCAGUUAAGCGUCUUGAUCUAUCUCUAUAGAUCUUGAUGCCCAAUAUAUAAGCAGCUUCAGCGAGGUCUUUCAUUGAAAAAUUCUUAUUCAAGUAUCCUUUUAUGCUAUUCAGAAAUUCAAUGUCAUUUCCGAUUAACAAUAUGUCAUCCACAUAUAAUAUAAAAAAUGCUACAAAGCUCCCACUCACUUUCUUGUAAAUACAAGCUUCUCCAAAAGUCUGUAUAAAACCAUAUGCUUUGAUCACACUAUCAAAGGGUAUAUUCCAACUCGGAGAUGCUUGCACCAGUCCAUAAAUGGAUCGCUGGAGCUUGCACACUUUGUUAGAACCUUUAGGAUCGACAAAACCUUCUGGUUGCAUCAUAUACAACUCUUGUUUGAGAUAUCCAUUAAGGAAUGCAGUUUUGACAUCCAUUUGCCAAAUUUCAUAAUCAUAAAAUGCGGCAAUUGCUAACAUGAUUCGGACAGACUUAAGCAUCACUACGGGUGAGAAAGUCUCAUCGUAGUCAACUCGUUGAACUUGUCGAAAACCUUUCGCGACAAGUCGAGCUUUGUAGACAGUAACAUUACCGUCAGCGCCAGUCUUCUUCUUGAAGAUCCAUUUAUUCUCUAUGGCUUACCGAUCAUCGGGCAAGUCAACCAAAGUCCACACUUUGUUCUCAUACAUGGAUCCCAUCUCAUAUUUCAUGGCCUCAAGCCAUUUCACAGAAUCUGGGCUCAUCAUCGCUUCCUUAUAGUUCGUAGGUUCGUCAUGGUCAAGUAACAUGACGGCCAGAACAGGAUUACCGUACCACUCUGGUGCGGAUCUUACUUUGGUUGACCCACGAGGUUCAGUAGUAACUUGAUCGGAAGUUUCAUGAUCAUCAUCAUUAACUUCCUCACUAAUUGGUGUAGGAAUCACUGGAACUAAUUUAUGUGAUGUGCUACUUUCCAACUCGGGAGAAGGUACAAUUAACUCAUCAAGUUCUACUUUCUUCCCACUCACUUCUUUCGAGAGAAACUCCUUCUCUAGAAAGGAUCAAUUCUUAGCAACGAAUGUCUUGCCUUCGGAUCUGUGAUAGAAGAUGUACCCAACAGUCUCCUUUGGGUAUCCUAUGAAGACACAUUUCUAUGAUUUGGGUUUGAGCUUAUCAGGUUGAAGCUUUUUCACAUAAGCAUCACAGCCCCAAACUUUAAGAAACGACAACUUGGGUUUCUUGCCAAACCACAGUUCAUAUGGUGUUGUCUCAACGGAUUUAGAUGGUGCCCUAUUUAACGUGAAUGCAGCCGUCUCUAAAGCAUAACCCCAAAACGAUAGCGGUAAAUCAGUAAGAGACAUCAUAGAUCGCACCAUAUCUAAUAAAGUGCGGUUACGAUGUUCGGACACACCAUUACACUGUGGUGUUCCAAGUGGCGUGAGUUGCGAAACUAUUCCGCAUUGUUUAAAAUGAAGACCAAACUCAUAACUCAAAUAUUCACCUCCACGAUCAGAUCGUAGAAACUUUAUUUUCUUGUUACGAUGAUUUUCCACUUCACUAUGAAAUUCUUUGAACUUUUCAAAUGUUUCAGACUUAUGUUUCAUCAAGUAGAUAUACCCAUAUCUGCUCAAAUCAUCUAUGAAGGUCAGAAAAUAACGAUACCCGCCGCGAGCCUCAACACUCAUCGGACCGCAUACAUCAGUAUGUAUUAUUUCCAACAAGUCUGUUGCUCGCUCCAUUGUUCCGGAGAACGGAGUCUUAGUCAUCUUGCCCAUGAGGCAUGGUUCGCAAGCAUCAAGUGAUUCAUAAUUAAGUGAUUCCAAAAGUCCAUUAGCAUGGAGUUUCUUCAUGCGCUGUACACCAAUAUGACCUAAACGACAGUGGCACAAAUAAGUUGCACUAUCAUUAUUAACCUUGCAUAUUUUGGCUUCAAUAUUAUGAAUACGUGUAUCACUACAAUCAAGAUUCAACAAAAAUAGACCACUCAUCAAGGGUGCAUGACCAUAAAAGAUAUUACUCAUAUAAAUAGAACAACCAUUAUUCUAUGAUUUAAAUGAAUAACCGUCUCGCAUCAAACAAGAUCCAGAUAUAAUGUUCAUGCUUAACGCUGGCACCAAAUAACAAUUAUUCAGGUCUAAAACUAAUCCCGAAGGUAGAUGUAGAGGUAGAUUGCCAACGGCGAACGCAUCGACUUUGGAACCAUUUCCCACGCGCAUCGUCACCUCGUCCUUAGCCAAUCUUCGCUUAAUCCGUAGCCCAUGUUUCGAGUUGCAAAUAUGAGCAACAGAAACAGUAUCAAAUACCCAGGCGCUACUACGAGCAUUAGUAAGGUACACAUCAAUAACAUGUAUAUCAAAUAUACCUUUCACUUUGCCAUCCUUAUUAUCCGCCAAAUACUUGAGGCAGUUCCGCUUCCAGUGACCAGUCCCUUUGCAGUAGAAGCACUCAGUCUCAGGCUUAGGUCCAGACUUGGGUUUCUUCACUUGAGUAGCAACUUGCUUGUCGUUCUUCUUGAAUUUCCCCUUCUUCCCUUUGCCCCUAUUCUUGAAACUAGUGGUCUUGUUAACCAUCAACACUUGAUGCUCCUUCUUGAUUUCUACCUCCGCAGGCUUUAGCAUCACGAAGAGCUCGGGAAUUGUCUUAUCCAUCCCUUGUAUAUUAUAGUUCAUCACGAAACUUUUGUAGCUUGAGGGCAAUGAUUGAAGAACUCUGUCAAUGACACUAUCAUCAGGAAGAUUAACUCCCAAUUGAGUCAAGUGGUUGUGGUACCCAGACAUUCUGAUAUAUGUUCACUGACAGAACUAUUCUCCUCCAUCUUGUAGCUGUAGAACUUAUUGGAGACUUCAUAUCUCUCAAUUCAGGCAUUCGCUUGAAAUAUUAACUUCAACUCCUGGAACAUCUCAUAUGCUCCAUGACGUUCAAAACGCCGUUGAAGUCAGACAUUCUAAGCCGCAAAGCAUGGCACACUGAACUAAGCCGUAAAGCAUGGCACACAUAACGUCCGGAGUUGCUCCUGCAGCAGGUCUUGCACCUAGCGGUGCUUCUAGGACGUAAUUCUUCUGUGCAGCAAUGAGGAUAGUCCUCAAGUUACGGACCCAGUCCGUGUAAUUGCUACCAUCAUCUUUCAACUUAGCUUUCUCUAGGAAUGCAUUAAAAUUCAAAGGAACGGUAGCACGGGCCAUUGAUCUACAACAACAUGGACAUGCAAAAUACUAUCAAGUACUAUUUUGAUGAUAAAUUAAAGUUUAAUUAAUCAUAUUACUUAAGAACUCCCACUUAGAUAGACAUCUCUCUAGUCAUCUAAAUGAUCACGUGAUCCAUAUCAACUAAACCAUGUCCGAUCAUCACGUGAGAUGGAGUAGCUUUCAAUGGUAAACAUCACUAUGUUGAUUCAUAUCUACUAUAUGAUUCACGCUCGAUCUUUCAGUCUCAGUGUUCCGAGGCCAUAUCUGCAUAUGCUAGGCUCGUCAAGUUUAACCCGAGUAUUUUGCGUGUGCAAAACUGGCUUGCACCCGUUGUAUGUGAACGUGGAGAUUAUCACACCCGAGCAUCACGUGGUGUCUCGGCACGACGAACUGUAGCAACGGUGCAUACUCAGGGAGAACACUUGUACCUUGAAAUUUAGUGAGAGAUCAUCUUAUAAUGCUACCGCCGUACUAAGCAAAAUAAGAUGCAUAAAAGAUAAACAUCACAUGCAAUCAAAAUAAUUGAUAUGAUAUGGCCAUCAUCAUCUUGUGCCUUUGAUCUCCAUCUCCAAAGCACCGUCAUGAUCACCAUCGUCACCGGCUUGACAUCUUGAUCUCCAUCGUAGCAUCGUUGUCGUUUUGCCAACUAUUGCUUCUACGACUAUUGCUACCUCUUAGUGAUAAAGUAAAGCAAUUACAUGGCGAUUGCAUUUCAUACAAUAAAGCGACAACCAUAAGGCUCCUGCCAGUUGCCGAUAACUUUUACAAAACAUGAUCAUCUCAUACAAAAAUUUAUAUAUCAUCACGUCUUGACCAUAUCACAUCAAAGCAAGCCCUGCAAAAACAAGUUAUACGUCCUCUACUUUGUUGUUGCAAGUUUUACGUGGCUACUACGGGCUUCUAGCAAGAACCGUUCUUACCUACGCAUCAAAACCACAACGAUUUUUUGUCAAGUGUGCUGUUUUAACCUUCAACAAGGACUGGGCGUAGUCAAACUCGGUUCAACUAAAGUUGGAGAAACAGACACCCGCUAGCCACCUGUGUGCGAAGCACGUCGGUAGAACCAGUCUCAUGAACGCGGUCAUGUAAUGUCGGUCCGGGCCGCUUCAUCCAACAAUACCGCCGAAUCAAAGUAAGACAUUGCUGGUAAGCAGUAUGAGUAUUAUCGCCCACAACUCAUUGUGUUCUACUCGUGCAUAUAACAUCUACGCAUAGACCUGGCUUAGAUGCCACUGUUGGGGAACGUAGUAUUUCAAAAAAUUACUACGAUCAAGCAAGAUCUAUCUAGGAGAAGCAUAGCAACGAGCGGGGAUGUGUCCACGUACCCUUGUAGACCGAAAGCGGAAGCGUUUAGUAACGCGGUUGAUGUAGUCGAAUGUCUUUGCGAUCCAACCGAUCCAAGUACCGAACGUAUGGCACCUCCACGUUCAGCACAUGUUCAGCUCGAUGACGUCCCUCGAUCUCUUGAUCCAGCUGAGGACGAGGGAGAGUUCCGUUAGCACGACGGCGUGGCGACAGUGAUGAUGAAGUUACCGACGCAGGGCUUCGCCUAAGCACCACGACGAUAUGACCGAGGUGUGUAACUGUGGAGGGGGGCACCGCACGCGGAUAAGAGAAGACUUGGUGUGCCUUUGGGGUGCCCCCUCCCACGUAUAUAAAGGAGGGGAGGAGGAGGAGGCCGGCCAAGGGGGGUGACGGUGUCCUGGACUAGGGGGUACUCACCACGUCGUCUCCCGAUCAGUUGGAUUAGGCCGGGGACCCCCAUGGUCGUUUUCUCAUGGGCCAGUUCGGACAGCCGAUGUAUACACGAGGAAGAUUCCACAAGACUUGGUGAUCAAGACAAGGACUCCUCUCCACCGGCGUAUUCGACUAGGACUCUUGUUAUCCUAGGCCUCUGGUACAUUAUAUAAGCCGAGGCCAGGCUAGUCGAUAGAUGAUCAUGACAUUACUCAUCAUACCUCUAGGGUUUAGACCACAACAUAUGAUCUCGAGGUAGAUCAACUCUGUAAUCAUACGCAUUGAAUACAAUCAAAAGCAGCAUGUAGGGUAUUAUCUCUUCGAGAGAGCCCGAAGCCAGGUAAAAUCCCGUGUCCAUGUUACCAUUGAUCCUAAGACACGCAGCUUGGGACCCCCUACCCGAGAUCUGCCGGUUUUGACACCGACAAUGGUGCUUUGAUUGAGAGUUCCGCUGUGUGGUCGGCAAAAGGAUAAAUGGCUCGCUUGUAGAUCAACUGCGACGUCGGUGUCUUCGUCGCUGCCUCGACUGGUCACCUUGGCUUGACCAAGGACUGUGCCCUACCUCCAAUCAUCAUGUUCGGACGAGGGCCUUCAUCAACAUCAACUCCGAUCUCUAUCAAGAUUAUGGAGGAAUCAUCCAUGGAGCUUGGGGGCUCAACGUCAACAUUGCCCUCGGGCGACCGUGCUGUUUUCCGAACAACAAACUUGUAUCCGCUACCACCACCUCCUCGAGCAUCGCUUUGACGAUUCCUUUGGUGGAAUUGUGCGGAAUUGAGUCUACAACAACACUGUAAAAUUUUGUCGCGUUCCGAUGGAGCAAUCUCCGCCGGUCUCCGAUAUACCAGAGCUCCGUCGAAUCUGGACGAGUUUGGAGCAUGGUGUCCCGUACCUAGCUCGGACGUCCUUUGGAAGAUCCAACCGUUGAUCGGCUGCAGAAUUCCUAUAUCUACCACCCCUCAAAAUUUCAGCUUGAUCCGACUGUCCAAACUUCGAGAACCUUUCGAUUAAUGCAUCACUUUUCAGAUCUGUUUUCUGCGUGAGAACGAAUCCGACCCGAGUUCAUCUUUUUUAUGAACGGGGUUUCGGACAUCCUUUUUGAAGGAAGUUUUGUAUGGGGUAUUGUGUUUUGUUCCCAAACACAUCCCAUUAAUUUUAAAGUCUUUUCCAAUAUGAUCUUCACCAUCGCGCCGGUGUCAAACCAGCCCGACAAUGUUGCUCCACUGCUGCCGACCUGCGCUAGACACGUCGUCGCUUUGAUGACCCGAGCUCAACUUCUUCGGAUCAUCAUCUCGGCAAGCCGAACAAGAGUUCGGCAUCGCGAAGGAUAAAUCAUCACCAACCUCGCCGCCCCACGGAUUAGACGGAGCGGGCACAUCAGCAUCGCCGCACGGUCACUUCAUCAAGCCGGCAUUGACCACGUCACAAGUUAUGACCUGCAUCGGCCUGGCCGCACCGUUGCUUCUUCGACCUGAUGUCCAUCACGCUGAACUACUUCAACACCUCGGCUGACAUGGCGGCUGCAACGCCUCCUUACCGACCUGCUCCGUCACCUCGUCUGGACCAGGGGCUUCGCCAUCCCUUCAUCAACCUACUCUGGAGACUUCGGCGUCGUCAGCCGACCAGCUUCGUCAUGUUAGCUGGACCGGGGGCUUUGCCUCGGCGAGCCAACCUUUACCAGCAUCGCCAUGCCGUCGCUUCACCGCCCAUCACGCAAUGGAUGUGCGGAUCGAGUCCCAAUUUUGGGAGUCACUUUUCUUCGGACUGCUACAACAAAUAAACCAGGUGUUAUUAAUCCUAGCAAUUUUUGCUUGUUUGGGUUUAUUUUUCCCAAGGAAUUAUUACUCUGGUUUGUUCCAUCAUCUGUACACAGGUCUAUCAAAUGGCGACCGCAUUAACGACGGUCGCGUGGUGGUUCAGUCAGUUUCCGUACAUAGUUCGACGAACACCGCAUCCGGAACUCGGACCGACCUGUGAAUUCAGGCUUUGCCACGCCUUUACUGCAUCAUGCCGACGCCCUGCAUCGACAUUGACUUCGGCGCCAGGCCACAUAUUUUUAAAUAAAUUAUCUUGCGUAAAUUAAUUACGCGAGGAUUUUUAUAUAUUUAUAUUAUUAUUGUUGGCCUGCACUAUUUUACAUGUGCCGGUAAUGGACUUUGACUGCGUCACGUAGUCUCUUCAGCAAGCCGACACCGUCGUCCCAAUCAGCGUAAAUCGGCUCGCGUGAUUACCUUGUUGGUCGUGUUGCCAUACCGACGUGUUCGGUUGCCUCGGGGACUUCAGCAUCGCCGAGAGAGCUCUACCUCAUCAAGCGUUCGGCGCACAGGCCAUAUUUCUUUUAUUACUCAUUUUCCAUAAAUUAUUUAUUAUGCAACAAUUUUUUAAUUUAUUAUUAUUAUUACUAUUAUCUCCGGUUUGCACUAUUUUUUGUGCACAGGUAAAUGAUUUGGGUCAGGCAGUGUUGUCACCUCAGCGUACUGACAUACCACGUCACCUUGACUGGACGGGAGGCUUCGUCAACACUUCAUUAACCCACGCCGGGGACUUUGGCGUCACUCUGCUGGCCUGCAUUGGCCGUGCUAUGUCACCACUUCAGAGUGCCGAGCUCUUCGCUCCGCCACCUCGGGACCGGCUUGGGGGAUGGAACCUUGUCCCACAUCAAGCUCGGACUGCGUCAUCAAUGCCGAACACAUUAACCAGCUAAGUCGCUUUCAUGCUCAAAGUUUUAAAUUUUUAACUUGUAUUCGGUUCAACCAUGCUCACAUACGUUGUUCGUUAAAAGAAACUCCCCUUACCCAUGUUAACUGGGGGCUUUUAAAAUUUACACGAGCCGUUCUAUAAGUUUCUUCUUGGUCGUUGCAAUGCAUUUUUCUAGCGCUCCUUUUUUGACUCGAGUGUAUGGUCAAUAGCCGGAUAGCCUAGCUUCUCUCUAAAGCCUCUCGAGUUUAGUUCGCUAAACUGGCCUCAGAGAAGCACUCCGCCUUCGGGAUAAGGAGCUUGAAGCCAUAGGCUGACCCGCUUGAAGUCUUGAGAUCAGAUGUGUCAUGUUAAAGCAUGACAGAAGCACCAUUUUUUUAAAAGACCAAUUUCUGGAUUGGCACCAAAAUCUCAGUUUAGUCCGGACGUCAAGCUUUUACAUAAGUUUUUGGCUUUUCGAGCCUAUGGCACUUUUAAACUAUUGGUGUGUUUGCAGCAUAAGUCUCGUAGUGCAACGCCUGACACCUUUAGAGAUUCUGCAAAAAUAUUCUCGGAUAUUGCUAUAUAUGCAUCAGUUUCGAAUUGUGUCUUUGGUCAAUAGUUGGGUUGCCCGGCUCCUAUGCUCUUUGUUCGGCUAGGUGUGCAAAGGGAGAACCACUGCGAUUGUGCUUCUAGCUCGCAUGGUUAAGCACCUCAGUGGAGAAAGCCGAAAACCGGCUGUCACAAUAAGCGUAAUCUAGUCAGCGAUCCGAUGACUAUGUUAAAUGACGGGCCGUUCAUAACAUUGGCCGAAGUGUUUACGGCUUGACCUCGGCUGUCGCCGAACACUAACCAGGGGCUAGUAGCUGGCCUCCCAACUUUAAGCUUCUAUGACUAAGUGAAAGUUAUAAAGCCCACAUAUCUGAUUACCUCAUUUCCGCUAACACAACCGCCUUCGGGCACUGAGACGUCGGCUAAGGGUUGUUUGUUAUUGCAGAAAUACUCUGCGUAGCAUCUACAAGGGGGUGGAAGCCGACGAUGGGACAAUUUCAACUGAUAAACGGUUGCAACAGAGUCAAAAUAAACAUAUCAUCGACAUUUUUAUUUAAUAUACAAGGGCCGCCUUUCAUAAUCAUUGUUAUAAAGCCAUAAAUAUGCAUCAAUUUCACUUAAGAUUUCGGCCAAGCUGGGUUGCCUGGCUCCUGUGAUUACCCCUAUGUUCCCGAUUGUUCGGCUAGGAGGUAAAGGGAGCACCUCUGUGAUUGUUACUUCUGGGUCAUCCGUGUUAGUACCUCAGACUGGGAGAAGCCGAAAGCUAGCCAUCUUAAAGAAUAUAAUUGGUCAGCAACGAGGAAGUGAAAAUUUUGGUCCAUUAAAAGCCACAGAGAUCGGGAACUUACCCCAAACUAAAUCCUCAAUAUUUUCCCCUGCAUCGAUCGGAGUUGAGGUUUCAUGAUCAUGGUCGGCAUGACAACCCAAAGAAAGGAACCAACAACGGGAUUAUUUUCUUUGGGAGAUGUUUCUUACAUCAAAUAUUAAUAUAACAUUCUCUCUGCAUACCUUUGUUUAUAAAACCAUAUGGCCGGAUUGCCUUGUUUCUCGUAAACCUUUGCCCUUGUAAAGGCUUUAUAAAGUAGGACAAACACUCCCCGGCCACUAGCCGAGGAGGUUGAAGCCGAUGGUCGGUCAACAAGGUGUUGUACAAUGCGGAUCUGAGCAUUUAUGAUGUAAAGUACUUGGAUACAUAGAAUCAUUACACAUAAAAAUUGCGAGUAAAAUCCAUUUACUGCAACUCUUUUAAACCCCUUGGGGUCUACCUUGGCGAGCUCGGAUUUCGACCAGCUCUAAGCUCCUUUAAGAGAUCUUUAUUCUCUUUCCGAGAAGUUUGUGUUAAACACAACAAAAUUUUCUGUCAAACGGAUAUCGAUCCUUAAUUCGGCCACCCGUGCCCACAUUAAGGCUCGGGGGCUACUGGGCUUGGCGCUCAUUAUUUAUAAAUAUUAAAGGGGCACAUCGAUCCCCUGAUCUGGUGUUGCCACCCGGCCAGCGUCUCGGGGGCUACUGCACUGCUUAUUCAAUGCAGAGAAUUCAAAGUGCUCAGUGUUCGGCAUGACCGAACUAUGGGCAAGCGCGUCUUCGGACAACAGUAAGUACCAUCUGGGACUUAUCCAACAUCAAGCUAAUAUAUCACGGCGACUUCUCACAACCCUCUCUCAGGGGCCUGUCUGCCGAUCAUUAUUUCUAAUAUAUUACACUGCAUUUCUAUUCCUACGUAUGCUGCCGAGCUAGGAGUUGAUCCUCAGGCCGAUUUUGCAAAUUGACCUGAGUCUCAGGGGCUACUAGGAUCAGCAGUUUUAUGUUUUCCUUCAGGUGCAUCUCGGGUUUUAGACCGAGGCACACCUUGAGGGCUACUGAUAUACAUAUACUGGCUAUAUAUCUCCAUAGAGAAUAAAUUGCACCAAUAAAAAUAUUCACAAAAAAAUCAGCCCGCCGUCGGGGUGGUGCACCACCUCGGAAGCAGCCUGGCAUAAAGCUCGGGCGCUAGUGACUGGCUCCAUAGAGGGCAUUCCCGGCAUUAAGCUCGGCUGAAUUCGUUCAAUCUUUUAAAAGACCGAGGUAGUUUACGACACCUCGGACGCUGACCGUCGUUGGAGCUCGGAAGUGGUCCAGCAUAAAGCUCGGAUUCGAAUGUCUCGUUCCAUAGAGAACUUUUCAGCGUUAAACUCGGAUAACCUCCUUCAAACUUUUUCAAGCCAAGGUGAUCUAUGACACCUCGGAUAUAGUCCGGCAUUGGAGCUCAGAUAUAAUCCGGCGUUGGUGCUCGGCUGCAAAAGAUAUUUCGAAUGCAGUCCGGUGUUGGAGCUCAGGUGCAAGAGGACACCGCCGCACGGGAACAACUUCAAACCCGAGGUGUGGCAUAAAAAAUAAUAACAAGACAUUAAUAAAGGCCAGAACUUAAAGGGGCUCCUCGGAUACCCGACAUGUAAACUCUUCGGAUUCACUUUGGCGAUGCUCAAGAUCGAAGAUGAGAUGAUUUAUUGAACCAGUUUUCAAGACCGACGACCGAAGAUGAAGAACAAUUCGGAAGAAUCGAGGAGCGUCCCCAACUUGAAGACCGAUUCAGGGGCCUACUGACGGUGUCCUGGACUAGGGGGUACUCACCACGUCGUCUCCCGAUCAGUUGGAUUGGGCCGAGGACCCCCAUGGCCAUUUGCUCAUGGGCCAGUUGGGACAGCCGAUGUAUACACGAGGAAGAUUCCACAAGACUUGGUGAUCAAGACAAGGACUCCUCUCCACCGGCGUAUUCGACUAGGACUCUUGUUAUCCUAGGCCUCUGGUACAUUAUAUAAGCCGAGGCCAGGCUAGUCGAUAGAUGAUCAUGACAUUACUCAUCAUACCUCUAGGGUUUAGACCACAACAUAUGAUCUCGAGGUAGAUCAACUCUGUAAUCAUACGCAUCGAAUACAAUCAAAAGCAGCAUGUAGGGUAUUAUCUCUUCGAGAGAGCCCGAAGCUGGGUAAAAUCCCGUGUCCAUGUUACCAUUGAUCCUAAGACACGCAGCUUGGGACCCCCUACCCGAGAUCUGCCGGUUUUGAAACCGACAGGGGGCACGUGCCAUGGGGAGUCCAACUAGGAUUCCCAAUCCUAGUUGGAGUCCCCUUCCUUCCAAGAGAGGGAGAGAGAGGGAAGGAGGAAGAGGGGAGAAGGAAAGAGGGGGCGCCGCCCCUCCCUAGUCCAAUCGGACUAGCCACGGGGGGCGUGCGGCCUCCCUUGUGGCCCUCCUCUCCUUUCCACUAAGGCCCAUGAAGUCCCAUGAACUUCCGAGGGGGGGGGGGGUUCCGGUAACCCCCGGUACUCCGUAACUCAUCCGAAACAACCCGAACCAUUCCGGUGUCCGAAUGUAACUUUCCAAUAUAUGAAUCUUUACCUCUUGACCAUUUUGAGACUCCUCGUCAUGUCCGUGAUCUCAUCCGGGACUCCGAACAAACUUUGGUCAUCAAAUCACAUAACUCAUAAUACAAAUCGUCAUCGAACGUUAAGUGUGCGGACCCUAUGGGUUCGAGAACUAUGUAGACAUGACCGAGACACAUCUCCGGUCAGUAACCAACAGCGGAACCUGGAUGCUCAUAUUGGCUCCUACAUAUUCUACGAAGUUCUUUAUCGGUCAAACCGAAUAACAACAUACGUUGUUCCCUUUGUCAUCGAUAUGUUACUUGCCCGAGAUUCGAUCGUCGGUAUCAUCAUGCCUAGUUCAAUCUCGUUACCGGCAAGUAUCUUUACUCGUUUCAUAAUGCAUCAUCCCACAACUAACUCAUUAGUCACAUUGCUUACAAGGCUCAUAGUGAUGUGCAUUACCGAGAGGGCCCAAAGAUACCUCUCCGAUACACGGAGUGACAAAUCCUAAUCUCGAUCUAUGCCAACUCAACAAACACCAUCGGAGACACCUGUAGAGCAUUUUUAUAAUCACCCAGUUAUGUUGUGACGUUUGAUAGCACACAAAGUGUUCCUCCGGUAUUCGAGAGUUGCAUAAUCUCAUAGUCAGAGGAACAUGUAUAAGUCAUGAAGAAAGCAAUAGCAAUAAAACUAAACGAUCAUUAUGCUAAGCUAACAGAUGGGUCUUGUCCAUCACAUCAUUCUCUAAUGAUGUGAUCCCGUUCAUCAAAUGACAACACAUGUCCAUGGCUAGGAAACUUAACCAUCUUUGAUUAACGAGCUAGUCAAGUAGAGGCAUACUAGGGACACUCUGUCUGUCUAUGUAUUCACACAUGUACUAUGUUUCCGGUUAAUACAAUCCUUGCAUGAAUAAUAAACAUUUAUCAUGAUAUAAGGAAAUAUAAAUAACAACUUUAUUAUUGUCUCUAGGGCAUAUUUCCUUCAAGCAGUUCAUCCUCGGCGCUGAGGGUAUGUACUAGUUGCUAUGUGUUCAAUAUCUCUCUCCCAUGUUCUUAAAAGUUUCCGAUCUUGAUUGUAUAAUUGGCUUGUUAAUAAAGUUGGAUCUUAUGAUGUUUCCCCGUCUAUUCUUUUUGUGGUGGAUGUCUUGAACUUUGAAAAUUCUUUAUGUUGGAUUGAAUAAUUUGGAUUUGAGAUUAUCUGAUGAAUGUCUAGUAUAACAUGCGGAUACCCGUGGUGACACUGGGGUAUUAUAUGCAUAAAAGGUUGAACGAUAGUAUAAUAUGGUUGCGUAGUACAAUUUUUGGGACUAUUCGUGAGACAUUGGGAUGGUUCAAUAGAUUAAGAUUGGACGACGAUUUGCUAUUAAGCGCACCUUCUAAGAUGCCCAAUGCAUCUAGAUGGAGGGAGUAGUAGAAAUCAAGGGCGGAGUAAUAGGUGAAGGCGUGUUGCAUGUUGUGGAACUAGUGGAAUUGGAGAAACAAAAUUAAUAAGGCUAGCUAGUCAUAGUGGGAGUAAGUUAGGUAGUAACAGAGCGCACUACAAGAAAUUUUUGCUUAUGUGGCAUGUAGUUAAUAAGGAGAGAGGUGUUUAGAGUAACAUAUUAUGUUAAUGUAACAUAGCACUUCCCGAGAAAGAAUGAGUCUGCAAGCUAAUAAAUGAAGCCAUCUAGUAUAACACUACUACUAUGUUACUUUGCACUAUGGAAAUAGUAAUUUAGACUAGUGUCAUAUGCAUGACACUAGUAUAAGUUACUCCCCACUAUGACUAGCCUAAAGGGGAAGCUAGCCUCUUGAUAGAGAGUGUUGACAUGUAGGUGACUAGGUUGGUGACAAAAUCUCUGCAAUUGAGUACAAAAACCAGUAUGAGGAAAGAGAAAAACAUUUCUAUGCAUUGGAAACAACCGGAAGGUGACUUAAUCAAUAUCAACAUUGAUGUAGCAUAUCAUCCUGAGAAGUAGCAAUGAGCCUGGGGAUUUAUGGUCCGUGGUAGCGGUGGAUUCGUCAAGGGAUCAAGUGUAGGCUGUCUAUGACGUAUGACAAGCGUGACAUGGCGGAGGCGGUGCAUGCAACUGCUGGUUGGGGAAUGGUGAAUAUUCAGCUCGAAGCGGAUGGCCAGAAUUUUAUACAAGCUUUGCAAAGUGUUGACGCUUGAAAAUGGCAUGAUCGCAAAGAAUGGCUUGAGGAUAUAAUGAGAUGAUGUUAAAAUUAUGAGUUCAUGUCACCAUUUUAUGGCUCUCUUCAAGAUGAUCGAAAUAGAUAUAGAGAUGGUCCAAAACGGAGCUCGGAGGCAAAAGUUAUGAUAAUCUUAGAGAUGCUCGUAUUGGCAUGAGAUCAAAGAAUGGCAUGAAACCUAAUUAAGAUGGCCUCAGAUGAAAAAGUUACAACUAAAAAGUUCUUCGUCUCGUCGAAAUGGACGAUUUUAAUAUAAAAAUCGUCCCCAUCCGAGGUCGUAUGCGAGUUCUACGGCCAAAACUGUGCACCGCAACACUGCAUGUCCGGAUCAUCCGGACCGGGGGCCGAAAAUUUGACCCAAACAACAGAAGCUAAAAGUUGAAGCCGGAUGAUCUCGGUCGAGUCCCGGAUGAUCCGGGUAAAGGCCGGACAAUCCGGGCAAUCGUCCGGACAAGUUUUUCUGCUGCAUACUUUAGAAAACAGCCCGAAACACCCUCAAGAUGGCCUCAUAUCGAAAAGUGUUCAACACGAAAGUUGUGCGUCUCGUUGAGACGGUUGCUUUUGAUAUAAAAAUCAUCUUAAUCCGAGUUCGUAUGAAAAAGUUACAGCCCGAUUAGUGGACUGCUAUCAGAAAUCUGGGCUUGGCCGGAUCAUCCGGGCCUAGAGCCGGACAUCCGGGCCGGAGGUCGUGAGAAGUCCGAAUUUGGUUACAUUUUGAUGAUUUGGACGGAAAGGAAAGUCCUUUUCUUGUACGGAAAGUCCAUACGCCUCUUAUAUAGACAAGAGGUGACGGCCGACUGAACAACACACAAUCGAUCAAAUCUAUCUACAUCUUUUACCUUUACUUUUCCUUCUCCCUUGUUCUUCUUCUUCCUCAUUCUUCGUUCGUUCUUCUUCAUUGCAGGGCGGCGAACCUCGACGCCCUAGGGGCGAUCAGGUCGACCUAGGGCAGCCCAUAGCCGCCGUGCGCUCUAACGGGGUCCCUCCCGGGCAUGUGGGGUUUCGGGUGUACAAAAGCGCCCGCCGGAUUGUCUUGCGUACCGCGCUUCCGGUGGGUCUCCUUCGACGUGAACUGCGGUGUAUCACCCCCGGCGUUGAGGGUACACGGUGACAUGUUCGUGUGCGAACACACUUUUUGGCGACUCCGCUGGGGACGAAGCUUUGAACGGUCUCCGGCCCGUUCUUGCUACGAAGAGAUCAUCAUCUAGGGUUUGCAAUCUACAAAGGUAAUAUGAAUACCCAAUUCACAUAUGUAGAUGCAAAUAAUGCAUAUGUUGUUCCUAGAUCAUCUAAUGAGCAUAAUGUAUUGGCUAGCCCUGACUUUAUCAAUCAUGCAUCUAAUUAUGUGCAAGGGCCGAUGCAAAAAAAUCUCCAUGAUUCUACUUCAUAUAAUUUUAGCAACAUGCAACAUAUGUAUCCCAACUCCUAUGCAUCGGCAACCCCGCAAAUCCAUAUGCCGAUGAACAACAUGGUGAGUUCGAUUAAUAAAUUCGAAACACCUCAUGUUAGAAUUUCCAAUGCCAUGCAACAAAGUGUUUUACCCUUUUAUUCAUCGGCAACUAAUUUGCAAUAUGUGAAUCCAAACGUGCCGGUGGAUAGGGGAAUUGGCCAUGCUACUACUAGUUAUUCGGCCAAUUACCCUCAACCAUCAUAUGCUACACCUCAUGUUAGUAAUUUUUCAGCACCGUAUGCAACUGUAGAUGUUCAUAAUUCGGCCCCACAUCUUCAUGGUCAUAGCCAAAUAAGUGAAAAGUUUACAGGAACACAUGUGCCGUCAUCAAAUACUGUAGCAUAUAAUGCAUACUCUACGCAAUUCAAGAAUUUCGGCAACACUCACGAAUCAUUGCCGAAAGAAUCUGAAAGUAUUGCGGAGCAAUCCCUUCCAGAAGCGGUUGUGGUUGCAUUAAAAAAGAGCUUGGCACAAAACAAGAGAAUUAGUGCUCUUUGCCUUGAACAAUAUGAAAAGGGGUUGUUUCCUGAUUAUGCUGCAAUAAAGGCCAGAAUUUUGCAGGAAGAUGAAACUUCAUCAAUUGGUAGUAUUGGUGAGAGAGCAUAUGGUUGUACAGCAGUGCAUACACCUCCACCUAGUACUGCAGCAUAUUAUACACCCCCUACACAAUUGCAAAAUUUCAGCAACACUAACACUUCAUUGCCGAAAGAUCCUAAAAGCAUUGGGGGGCAAACUAAUCUAGAGCGGGCUGAAAUUGAGAGGGGAGUUAAAGCUUUGCGCGAUAGGGUGCAAGUACUUCGCCAAGAGAGAAUUGAUAGGGAAUUAGCUCAAAGAAAAGAAGCCUUGCCAAUUAAUAUAACCGGUGAAAAGAAUGAUGAUUCAGAAACUAAAAGUGCUUCGGUUGAAAAAGCCGAAUCAAGUAGUAUAUAUUUCGAAUCCAUCAAAUCCAAAGAGGCAAACAUUGUUGAGAAAGGGCAUGGAAAGUAUAGCAAGACAACCAUACUUGAUUUUUCUGAAGUUAAUGGAACCUACUUCCUGCCCUAUGAGUUUCGUGCCAUAGAAAUUGAUGAGCUUCAAGAACAAGAACAAGUAGCCGAAGAAAGUUUGGUGGACAAAUAUCUUCAAACUAAUGAUGCACGAAAUCAAGAAAAAGAUGAUGACAAGGCGUUGGGGAGCUAUCCGAAGGCGGAGCAAGAUAUUCUUCAGGUCACGCCACCAUCAUGCUCUCCCAAUAUAUUUGAAGAGGUAUGUCUAGCAAUUAAUUUACCCGUUUUCAGAUUUGGUCAUGACUUAGUUGUUGAUGCAUAUAUAAGAAAAAUCUUCAUAAGAAAUAUUGAGAGACCAAUGAAGAAUGGUAAAGUAUUUGUUAGCAAUCAGAUUGUCACAAAGCAUAUCGGUCAACACAUUGCACCAUUCAGAAAGACCGAUAGCGAAAAAUUAUUGCAGCCAAGGCCUUCCCCAUUUCUUUAUCUAAAGCUCAUAUCUAAUUGGGUAGCUUUGCUUAUUUAUUACUUGGCUUACACUUGGUCUCAAUUGAGACAUGUAUGUUCUAACUAUUUUCAUUUCAGAAAUUUAAAGCCAAGGUUAAAAUCUUUUGAGAAAACCGAUGCUAGUAUAGUUUCUUAUCCAAAGACAUCGGAGAUAGAGUGCAAAACACAAUGCAUAGCCGAAUUGGAUGAUGCAAAAUCUGAACCAUUCGUUUGCUUAACUCCAAAGACAUUCUCACAACAAGAUCGGCUAGAGAAUAAAAAGUUUACCUUCAAUUCAAACAUGUCUGAUCAAAUCUUUGAUUUGUUGUUGAGAAAUAAUUAUAUUAGAAUUCUUGAUCACCAUGUUGAGCCAUAUGUCCAGGGACGAAUGUAUUGUAAGUUGCAUGAUUCGUCCAAGCAUAAUUUUGAGGAUUGCAACAUGUUCCGUCAAAUAUUAAAUCGGCCAUUGAUAAAGGACGAUUGAAAUUUGUUGAGACACCAAGAGAUGAGCAGUCUAUUCCAAUUGGUCCCGAUGGUAAAAGGUUUUUGCAUCGGCUGAUUCAAGGUGAUCCAUUUAAAGAGAAGGUAAAAACUGCAGGUGAUGGGAUCAAGCUUUCAAGUAAAGAAGUUGUUAAAGAGCAUAAUGAACAUAAUCUUGAGGGCGAGAAUUCCAUCGAAGCUACAACGGGGACGCCAAGGACUGGGGGGAACAAGAUAAUCCAGAGAUCGGUGCAAGCACAACCAAAGAAAACAAAGGCCGACAUAAGCACAAAGGUAAAAAGCCGAAAUUCACUUUCGCGCAACUAUUGGAAAAAUAUCAGAAGAUAAGUGAGAAGAACAGUGCUUAUCGGCCAACUAAUCCAAAAGCAUCAAGAUCACCCCCUAGGCACAAAUCCAAGGAUCGAUAUUGGCAAGAAGAGAAUUUGAAUGCAACUUGUUCAUAUCCUUAUUUUGGGCCGCCAAUGCCAAUGUCGUGGAUGCCUCCCUAUGCUAAUGUAGAUCCAUAUCCAUCAUGGGACAGGUAGGAUACAAGGGAACACUCUCCAUCUUAUUUUAGAACAUCUCACCAAUAUUAUGCAGCUCCAAGAAAACAACAUUUGAACAAUCACAUGUUAAAGACCGUUUCAAUCAUAAGGAAUCGGUCCGGAGCUCAAGGAAGAAGAAAGAGGUAGUCAAACAAGUUUACCGCGUUAAAAGAGAUCGUCGUAAGAGUGCUACUUCAGAUUUGAUCUCAAAUGAAAAAGAGCCAAUGUAAGUGUUGACAUUGGCUACUAAAGGCAAUGAGAUGAAGCAACCAAUUAUUGAAAGUCAAAGUGCCAAAUUUGAAGAAAGGAAGUUGAGACUGCACAAGGCCAAAAAGGAAUUGCCAUUGGUCAAGACAGAACCAUAGCCGAGAUGCCCACUCGGCUUAUCGUAUUGGCAAAAGAAGAAAUUACAAAAUCUUAGCGCACAAGAGCUGAGACAGAAGAAUAUGGCAUGGGUUCCCAAGAAGACCAAUCAUAGCAAAAAUGAUUUGCAUGCUUCUAUUGCAACAAGUACAAUAAAAGUGAAGAAAGAGAAGGAUGGAAGCAACAAAUAAUUAAGCCGAAGGCGUGCAUCACAACAUCAGAAUCUUCGGUUAGCACAUCGUCCAUUUUCUUAAACCAUGCCAUUGAUGCCUUUGCCAUGGAAUUCAUCCCUAGGUAUGAUCAAUUACCCUCCAUGGAUUUUUUUGAUCCAUGGAUACAACAUAAUUUUCUAUAUCAUGAGAGGGUAUUACCAAAUUACUAUACAUUUGGUUAGUUACAUUGUUGCUAAUACAAAGGGGCCGAAAUAUUUUAUUCCUAUUUUAUUUGUUUAUUUCGGCUAUACAUAUUUUGGUGGGUGAAUUCUACAUGGACCUCAUGUUAAUGGCUGAUAUUUAUCUAUCGCCCUAAGAAUAUGUCAAAGCAUGGCCGGUGUAGUAUCCUAACAUCGUCCUUAGUUCAAUUGGAGACCAAAACAAGCCUCAUGCCGCUUAAAAUAUUUUUUUCACAAUAAUCAAAGCGAAAUAUAAAAUUUUAUUCGGUUUGGAGCUUUUGGUUUCCAUAGGUGCUAUAUAUAUUGAGACUUUGGGUGAUUCGUUAUGAGUAGUACAACAAAUAUCCAAGAGUUAUCAAUGUUUUAACGAAUCACUUAUAGUUUAUCUUGAGGUAUGCCUAGAUGCAAAAUUUACCUUGGGUUGCUUUAAAAUUGUUCAUAUUUCUAGGCAUGACAAUUCAAGAGAGUUGGCACAGCAAGCAUUCGGCUACUAUGUUAAUCAUGGUGUAUUGCAUUUCUAUCAAUAGCCGAUGCAUAGUCUCGUCACCAUAGGUAAGGCCGAACCGAAGUCCACCGCUUCAGCCACUAAUGAAUUUUUUAUGCAGGCGAAAGUAAGGAUUUGAGAAAGUUUAUUGUUGAUUAUCUGCAAAAUCCUAGCAAAAGGGUGGUUCGGAGAACGACCUUGAGAUACAUAUCUAUGGAACUUUAUCAUUGGAUUUCUUAAUGAUGUUGAGAAGGUUUGGCCCAAGUUUGCAUCAAGGAUUCAAAUAAAUAAUGACCGCUAUGUAUUUAUCGCCCUAAGCACAUGCAAAGUGGCCGAUGGAGUGUUGACAUCGUCCUUAGAACCAACACGGCGCAAGUUAUUUUUCGGCACACUAGCUUUGCAGAAAAACAGGGGGACAUGUGUUGACGCUAAAAGUUGAAGCCGGAUGAUCUGGGUCGAGUCCCGGAUGAUCCGGGUAAAGGCCGGACAAUCAGGGCAAUCGUCCAGACGUCCGGACAAGUUUUUCUGCUGCAUACUUUAUAGAAAAGCCCUAAACACCCCGAAGAUGGCCUCAUAUCGGAAAGUGUUCAACACGAAAGUUGUGCGUAAUAUCGCGACGGUUGAUUUUGAUAUAAAAAUCAUCUUAAUCCGAGUUCGUCUGAAAAAGUUACAGCCCGAUUAGUGGACUGCUAUCAGAAAUCUGGGCUUGGCCGGAUCAUCCGGGCCUAGAGCCGGACAUCCGGGCCGGAGAUCGUGAGAAGUCCGAAUUUGGUUACAUUUUGAUGAUUUGAACGGCAAGGCAAGUCAUUUUCUUGUACGGGAAGUCCAUCCGCCUCUUAUAUAGCCAAGAGGUGACGGCCGAUUGAACAACACACAAUCGAUCAAAUCUAUCUACAUCUUUUACCUUUACUUUUCUUUCUCCCUUGUUCUUCUUCUUCCUCGUUCUUCGUUUGUUCUUCUUCAUUGCAGGGUGGCAAACCUCGAGGCCCUAGGGGCGAUCAGGUCAAUCUAGGGCAGCCCAUAGCCGCCGCGCGCCCUGACGGGGUCCUUCCCGGGCGUGUGGGGUUUCGGGUGUACAAAAGCGCCCGCCGGAUUGUCUUGCGUACCGCGCUUCCGGUGGGUCUAAUUCGACAUGAGCUGCGGUGCAUCACCCCCGGCGUUGAGGGUACACGGUGACGUGUUCGUGUGCAAACACAAAGUGAUGAGUUUGAUCAUACCGAAAGGAGUCAUCUACAGAGAGACCAGCCUGUUUAUUUGCAUCAACUUUAAUUCUGUUAGUUUUUCUCAUUGUCCCCGUGAUUGUAAUAAGUUAGCACACGCUAUGGUGGUGGUUGGUGCACGUUUGCGUGAACCUACGCAGCUAUUUCAACGACAACUAAUAUGGAUCGGAGAGAGUUUUAAAAAGAAGUUGGUGUUUAUAAGUUCAUCGGGUUUUUUUGUUCGUCCAGCCCUUGGUGGAUGGCUAGGGCGACUGUUGCUGUGCAUGCUCUCUAGAAGCCAACUUGGGGGUCGCAUUCGCCCGUGUCUAGUUCAGCACACUUGGGCCGCGUAGUAAUCAGUGAAAAAAUUGGUGUGUUUGCAUGGAGUCGCACAAUGUCUUAAUCUUGAUAACCAAAUGGGCUAGCAAACUCUGGUAAACUGUUGGGGAACGUAGUAAUUUCAAAAAAAAUCUACGCACACGCACGAUCAUGGUGAUGCAUAGCAACGAGAGGGGAGAGUGUUGUCCACGUACCCUCAUAGACCGAAAGCGGAAGCGUUAGCACAACGUGGUUGAUGUAGUCGUAUGUCUUCACGAUCCGACCGAUCCAAGUACCGAACGUACGACACCUCCAAGUUCAGCACACGUUCAGCUCGAUGACGUCCCUCGAACUCCGAUCCAGCCGAGCUUUGAGGGAGAGUUCCGUCAGCACGACGGCGUGGUGACGAUGAUGAUGUUCUACCGACGCAGGGCUUCGCCUAAGCACCGCUACGAUAUUAUCGAGGUGGACUAUGGUGGAGGGGGGCACCGCACACGGCUAAGAGAUCAAGAGAUCAAUUGUUGUGUCUUUGGGAUGCCCCCUGCCCCCGUAUAUAAAGGAGCAAGGGGGGAGGCUCCUGGCCUAGGAGGAGGGCGCGCCAAGGGGGGAGUCCUACUCCCACCGGGAGUAGGACUCCUCCUUUCCUUGUUGGAGUAGGAGAAGGGAAGGGAGAAGGAGAAGGAAGGAAGGGGGCGCCCCCCUCCCUAGUCCAAUUCGGAAUAGUCCAUGGGGAGGGGUGCGCCCACCCUUUGGGGCCUUUCUCUCCUUUCCCGUAUGGCCCAUUAAGGCCCAAUACGAAUUCCCGUAACUCUCCGGUACUCCGAAAAAUACCCGAAUCACUCGGAACCUUUCCGAUGUCCGAAUAUAGUCGUCCAAUAUAUCGAUCUUUACGUCUCGACCAUUUCGAGACUCCUCGUCAUGUCCCUGAUCUCAUCCGGGACUCCGAACUCCUUCGGUACAUCAAAAAAAUAAACUCAUAAUAUAACCGUCAUCUAACUUUAAGCGUGCGGACCCUACGGGUUCGAGAAUUAUGUAGACAUUACCGAGACACGUCUCCGGUCAAUAACCAAUAGCGGAACCUGGAUGCUCAUAUUGGCUCCCACAUAUUCUACGAAGAUCUUUAUCGGUCAAACCGCAUAACAACAUACGUUGUUCCCUUUGUCAUCGGUAUGUUACUUGCCCGAGAUUCGAUCGUCGGUAUCUCAAUACCUAGUUCAAUCUCGUUACCGGCAAGUCUCUUUACUCAUUCUGUAAUACAUCAUCCCACAACUAACUCAUUAGUUGUUAUGCUUGCAAGGCUUUAAGUGAUGUGCAUUACCAAGUGGGCCCAGAGAUACCUCUCCGACAAUCGGAGUGACAAAUCCUAAUCUCGAAAUACGCCAACCCAACAAGUACCUUCGGAGACACCCGUAGAGCACCUUUAUAAUCACCCAGUUAUGUUGUGACAUUUGGUAGCACACAAAGUGUUCCUCCGGUAAACGGGAGUUGCAUAAUCUCAUAGUCAUAGGAACAUGUAUAAGUCAUGAAGAAAGCAAUAGCAUAAUACUAAACGAUCGUGUGCUAAGCUAACGGAAUGGGUCAAGUCAAUCACAUCAUUCUCCUAAUGAUGUGAUCCCGUUAAUCAAAUGAAAACUCAUGUCAAUGGCUAGGAAACAUAACCAUCUUUGAUCAACGAGCUAGUCAAGUAGAGGCAUACUAGUGACACUCUGUUUGUCUAUGUAUUCACACAUGUAUGAUGUUUCCGGUUAAUACAAUUCUAGCAUGAAUAAUAAACAUUUAUCAUGAUAUAAGGAAAUAAAUAAUAACUUUAUUAUUGCCUCUAGGGCAUAUUUCCUUCAGUCUCCCACUUGCACUAGAGUCAAUAAUCUAGAUUACACAGUAAUGAUUCUAACACCCAUGGAGCCUUGGUGCUGAUCAUGUUUUCCUCGUGGAAGAGGAUUAGUCAACGGGUCUGCAACAUUCAGAUCCGUAUGUAUCUUGCAAAUUUCUAUGUCUCCCACCUGGACUAAAUCCCGGAUGGAAUUGAAGCGUCUUUUGAUGUGCUUGGUUCACUUGUGAAAUCUGGAUUCCUUCGCCAAGGCAAUUGCACCAGUAUUGUCACAAAAGAUUUUCAUUGGACCCGAUGCACUAGGUAUGACACCUAGAUCGGAUAUGAACUCCUUCAUCCAGACUCCUUCAUUUGCUGCUUCCGAAGCAGCUAUGUAUUCCGCCUCACACGUAGAUCCCGCCACGACGCUUUGUUUAGAACUGCACCAACUGACAGCUCCACCGUUUAAUGUAAACACGUAUCCGGUUUGCGAUUUAGAAUCGUCCGGAUCUGUGUCAAAGCUUGCAUCAACGUAACCAUUUACGAUGAGCUCUUUGUCACCUCCAUAAACGAGAAACAUAUCCUUAGUCCUUUUCAGGUAUUUCAGGAUGUUCUUGACCGCUGUCCAGUGAUCCACUCCUGGAUUACUUUGGUACCUCCCUGCUAGACUUAUAGCAAGGCACACAUCAGGUCUGGUACACAGCAUUGCAUACAUUAGAGCCUAUGGCUGAAGCAUAGGGAACAUCUUUCAUCUCCUCUCUAUCUUCUGCAGUGGUCGGGCAUUGAGUCUUACUCAACUUCACACCUUGUAACACAUGCAAGAACCCUUUCUUUGCUUGAUCCAUUUUGAACUUCUUCAAAACUUUGUCAAGGUAUGUGCUUUGUGAAAGUCCAAUUAAGCGUCUUGAUCUAUCUCUAUAGAUCUUGAUGCCCAAUAUAUACGCAGCUUCACCGAGGUCUUUCAUUGAAAAACUCUUAUUCAAGUAUCCCUUUAUGCUAUCCAGAAAUUCUAUAUCAUUUCCAAUCAGCAAUAUGUCAUCCACAUAUAAUAUCAGAAAUGCUACAGAGCUCCCACUCACUUUCUUGUAAAUAUAGGCUUCUCCAAAAGUCUGUACAAAACCAAAUGCUUUGAUCACACUAUCAAAGCGUUUAUUCCAACUCCGAGAGGCUUGCACCAGUCCAUAAAUGGAUCGCUGGAGCUUGCACACUUUGUUAGCUCCCUUUGGAUCAACAAAACCUUCCGGUUGCAUCAUAUACAACUCUUCUUCCAGAAAUCCAUUCAGGAAUGCAGUUUUGACAUCCAUUUGCCAAAUUUCAUAAUCAUAAAAUGCGGCAAUUGCUAACAUGAUUCGGACAGACUUAAGCAUCGCUACGGGUGAGAAGGUCUCAUCGUAGUCAAUCCCUUGAACUUGUCGAAAACCUUUUGCAACAAGUCGAGCUUUAUAGACAGUAACAUUACUGUCAGCGUCAGUCUUCUUCUUGAAGAUCCAUUUAUUCUCAAUUGCUUGCCGAUCAUCGGGCAAGUCAACCAAAGUCCACACUUUGUUCUCAUACAUGGAUCCCAUCUCAGAUUUCAUGGCCUCAAGCCAUUUCGCGGAAUCUGGGCUCACCAUCGCUUCUUCAUAGUUCGUAGGUUCGUCAUGGUCCAGUAACAUAACUUCCAGAACAGGAUUACCAUACCACUCUGGUGCGGAUCUUACUCUGGUUGACCUACGAGGUUCAGUAAUAACUUGAUCUGAAGUUUCAUGAUCAUCAUCAUUAACUUCCUCACUAAUUGGUGUAGGUGUCGCAGAAACCGAUUUCUGCGAUGAACUACUUUCCAAUAAGGGAGCAGGUACAGUUACCUCAUCAAGUUCUACUUUCCUCCCACUCACUUCUUUCGAGAGAAACUCCUUCUCCAGAAAAAUUCCGAAUUUAGCAACAAAAGUUUUUCCUUAGGAUCUGUGAUAGAAGGUGUACCCAACAGCCUCCUUUGUGUAUCCUAUGAAGACACAUUUCUCCGAUUUGGGUUCGAGCUUAUCAGGUUGAAGCUUUUUCACAUAAGCAUCGCAGCCCCGAACUUUAAGAAACGACAACUUUGGUUUCUUGCCAAACCACAGUUCAUAAGGCGUCGUCUCAACGGAUUUUGAUGGUGCCCUAUUUAACGUGAAUGCGGCCGUCUCUAAAGCAUAACCCCAAAACGAUAGCGGUAAAUCAGUAAGAGACAUCAUAGAUCGCACCAUAUCUAGUAGAGUACGAUUACGACGUUCGGACACACCUUUACGCUAUGGUGUUCCGGGUGGCGUGAGUUGCAAAACUAUUCCGCAUUGUUUCAAAUGAAGACCAAACUCAUAACUCAAAUAUUCUCCUCCACGAUCAGAUCGUAGAAACUUUAUUUUCUUGUUACGAUGAUUUUCAACUUCACUCUGAAAUUCUUUGAACUUUUCAAAUGUUUCAGACUUAUGUUUCAUUAAGUAGAUAUACCCAUAUCUGCUCAAAUCAUCUGUGAAGGUGAGAAAAUAACGAUAUCCGCCACGAGCCUCAAUAUUCAUCGGACCAAAUACAUCUGUAUGUAUGAUUUCCAACAAAUCUGUUGCUCUCUCCAUAGUUCCGGAGAACGGCGUUUUAGUCAUCUUGCCCAUGAGGCACGGUUCGCAAGUACCAAGUGGUUCCAAAAGUCCAUCAGUAUGGAGUUUCUUCAUGCGCUUUACACCGAUAUAACCUAAACGGCAGUGCCACAAAUAAGUUGCACUAUCAUUAUCAACUCUGCAUCUUUUGGCUUCAAUAUUAUGAAUAUGUGUAUCACUACUAUCAAGAUUCAACAAAAAUAGACCACUCUUCAAGGGUGCAUGACCAUAAAAGAUAUUACUCAUAUAAAUAGAACAACCAUUAUUCUCUGAUUUAAAUGAAUAACCAUCUCGCAUCAAACAAGAUCCAGAUAUAAUGUUCAUGCUUAACGCUGGCACCAAAUAACAAUUAUUUAGGUCUAAAACUAAUCCCGAAGGUAGAUGUAGAGGUAGCGUGCCGACCGCGAUCACAUCGACUUUGGAACCAUUUCCCACACGCAUCAUCACCUCGUCCUUAGCCAAUCUUCGCUUAAUCCGUAGCCCCUGUUUCGAGUUGCAAAUAUUAGCAACAGAACCAGUAUCACAUACCCAGGUGCUACUGCGAGCAUUAGUAAGGUACACAUCAAUAACAUGUAUAUCACAUAUACCUUUGUUCACCUUGCCAUCCUUCUUAUCCGCCAAAUACUUGGGGCAGUUCCGCUUCCAGUGACCAGUCUGCUUGCAGUAGAAGCACGCAGUCUCAGGCAUAGGUCCAGACUUGGGUUUCUUCUCCUGAGCAGCAACUUGCUUGCUGUUCUUCUUGAAGUUCCCCUUCUUCUUCCCUUUGCCCUUUUUCUUGAAACUGGUGGUCUUAUUGACCAUCAACACUUGAUGCUCCUUUUUGAUUUCUACCUCCGCAGCCUUUAGCAUUGCAAAGAGCUCGGGAAUUGUCUUAUCCAUCCCUUGCAUGUUAUAGUUCAUCACGAAGCUCUUGUAGCUUGGUGGCAGUGAUUGGAGAAUUCUGUCAAUGACGCUAUCAUCCGGAAGAUUAACUCCCAGUUGAAUCAUGUGAUUAUUAUACCCAGACAUUUUGAGUAUAUGCUCACUGACAGAACUAUUCUCCUCCAUCUUGCAGCUGUAGAACUUAUUGGAGACUUCAUAUCUCUCAAUCCGGGCAUUCUUUUGAAAUAUUAACUUCAACUCCUGGAACAUCUCAUAUGCUCCAUGACAUUCAAAACGUCAUUGAAGUCCCGGUUCUAAGCCGUAAAGCAUGGCACAUUGAACUAUCGAGUAGUCAUCAACACGUGACUGCCCGGCACAAUGUCUGCAGUUGCUGGCGCAGGUGGUACACCUAGCGGUGCUUCCAGGACGUAAUUCUUCUGUGCAGCAAUGAGGAUAAUCCUCAAGUUACGGACCCAGUCCGUGUAAUUGCUACCAUCAUCUUUCAACUUUGCUUUCUCAAGGAACGCAUUAAAAUUCAACGGAACAACAGCACGGGCCAUCCAUCCACAAUCAACAUAGACAAGCAAGAUACUAUCAGGUACUAAGUUCAUGAUAAAUUCAAGUUCAAUUAAUCAUAUUACUUAAGAACUCCCACUUAGAUAGACAUCCCUCUAAUCCUCUAAGUGAUCACGUGAUCCAUAUCAACUAAACCAUGUCCGAUCAUCACGUGAGAUGGAGUAGUUUCAACGGUGAACAUCACUAUGUUGAUCAUAUCUACUAUAUGAUUCAUGCUCGACCUUUCGGUCUCCGUGUUCCGAGGCCAUAUCUGUUAUAUGCUAGGCUCGUCAAGCUUAACCUGAGUAUUCCGCGUGUGCAACUGUUUUGCACGCGUUGUAUUUGAACAUAGAGCCUAUCACACCCGAUCAUCACAUGGUGUCUCAGCACGAAGAACUUUCGCAAUGGUGCAUACUCAGGGAGAACACUUAUACUUUGAUAAUUUAGUGAGGGGUCAUCUUAUAAUGCUACCAUCAAUCAAAGCAAGAUAAGAUGCAUAAAAGAUAAACAUCACAUGCAAUCAAUAUAAGUGAUAUGAUAUGGCCAUCAUCAUCUUGUGCUUGUGAUCUCCAUCUCCGAAGCACCGUCAUGAUCACCAUCGUCACCGGCGCGACACCUUGAUCUCCAUCGUAGCAUUGUUGUCGUCUCGCCAAUCUUAUGCUUCUAUGACUAUCGCUACCGCUUAGUGAUAAAGUAAAGCAUUACAGGGCGAUUGCAUUGCAUACAAUAAAGCGACAACCAUAUGGCUCCUGCCAGUUGCCGAUAACUCGGUUACAAAACAUGAUCAUCUCAUACAAUAAAUUUAGCAUCAUGCUUUGACCAUAUCACAUCACAACAUGCCCUGCAAAAACAAGUUAGACGUCCUCUACUUUGUUGUUGCAAGUUUUACGUGGCUGCUACGGGCUUAGCAAGAACCGUUCUUACCUACGCAUCAAAACCACAAUGAUAGUUUGUCAAGUUGGUGCUGUUUUAACCUUCGCAAGGACCGGGCGUAGCCACACUCGGUUCAACUAAAGUUGGAGAAACUGACACCCGCCAGCCACCUAUGUGCAAAGCACGUCGGUAGAACCAGUCUCGCAUAAGCGUAUGCGUAAUGUCGGUCCGGGCCGCUUCAUCCAACAAUACCGCCGAACCAAAGUAUGACAUGCUGGUAAGCAGUACGACUUAUAUCGCCCACAACUCACUUGUGUUCUACUCGUGCAUAUGACAUCUACGUAUAAAACCUGGCUCAGAUGCCACUGUUGGGGAUACUUUCCGAUGUGUAGAUGAAAUAGGAAAUAUGCCCUAGAGGCAAUAAUAAAGUUAUUAUUUAUUUCCUUAUAUCAUGAUAAAUGUUUAUUAUUCAUGCUAGAAUUGUAUUAACCGGAAACAUAAUACUUGUGUGAAUACAUAGAUAAACAAAGUGUCACUAGUAUGCCUCUACUUGACUACCUCGUUGAUCAAAGAUGGUUAUGUUUCCUAACCAUAGACAUGAGUUGUCAUUUGAUUAACGGGAUCACAUCAUUAGGGGAAUGAUGUGAUUGACUUGACCCAUUCCGUUAGCUUAGCACACGAUCGUUUAGUAUUCUGCUAUUGCUUUCUUCAUGACUUAUACAUGUUCCUAUAACUAUGAGAUUAUGCAACUCCCGUUUACCGGAGGAACACUUUGUGUGCUACCAAACGUCAGAACGUAACUGGGUGAUUAUAAAGGUGCUCUACAGGUGUCUCCGAAGGUACUUGUUGGGUUGGCGUAUUUCGAGAUUAGGAUUUGUCACUCCGAUUGUCGGAGAGGUAUCUCUGGGACCACUCGAUAAUGCACAUCACUAUAAGCCUUGCAAGAAUUGCAACUAAUGAGUUAGUUGCGGGAUGAUGUAUUACAGAACGAGUAAAGAGACUUGCCGAUAACAAGAUUGAACUAGGUAUUGAGAUACCGACGAUCGAAUCUCGGGCAAGUAACAUACCGAUGACAAAGGGAACGACAUAUGUUGUUAUGCGGUUUGACCGAUAAAGAUCUUUGUAGAAUAUGUGGGAGCCAAUAUGAGCAUCCAGGUUCCGCUAUUGGUUAUUGACCGGAGACGUGUCUCGGUCAUGUCUACAUUGUUCUCGAACCCGUAGGGUCCGCACGCUUAAAGUUCGAUGACGGUUAUAUUAUGAGUUUAUGUGUUUUGAUGUACCGAAGGUAGUUCGGGGUCCCGGAUGAGAUCGGGGACAUGACGAGGAGUCUCGAAAUGGUCGAGACGUAAAGAUCGAUAUAUUGGACGACUAUAUUCGGACAUCGGAAAGGUUCCUAGUGAUUCGGGUAUUUUUCGGAGUACCGGAGAGUUACGGGAAUUCGCCGGGGAGUAUAUGGGCCUUAUUGGGCUUUAGGGGAAAGAGAGAGGAGAGGCUGGGCGCCCCCCCAAGGCCUAGUCCUAAUUGUACUAGGGGGAGGGGCUGCGCCCCCUCCUUCCUUCUCUUCUCUCUCCCCUUUCCUUGACUCCUACUCCUACUACUUGGAAGGGGGGGAAUCCUACUCCCGGUGGGAGUAGGACUCCUCCUAGGGCGCGCCAUAGAGAGGGCCGGCCCUCCCCCCUCCUCCACUCCUUUAUAUACGGGGAGGGGGGCACCCCUUGGAGACACAACAAUUGAUCUCUUGAUCUCUUAGCCGUGUGCGGUGCCCCCCUCCACCAUAAUCCACCUCGAUAAUAUCGUAGCGGUGCUUAGGCGAAGCCCUGCGUCGGUAGAACAUCAUCAUCAUCACCACGCCGUCGUGCUGACGGAACUCUCCCUCAAAGCUCGGCUGGAUCGGAGUUCGAGGGACGUCAUCGAGCUGAACGUGUGCUGAACUCGGAGGUGCCGUGCGUUCGGUACUUGAUCGGUCGGAUCGUGAAGACGUACGACUACAUCAACCAUGUUGUGCUAACGCUUCCGCUUUCGGUCUACGAGGGUACGUGGACAACACUCUCCCCUCUCGUUGCUAUGCAUCACCAUGAUCUUGUGUGUGUAGGAAUUUUUUUGAAAUUACUACGUUCCCCAACAGUGGCAUCCGAGCCUGGUUUUAUGCGUCGGUGUUAUAUGCACGAGUAGAACACAAGUGAGUUAUGUGCGAUACAAGUCAUACUGCUUACCAGCAUGUCAUACUUUGGUUCGGCGGUAUUGUUGGAUGAAGUGGCCCGGACCGACAUUACGCGUACGCUUACGCGAGACUGGUUUUACCGCCGUGCUAUGCACACAGGUGACUAGCGGGUGUCAGUUUCUUCAACUUUAGUUGAACCGAGUGUGGCUACGCCCGGUCCUUGCGAAGGUUAAAACAACACCAACUUGACAAACUAUCGUUGUGGUUUUGAUGCGUAGGUAAGAACGGUUCUUGCUCAGCCCGUAGCAGCCACGUAAAGCUUGCAACAACAAAGUAGGGGACGUCUAACUUGUUUUUGCAGGGCAUGUUGUGAUGUGAUAUGGUCAAGGCAUGAUGCUAUAUUUUAUUGUAUGAGAUGAUCAUGUUUUGUAACCGAGUUAUCGGCAACUGGCAGGAGCCAUAUGGUUGUCGCUUUAUUGUAUGCAAUGCAAACGCCCUGUAAUGCUUUACUUUAUCACUAAGCGGUAGCGAUAGUCGUAGAAGCAUAAGUUGGCGAGACGACAGCGAUGCUACGAUGGAGAUCAAGGUGUCGCACCGGUGAUGAUGGUGAUCAUGACGGUGCUUCGGAGAUGGAGAUCACAAGCACAAGAUGAUGAUGGCCAUAUCAUAUCACUUAUAUUGAUUGCAUGUGAUGUUUAUCUUUUAUGCAUCUUAUCUUGCUUUGAUUGACGGUAGCAUUAUAAGAUGAUGUCUCACUAAAUUAUCAAGGUAUAAAUGUUCUCCCUGAGUAUGCACCGUUGCGAAAGUUCUUCGUGAUGAGACACCACGUGAUGAUCGGGUGUGAUAGGCUCUACGUUCAAAUACAACGGGUGCAAAACAGUUGCACACGCGGAAUACUCAGGUUAAACUUGACGAGCCUAGCAUAUAACAGAUAUGGCCUCGGAACACUGAGACCGAAAGGUCGAGCGUGAAUCAUAUAGUAGAUAUGAUCAACAUAGUGAUGUUCACCAUUGAAACUACUCCAUCUCACGUGAUGAUCGGACAUGGUUUAGUUGAUAUGGAUCACGUGAUCACUUAGGAGAUUAGAGGGAUGUCUAUCUAAGUGGGAGUUCUUAAGUAAUAUGAUUAAUUGAACUUAAAUUUAUCAUGAACUUAGUCCUGGUAGUAUUAGCAUAUCUAUGUUGUAGAUCAAUAGCUCGCGUUGUUGCUUCCCUAUGUUUAUUUUGAUAUGUUCCUAGAGAAAAACUAUGUUGAAAGAUGUUAGUAGCAAUGAUGCAGAUUGUAUCCGUGAUCUGAGGAUUAUCCUCAUUGCUGCACAGAAGAAUUAUGUCCUUGAUGCACCGCUAGGUGACAGACCUAUUGCAUGAGCAAAUGCAGACGUUAUGAACGUUUGGCUAGCUCAAUAUGACGACUACUUAAUAUUUUAGUGCACCAUGCUUAAUGGCUUAGAAUCGGGACUUCAAAGACGUUUUGAACGUCAUGGACCAUAUGAGAUGUUCCAGGAGUUGAAGUUAAUAUUUCAAGCAAAUACCCGAGUUGAGAGAUAUGAAGUCUCCAACAAGUUCUAUAGCUAAAAGAUGGAGGAGAAUAGCUCAAGCAGUGAGCAUAUGCUCAGAUUGUCUGGGUACUACAAUCGCUUGAAUCAAGUGGGAGUUAAUCUUCCAGAUAAAAUAGUGAUUUGACAGAAUUCUCCAGUCACCAUCACCAAGUUAGUAGAACUUCGUGAUGAACUAUAAUAUGCAAGGGAUGACAAAAGUAAUUCCCGAGCUCUUCGCGAUGUUGAUAUCGGCGAAGGUAGAAAUCAAGAAAAGAGCAUCAAGUGUUGAUGGUUAACAAGGUCACUAGUUUCAAGAAAAGGGCAAAGGGAAAGAAGGGGAACUUCAAGAAGAACGGCAAGCAAGUUGCUGCUCAAGUGAAGAAGCCCAAGUUUGGACCAAAGCCUGAUACUGAGUGGUUCUACUGCAAAAAGGACUGGUCACUGGAAGCGGUACUACCCCAAACAAUUGGUGGAUAAGAAGGAUGGCAAAGUGAACAAAAGUAUAUUUGAUAUACAUGUUAUUGAUGUGUACUUUACUAGUGUUUAUAGCAACCCCUCGGUACUUGAUACUGGUUCAGUUGCUAAAGAGUAGUAACUCGAAACAGGAGUUACAUAAUGAACAGAAACUAGUUAAGGAUGAAGUGACGAUGUGUAUUGGAAGUGGUUCCAAGAUUGAUAUGAUCAUCAUCGCACACUCCCUAUACUUUCGGGAUUAGUGUUGAACCUAAAUAAGUGUUAUUUGGUGUUUGCGUUGAGCAUGAAUAUGAUUUGAUCAUGUUUAUUGCAAUAAGGUUAUUCAUUUAAGUUAGAGAAUAAUUGUUGUUCUGUUUACAUGAAUAAAACCUUAUAUGGUUACACACCCAAUGAAAAUGGUUCGUUGGAUCUCGAUCGUAAGUGAUACACAUAUUCAUAAUAUUGAAGCCAAAAGAUGCAAAGUUAAUAAUGAUAGUGCAACUUAUUUGUGGCACUGCCGUUUAAGUCAUAUUGGUGUAAAGCGCAUGAAGAAACUCCAUGCUGAUGGGCUUUUGGAAUCACUUGAUUACGAAUCACUUGAUGCUUGCGAACCAUGCCUCUUGGGCAAGAUGACUAAAACGCCGUUCUCCGGAACAAUAGAGCGAGCAACAUAUUUGUUGGAAAUCAUACAUACUGAUGUAUGUGGUUCGAUGAAUAUUGAGGCUCGAGGCAGGUAUCAUUAUUUUCUGACCUUCACAGAUGAUUUGAGCAGAUAUGGGUAUAUCUACUUGAUGAAACAUAAAGUCUGAAACAUUUGAAAAGUUCAUAUAAUUUCAGAGUGAAGUGGAAAAUCAUUGUAACAAGAAAAUAAAGUUUCUAUGAUCUGAUCGUGGAGGAGAAUAUUUGAGUUACGAGUUUGGUCUUCAUUUGAAACAAUGCGGAAUAGUUUCGCAACUCACGCCACCUGGAACACCAUAGCAUAAUGGUGUGUCCGGACGUCAUAGCCAUACUUUAUUAGAUAUGGUGCGAUCUAUGAUGUUUCUUACCGAUUUACCACUAUAGUUUUGGGGUUAUGCAUUAGAGACAGCUGCAUUCACAUUAAAAAGGGGCACCAUCUAAAUCCGUUGAGACGACACCGUAUGAACUGUGGUUUGGCAAGAAACCAAAGUUGUCGUUUCUUAAAGUUUGAGGUUGCGAUGCUUAUAAGAAAAAGUUUCAUUCUGAUAAGCUCAAACUCAAAUCGGAGAAAUGUGUCUUCAUAGGAUACCCAAAGGAGACAGUUGGGUACACCUUCUAUCACAGAUCCGAAGGCAAGAUAUUCGUUGCUAAGAAUGGAUCCUUUCUAGAGAAGGAGUUUCUCUCGAAAGAAGUGAGUGGGAGGAAAGUAGAACUUGAUGAGGUAACUGUACCUGCUCCCUUAUUGGAAAUUAGUUCAUCACAAAAAUCUGUUCCUGUGACUCCUACACCAAUUAGUGAGGAAGCUAAUGAUGAUGAUCAUGUAACUUCAGAUCAAGUUACUACCGAACCUCGUAGGUUAACCAGAGUAAGAUCCGCACCAGAGUGGUACGGUAAUCCUGUUCUCGAGGUCAUGUUACUUGACCAUGACGAACCUACGAACUAUGAGGAAGCGAUGAUGAGCCCAGAUUCCGCGAAAUGGUUUGAGGCCAUGAAAUCUGAGAUGGGAUCCAUGUAUGAGAACAAAGUGUGGACUUUGGUUGACUUGCCCGAUGAUCGGCAAGACAUAGAAAAUAAAUGGAUCUUCAAGAGGAAGACGGACGCUGAUAGUAGUGUUACUAUCUACAAGGCUAGAAUUGUCGCAAAAAGGUUUUCGACAAGUUCAAGGUGUUGACUACGAUGAGAGUUUCUCAUUCGUAUCUAUGCUUAAGUCUGUCCGAAUCAUGUUAGCAAUUGCCGCAUUUUAUGAAAUCUGGCAAAUGGAUAAACAAAACUGCAUUCCUUAAUGGAUUUAUUAAAGAAGAGCUGUAUAUGAUGCAACAAGAAGGUUUUAUCAAUCCUAAAGGGGCUAACAAAAUAUGCAAGCUCCAACGAUCCAUCUAUGGACUAGGGCAAGCAUCUCGGAGUUGGAAUAUACGCUUUGAUAAAUUGAUCAAAGCAUUUAGUUUUAUACAGACUUGAGGUGAAGCCUGUAUUUACAAGAAAGUGAGUGCGGGCACUACAACAUUUCUGAUAAGUAUAUGUGAAUGACAUAUUGUUGAUCGGAAAUAAUGUAGAACUAUUCUGCAAAGCAUAAAGGAGUGUUUGAAAGGAGUUUUUUCAAAGAAAGACCUCGGUGAAGCUGCUUACAUAUUGAGCAUCAAGAUCUAUAGAGAUAGAUCAAGAUGCUUGAUAAGUUUAUUCAAUGAGUACAUACCUUGACAAGAUUUUGAAGUAGUUCAAAAUGGAACAGUCAAAGAAAGAGUUCUUGCCUGUGUUACAAGGUGUGAAAUUGAGUAAGACUCAAAAGCCCGACCACGGCAGAAGAUAGAAAGAGAAUGAAAGUCAUUCCCUAUGCCUCAGCUAUAGGUUCUAUAAAGUAUGCCAUGUUGUGUACCAGAUCUAUUGUAUACCCUACACUAAGUUUGGCAAAGGAGUACAAUAGUGAUCUAGGAGUAGAUCGCUGAACAGCGGUCAAAAUUAUCCUUAGUGGAAUAAGGAUAUGUUUCUUGAUUAUGGAGGUGACAAAAGGUUCGUCGUAAACGGUUACGUCGAUGCAAGCUUUGACACCGAUCUGGAUGACUCAAAGUCUCGAUCUAGAUACAUAUUGAAAGUGGGAGCUAUUAGCUAGAGUAGCUCCGUGCAGAGCAUUGUAAACAUAGAAAUUUGCAAAAUACUUACGGAUCUGAAUGUGACAGACCCGUUGACUAAAAUUAUCUCACAAGCAAAACAUGAUCACACCUUAGUACUCUUUGGGUGUUAAUCACAUAGCGAUGUGAACUAGAUUACUGACUCUAGUAAACCCUUUGGGUGUUGGUCACAUGUCGAUGUGAACUAUGGGUGUUAACCACAUAAAGAUGUGAACCAUUGAUGUUAAAUCACAUGGCGAUGUGAACUAGAUUAUUGACUCUAGUGCAAGUGGGAGACUAAAGGAAAUAUGCCCUAGAGGCAAUAAUAAAGUUAUUAUUUAUUUCCUUAUAUCAUGAUAAAUGUUUAUUAUUCAUGCUAGAAUUGUAUUAACCGGAAACAUAAUACUUGUGUGAAUACAUAGACAAACAAAGUGUCACUAGUAUGCCUCUACUUGACUAGCUCGUUGAUCAAAGAUGGUUAUGUUUCCUAACCAUAGACAUGAGUUGUCAUUCGAUUAACGGGAUCACAUCAUUAGGAGAAUGAUGUGAUUGACUUGACCCAUUCCGUUAGCUUAGCACAUGAUCUUUUAGUAUUAUGCUAUUGCUUUCUUCAUGACUUAUACAUGUUCCUAUAACUAUGAGAUUAUGCAACUCCCGUUUACCGGAGGAACACUUUGUGUGCUACCAAACGUCACAACGUAACUGGGUGAUUAUAAAGGUGCUCUACAGGUGUCUCCAAAGAUACUUGUUGGGUUGGCGUAUUUCGAGAUUAGGAUUUGUCACUCCGAUUGUCGGAGAGGUAUCUCUGGGCCCACUCGGUAAUGCACAUCACUAUAAGCCUUGCAAGCAUUGCAACUAAUGAGUUAGUUGCGGGAUGAUGUAUUACAGAACGAGUAAAGAGACUUGCCGGUAACGAGAUUGAACUAGGUAUUGAGAUACCGACGAUCGAAUAUCGGGCAAGUAAUAUACCGAUGACAAAGGGAACAACAUAUGUUGUUAUGCGGUUUGACCGAUAAAGAUCUUCAUAGAAUAUGUGGCAGCCAAUAUGAGCAUCCAGGUUCCGCUAUUGUUUAUUGACCGGAGACGUGUCUCGGUCAUGUCUAUAUUGUUCUCGAACCCGUAGGAUCCGCAUGCUUAAGGUUCAAUGAUGGUUAUAUUAUGAGUUUAUGUGUUUUGAUGUACCGAAGGUAGUUAGGAGUCCCGGAUGAGAUCGGGGACAUGACGAGGAGUCUCGAAAUGGUCGAGACGUAAAGAUCGAUAUAUUGGACGACUAUAUUCGGACAUCGGAAAGGUUCCGAGUGAUUCGGAUAUUUUUCGGAGUACCGGAGAGUUACGGGAAUUCGCCGGGGAGUAUAUGGGCCUUAUUGGGCUUUAGGGGAAAGAGAGAGGAGAGGCUGGGCGCCCCCCAAGGUCUAGUCCUAAUUGGACUAGGGGGAGGGGCUGCGCCCCCUCCUUCCUUCUCUUCUCUCUCCCCUUUCCUUGACUCCUACUCCUACUACUUGGAAGGGGGGAAUCCUACUCCCGGUGGGAGUAGGACUCCUCCUAGGGCGCGCCAUAGAGAGGGCCGGCCCUCCCCCUCCUCCACUCCUUUAUAUACGGGGAGGGGGCACCCCUUGGAGACACACCAAUUGAUCUCUUGAUCUCUUAGCCGUGUGCGGUGCCCCCCUCCACCAUAAUCCACCUCAAUAAUAUCGUAGCGGUGCUUAGGCGAAGCCCUGCAUCGGUAGAACAUCAUCAUCGUCACCACGCCGUCGUGCUGACGGAACUCUCCCUCAAAGCUCGGCCGGAUCGGAGUUCGAGGGACGUCAUCGAGCUGAACGUGUGCUGAAAUCGGAGGUGCCGUGCAUUCGGUACUUGAUCGGUCGGAUCGUGAAGACGUACGACUACAUCAACCAUGUUGUGCUAACACUUCCGCUUUCGGUCUACGAGGGUACGUGGACAACACUCUCCCCUCUCAUUGCUAUGCAUCACCAUGAUCCUGUGUGUGCGUAGGAAUUUUUUUGAAAUUGCUACGUUCCCCAACAGUGUUCACCGUUGAAACUACUCCAUCUCACGUGAUGAUCGGACAUGGUUUAGUUGAUAUGGAUCACGUGAUCACUUAGAGGAUUAGAGGGAUGUCUAUCUAAGUGGGAGUUCUUAAGUAAUAUGAUUAAUUGAACUUGAAUUUAUCAUGAACUUAGUACCUGAUAGUAUCUUGCUUGUCUAUGUUGAUUGUAGAUAGAUGGCCCGCGCUGUUGUUCCGUUGAAUUUUAAUGUGUUCCUUGAGAAAGCAAAGUUGAAAGAUGAUGGUAGCAAUUACACGGACUGGGUCCGUAACUUGAGGAUUAUCCUCAUUGCUGCAUAGAAGAAUUACGUCCUGGAAGCACCGCUAGGUGUACCACCUGCGCCAGCAAUUGCAGACAUUGUGAAUGCCUGGCAGCCACGUGUUGAUGACUACUCGAUAGUUCAAUGUGCCAUGCUUUACGGCUUAGAACCGGGACUUAAACGACGUUUUGAACGUCAUGGAGCAUAUGAGAUGUUCCAGGAGUUGAAGUUAAUAUUUCAAAAGAAUGCCCGGAUUGAGAGAUAUGAAGUCUCCAAUAAGUUCUACAGCUGCAAGAUGGUUCUGUCAGUGAGCAUAUACUCAAAAUGUCUGGGUAUAAUAAUCACAUGAUUCAACUGGGAGUUAAUCUUCCGGAUGAUAGCGUCAUUAACAGAAUUCUCCAAUCACUGCCACCAAGCUACAAGAGCUUCGUGAUGAACUAUAACAUGCAAGGGAUGGAUAAGACAAUUCCCGAGCUCUUUGCAAUGCUAAAGGCUGCGGAGGUAGAAAUCAAAAAGGAGCAUCAAGUGUUGAUGGUCAAUAAGACCACCAGUUUCAAGAAAAAGGGCAAAGGAAAGAAGAAGGGGAACUUCAAGAAGAACAGCAAGCAAGUUGCUGCUCAGGAGAAGAAACCCAAGUCUGGACCUAAGCCUGAGACUGAGUGCUUCUACUGCAAGCAGACUGGUCACUGGAAGCGGAACUGCCCCAAGUAUUUGGCGGAUAAGAAAGAUGGCAAGGUGAACAAAGGUAUAUGUGAUAUACAUGUUAUUGAUGUGUACCUUACUAAUGCUCGCAGUAGCACCUGGGUAUUUGAUACUGAUUCUGUUGCUAAUAUUUGCAACUCGAAACAGGGGCUACGGAUUAAGCGAAGAUUGGCUAAGGACGAGGUGACGAUGCGCGUGGGAAAUGGUUCCAAAGUCGAUGUGAUCGCGGUCGGCACGCUACCUCUACAUCUACCUUCGGGAUUAGUUUUAGACCUAAAUAAUUGUUAUUUGGUGCCAGCGUUAAGCAUGAACAUUAUAUCUGGAUCUUGUUUGGUGCGAGACGGUUAUUCAUUUAAAUCAGAGAAUAAUGGUUGAUCUAUUUAUAUGAGUAAUAUCUUUUAUGGUCAUGCACCCUUGAAGAGUGGUCUAUUUUUGUUGAAUCUUGAUAGUAGUGAUACACAUAUUCAUAAUAUUGAAGCCAAAAGAUGCAGAGUUGAUAAUGAUAGUGCAACUUAUUUGUGGCACUGCCGUUUAGGUCAUAUCGGUGUAAAGCGCAUGAAGAAACUCCAUACUGAUGGACUUUUGGAACCACUUGAUUAUGAAUCACUUGGUACUUGCGAACCGUGCCUCAUGGGCAAGAUGACUAAAAUGCCGUUCUCCGGAACUAUAGAGAGAGCAACAGAUUUGUUGGAAAUCAUACAUACAGAUGUAUUUGGUCCGAUGAAUAUUGAGGCUCGUGGCGGAUAUCGUUAUUUUCUCACCUUCACAGAUGAUUUGAGCAGAUAUGGGUAUAUCUACUUAAUGAAACAUAAGUCUGAAACAUUUGAAAAGUUCAAAGAAUUUCAGAGUGAAGUUGAAAAUCAUCGUAACAAGAAAAUAAAGUUUCUACGAUCUGAUCGUGGAGGAGAAUAUUUGAGUUAUGAGUUUGGUCUUCAUUUGAAACAAUGCGGAAUAGUUUUGCAACUCACGCCACCCGGAACACCAUAGCGUAAAGGUGUGUCCGAACGUCGUAAUCGUACUCUACUAGAUAUGGUGCGAUCUAUGAUGUCUCUUACUGAUUUACCGCUAUCGUUUUGGGGUUAUGCUUUAGAGACGGCCGCAUUCACGUUAAAUAGGGCACCAUCAAAAUCCGUUGAGACGACGCCUUAUGAACUGUGGUUUGGCAAGAAACCAAAGUUGUCGUUUCUUAAAGUUCGGGGCUGCGAUGCUUAUGUGAAAAAGCUUCAACCUGAUAAGCUCGAACCCAAAUCGGAGAAAUGUGUCUUCAUAGGAUACACAAAGGAGGCUGUUGGGUACACCUUCUAUCACAGAUCCUAAGGAAAAACUUUUGUUGCUAAAUUCGGAAUUUUUCUGGAGAAGGAGUUUCUCUCGAAAGAAGUGAGUGGGAGGAAAGUAGAACUUGAUGAGGUAACUGUACCUGCUCCCUUAUUGGAAAGUAGUUCAUCGCAGAAAUCGGUUUCUGCGACACCUACACCAAUUAGUGAGGAAGUUAAUGAUGAUGAUCAUGAAACUUCAGAUCAAGUUAUUACUGAACCUCGUAGGUCAACCAGAGUAAGAUCCGCACCAGAGUGGUAUGGUAAUCCUGUUCUGGAAGUUAUGUUACUGGACCAUGACGAACCUACGAACUAUGAAGAAGCGAUGGUGAGCCCAGAUUCCGCGAAAUGGCUUGAGGCCAUGAAAUCUGAGAUGGGAUCCAUGUAUGAGAACAAAGUGUGGACUUUGGUUGACUUGCCCGAUGAUCGGCAAGCAAUUGAGAAUAAAUGGAUCUUCAAGAAGAAGACUGACGCUGACAGUAAUGUUACUGUCUAUAAAGCUCGACUUGUUGCAAAAGGUUUUCGACAAGUUCAAGGGAUUGACUACGAUGAGACCUUCUCACCCGUAGCGAUGCUUAAGUCUGUCCGAAUCAUGUUAGCAAUUGCCGCAUUUUAUGAUUAUGAAAUUUGGCAAAUGGAUGUCAAAACUGCAUUCCUGAAUGGAUUUCUGGAAGAAGAGUUGUAUAUGAUGCAACCGGAAGGUUUUGUUGAUCCAAAGGGAGCUAACAAAGUGUGCAAGCUCCAGCGAUCCAUUUAUGGACUGGUGCAAGCCUCUCGGAGUUGGAAUAAACGCUUUGAUAGUGUGAUCAAAGCAUUUGGUUUUGUACAGACUUUUGGAGAAGCCUAUAUUUACAAGAAAGUGAGUGGGAGCUCUGUAGCAUUUCUGAUAUUAUAUGUGGAUGACAUAUUGCUGAUUGGAAAUGAUAUAGAAUUUCUGGAUAGCAUAAAGGGAUACUUGAAUAAGAGUUUUUCAAUGAAAGACCUCGGUGAAGCUGCGUAUAUAUUGGGCAUCAAGAUCUAUAGAGAUAGAUCAAGACGCUUAAUUGGACUUUCACAAAGCACAUACCUUGACAAAGUUUUGAAGAAGUUCAAAAUGGAUCAAGCAAAGAAAGGGUUCUUGCAUGUGUUACAAGGUGUGAAGUUGAGUAAGACUCAAUGCCCGACCACUGCAGAAGAUAGAGAGGAGAUGAAAGAUGUUCCCUAUGCUUCAGCCAUAGGCUCUAAUGUAUGCAAUGCUGUGUACCAGACCUGAUGUGUGCCUUGCUAUAAGUCUAGCAGGGAGGUACCAAAGUAAUCCAGGAGUGGAUCACUGGACAGCGGUCAAGAACAUCCUGAAAUACCUGAAAAGGACUAAGGAUAUGUUUCUCGUUUAUGGAGGUGACAAAGAGCUCAUCGUAAAUGGUUACGUUGAUGCAAGCUUUGACACAGAUCCGGACGAUUCUAAAUCGCAAACCGGAUACGUGUUUACAUUAAACGGUGGAGCUGUCAGUUGGUGCAGUUCUAAACAAAGCGUCGUGGCGGGAUCUACGUGUGAGGCGGAAUACAUAGCUGCUUCGGAAGCAGCAAAUGAAGGAGUCUGGAUGAAGGAGUUCAUAUCCGAUCUAGGUGUCAUACCUAGUGCAUCGGGUCCAAUGAAAAUCUUUUGUGACAAUACUGGUGCAAUUGCCUUGGCGAAGAAAUCCAGAUUUCACAAGAGAACCAAGCACAUCAAGAGACAACGUAUUCAGGUUGUAUUAUAUUUAAUUCUUACCUUAGACGAAUGAUAUAUGUGCCAAAUUUUGCGUCCAAUGGGAUGGACCUGUUCUUCUAAGAUGGGACACCACAAUUCCAUUAAAUCUAUGGCUCAGCAAAUGUGCUGGCACAACAAGCACGGCAACGGUUGACAUGUCCUCAACCCAUAGAUGUAUCUAGAUGUAUUUCAGUGAUAAAUAUAUCCACUAGAGCGACAAAUAGUUUGGAUCGGAGGGAGUAGUAGAGAUGAAAUUACGUGUCAUGGUGUAUUUAAUGAUAUGUAUUUCAUAUUCUAGAUGUAAAUAUUUUUUCUAAAAACUUGAUCAAAUUUUGUAAAGUUCGACUUUUCAAAAAGGAUGUAGACACUGCAUUAUGGAACAGAGGGAUUAUUCUGAUUAUGCCAAUACAGAAAAUUCAAAACCACUUUCAGAGAAAAAAUUGCAAUUUCUGCCCUUUCUUUCUAAAACAUUUCUUCACUUUUGUUAUUUGGAGGAAAAAACGUUCCGAACUGAACUGGGCUGAAUUCCGCGGCCCAGCAUCUCUCCCUAUCCACGGGCUGCAGCCCAUCCUCCUUUCUUUCUCUUCUCUUCCACCUGGGCCUUGGCCCAUCUUCUCUCUCAGCCACCCCCACCUCCUUCUUCCGCAGCCGCAGCCACUGCAGUGGACGUAACGCCCGGCUGCGCCGCCGCCGCCGAUCCUGCCGUUUCCUUCAAAUCGAUCGCGUCCGGCCUCCGUCCCCGUAAUUCCCCGAGCCUCGACUCCUUCAGCCUCCAUCUCCAAUUCCCCAUGGACAUGGCGACCUGCCGUCUGCCGACCUGAUUUGAGCGACCAACGACCACGCACUCGUCGGUUCCUCUGACCUCCUCCUCAAUUCCCUUUUUCUAGGUUGGAGCCGCACGCCACCGACGCCGGGAGGCGGCGGCCCGUGCACCCGCCGCUGACGCACUGGACCUGCUCCUCGCCGUCUCUUCGAUCGGUACCGCACACCCACGCCGUACUGCACGCUAGCACGCCGCCGACGCCUGCUCCCUGGUUACAGGUUAUUGCUUAGACUGCCGGCCCUUCUAAUCGAUGAGUUAUAAGUAUCUGAAAUUCAUCACUCAAAAUUUACGAGUUACAGUACAGACUUUGAUGCAUUAGUUGAUGCCUAGACUUGGUCACAAACUUGUAUUGAUUGAUAAUAAGAGAGAUGUGGGUUGGAGCUUCAGUUGGAUCGUUUUAUUGCGGAUGAUAAAAGAGAUAUGGCUUUUUUGCAUGCAUAUUGUGUGUUUUUAUAUCUAAUAACUGGCCCCCUCCGCUUUGGUCAUCCUCCGCCACUGGGUUGGUGCCAUCUAAUCAACUGUCAUUACCUGGGACGAUUUUCCAAAAACAAAACAAUUACACGACGAGAGAGAACUAAUACUACCUCUUUCGAAUUUGUCAGACACCAAAAAAAAAA
rnacentral:lncRNA from 1 species